rnacentral:lncRNA from 1 species
CUGUUCUGGGGGAACUUCUCUUCCCUUUGGGAAGGGGCCGGUUCUCUUCUGUUCACUUUCGAUCUGUCGAUGCUGAGCCGGAGUCCAAGUUGGGCAAACCAAGUGUUGUACAUGGCACCUACUCUAUUGUGAAAGAAAAUUUCGAUGAUGCUAUAAUAAUGAAGCAGCAGCGGCAAGUUUACAAAGUAGCUGAUCGGUCGUGUCCAUUGGCUCAUCCUUUCCCUAUGGUUGCUGCUUUCGCAAUGUAAGUGCUACAGAUCUUUCAGUUUUCUGCUUGUUCAUCUAAUUUCAGCUCUAGUUACACAUACCUCCCGUUUUUAUCUAACGAUAACCCGCAUGUAUCCUCAUCCCGUCACUGUUGGAUUUUCAUAAUAAGAUAAACUAACUGACCCAUUAUAGUAACACACUGCUUAUUUUGCAUAAUCAUAUAUGUGUUCUUACUCUCUUUAAUUUGGUUAUUAAAGAUGCCUACAACUGUGUUCGGAGUACUAGUGGAGUUCAUUAUUGUGCCUUGAAUGUGCCAGUAAUCGUUUAGCUUGCCUUGUGAGGUAGGCUUUUCAGAAACUAGACCUGUUUUCUGUAGGCAGCUUGUGUAUGCAGUUUUUGUUUCUUUUGUCAGCCUGGGUAAAUCUGAAACAGUAUUGAAAAGUCCCUGCGUAUGUUGCCAGUUUCUUUAUGUUGCUAAUUGCUUGAUUUUGUUUGUUAAGACUAUAUUUUCAAAAAGAAACAUAUGUCAUUAUGUGUAUGGUGUUAAUAAUAUACUAUGAUGCAUGCCACAUUUUUUCAUGGUGCAUCUCAGAUCACAAUACUUAAUCACAGAACUACAAAUCCCUUUGUGUUCACUAAUGUUGGGAGCUUGGGGUUAGUGUUUUUCUACAAUUAUGCAAUUGAAAACUCCUUUCAAAUACGAAUUCGAUGGUAUACUUUUGUAACAUACAAAAUGUAUAUUAUUUGGUGAAACAAGUGGUCAAAGUAAACCUCGAAAUAUGUUUUAGGCCUUAUAUAUUGUUAGAGUUAUAUUUAUGGUCGUCUUUGGCCUUUUGCAUUCUGGCCCGUGGCCUCCCCUGUACAUGUAUAUAUGAUGGCUUUUGCCUCCGGAUAAUACUAAGUUGCAUAUUCCUUGCAUGGUAUUAGAGCUUAGGUGCAAGCGGGGCGGGUUGCGGCUGCCCGCCAAACAGCCAAGCGGGAGCCAGCUUUUCCAGCGGCCACAGCAGCUGUCCGCCUUUAGGCCGCUUGAUUUUUAGCGGACUAUGCGGCAGCCCGCUUUGUGCCCGCAAAGACCCGCCAGAUAGUACAAAAUGUAUCAAACAUGCACAGUACCGCAUGAGCUAGCUUUUCCUACUACUACAGACCGCCAGGCAGCCGCAUGUAUCGUUUGCUCAUUCAUCAGUAACAAGCUAAACCAGGCCACCUAUGUAACAUCCAGUUACAUUUUCUCAAAAGACAGUGUACAGCAGGAGAAGUUCUAAAAUGACAGAAAAUGAUGUUGAAACAUUCAGUGAACUUUUGUGCAGCAGGGAUAAGUUCUGAAAUAACAUUCAGUAACAUUCUCUGGAAGACAAUGUACAGCAGGAGAAAUUUUGAAAUGGCAGAAAAAGACAAUGAAUUCUGCUGGAGAACCCUCCAAACUCUGAAACAUGUUUGCUCAUUCAGUGAAUUCAACUAGAUAGCAUAAAUUUAAUUAACUACUGCAGCUAAACCAGGCCACCCCUGAUAUGGAAGUGACUGAUAAUUAUAAUACAACUAGACCCAAAACAUGUUCUAGAUCAUUACAAGUGAUGUCCAUUAAGCAUCUCUUUCAUUGGGAAUCUCCAACUGGUUCAUGAAUCCUGUUGCACCACCUACAUAGGAAAGAGUUUCAAAGUAUUAAUGUACAAAUAGGCAAGAGUUUCAAGAAUUAAUGUACAUUCUAGAAAACUUAUCAAGGCCUGACAAAGGUUUAAGUGAUCUAGAAAACUAUUAAUGCAAACCAGUACAAUAUGCUGCUUCUCAUAACUCAAAUAGUUGCAUUUACAACCGACAAACUUAGAAGCCAAUCACAAUAAUAUGCAGCAGAACCAUCACAUCUCAUGGGUACAGAAACAGAACUGUUCAUGUAUCUCACCUUGAGAAAAACUGCCCUCCAUCAAUGCACUAGAACUACCAUUUUACAGUUCUAUAGUGUAUAUGACAAUAGGUGUAGCAAAGAAUUUACUUCAAUUGUUAUAUAAAAGAACUUUUCAACUUGGCCACAAAAACAGAACUGGUGGCAUGAGCUAAUGUGAUGUCAAAAACUAAUAUUUUUCUAGAUCAUAAGAAUUACAUAAACACCACCACACAGCCAUGAGGACGGAACACAACCAUCAAGAUUUAAAGAUGAUAAUAUGUAUUUCAAGAUUAGGCUUACCUAAUGCUGCAAUCAAUGAGCAUCAAUAUCAGCACCUGUUCCAUAAAUAACAUCGUUUAUUAUCGUGCCAACAUGAUUAGUUCCUGCAAUGAGAGAAAAAAACGUUACAAGUUAUAUCAUCAUAACACUAAAGAAUGCCAAAUAUCACUAAAAAGAGAGUUUGUUACCUCGAGGUCGCAUCCAAUCUUGUAGACAGAUUAAUGCCUCUACAGUGGUUUCUAUCAUUCUGCUCCUAUAGUCACUCAGUAUCCUUCCUCCGGUGGAGAAGGCUGACUCUGAUGCUACAGAAGAUGCAGGUGCAGCCAGUACAUCCUUUGCUAUCCGAGAUACUAUAGGGUACUUGUGUGCAUUUGUGCACCACCAGGAUAGUAUGUCGAAGCCAUCUUCUUGCGGGCAAAUUUCAUCUUUUAGGUAAAUAUCAAGUUCACUCAGCUUUGCUCGAUUUUGUUGAUGUUGUUGAACAUGCUUGUUCCAUUGAUCCCAUGGGUUAUCAGUACUUGUACCAACAUUGCUGGUUCCUUGAUCAUUUCCCAUACUUGAGUCACCCUCAUGCACAGAAUAUUCAACAAAUAAAUCUUUGAAUGUUCUCUUCACUUUAGCAAGAUAUCUCAUUGCGUCACUUUCAAGUCCAGAUUUCAAGCAAAACUCCAAGAAUUUGAACUUGUAUCUUGGAUCGAGUAUGACCGGAAUACAAAUGGUCAAGAAUGAAAGCUUCCAAUACUUCAUGAACUUUUCUUGCAUUGCUUCAACCAUGGAUUUGAUGACAAUAUCGGUCUGGUUGGCCUCUCUUUGCAAUGUUAGAUGAAUUUUCCAAAGUUGGUGGAAAUACAAAUGAGCCGUUGGAUAUAAUGUACCGGAUACCACCAUAGUUGCGUCAAGGAAAAGCUCUAACAAGCUGCAAACAGAUUGUGCCGUUUCCCAUUCAACAUUUGUAGGUUGACAUGUAAAUGUUGUGUCCUGCAACUUCAUAGCGAUGAAUGCUCUCCUAUACUCUAGGGCUGUUUUGAUCAUCAAAUGUGUUGAAUUCCACUGUGUGACAACGUCUAGAGAUAGGCUCUUUUUGCAACCAAUGCCUUCUUGUGCAACUAUUUCCUUAAAUUUCUGUUUUCGAGUGGGGGAGCUUCUAACAAACCUGAUGCUUUCCCUGAUAUUAUCCACUGCUUUGCAUGUAAUCUCCAACCCAUCUUGGACAAUAAGGUUGAUCACAUGAGCUGCACAUCGACCAUGUAAAAGAUCUCCUUUACAAGGUAGGAAAUUCUUCCCUAGCAGAUUGGAUUUGAUGUACUUCACACACGAGUUGUUAUUUGAUGCAUUGUCUAGCGUGAUGGAGAAAAUCUUCUUUGGCAAACCCCAAUAUUGCAUGCAUUCUAACAUGAUAUUAGAUAAAUUUGGUCCAUUAUGUGGUGUUUCUGCCUUGCAAAACCAAAUCACUUUUUUCUGCAAUUUCCACUUCGUCGUACUAACAAAAUGGCAUGUUAUACACAUAUAGCUCACGGCUUGACUUGAAGUCCACAUGUCGGCGGUUAAAGGGACACGAGAGGUUAAGUUCUGUAUAGCCUCUCGAAACUUUUCCCUUUGUUCAUGAAAUAGCAUGAGGCAAUCAACUCUUAUUGUCGUCCUAGACACCACCUCAAAUGUGGGAUUCAGACUGUACACAAAUCUUCUAAAUCCCUCGUAUUCCACAAACGAGAAUGGCAAUUCAUGAACAGCAAUCAUCCUCACCAACUCCCAAUGAGCUCUCUCGGGGUCAUAGUUCCAUUUCUCUAGACUAUUUGGAUCAGGUUGUGGCAUGGCUGAUUUAACUGAGUCGAGAAACUCAUUGAUCUUGGCUCUUUCCUCGCAAACUAACAAAUGCCUAAUGCAAUGACUAGUACCAGCUGCUCUUGUACAACCAAAAACUCUCUUGCAAUGUUUACAGUGGGCUUCCUUGAGUUUGUUGCCAUCAUACACAGGAUCAUAAUCAUUCCAGAUUUCAGAUUUAAGUUCCCUUCUUUUUCUUUUAUGUGAAAGACCUACGGAAUUUGAGAUGAACAAAUAACUUAUGCCAAGACAUUUGAGAUAUGCGCACAAUUGACAUUAAAACUUAACAUGUGUGUGCAGAAUAGACAUUAAAACUUACAACGAAUCCGAGGCAGUGUUGGCGACGAUCGUUUCACACCUAAUCUUGGAGAUGCCUGAGAUAACACGACAUUAACCCCUGGGGAUCCCACUAUGGGCACCACUAACGGUGACCUCAACCUCUUCUUUGGUGGGGGUUUUGGGAGUCUUUGAUUUUCUCCUGAGUAACUGUUUUCAAUCACACAAAUAAUGCAUAAGUAAGAGCACAAUUUUCAUGCUGUUGUAUCUGGUUGCAAACAAUACUGGGCCCAAUUGCAAAUAAUAUAUAAGUUAACAUUUGCAUUUCCAAUCUCUACAUCUAGUAGUAUAUAUAACUAGUCUCCAGCUUUUCUCGAGCUCUCAUGUAUGCAAACAUAUGAACUAUUCCAAAGCACUAUCUCAGUUCACCCUCUCUCUGUCCAAGCUACUAUUACAUAGAGAGUAGAUGACCCAUCAAGAUCAAAAGGCAAGAGAGCACCAUGUACCUUGGUGAGGAUCUUGGGUCAUUGGGACAAGGGAGCAAAGUGUUGUAGCUGCAUCGACUUCUUCAGUUGACGCAUGCCCUUUGUUCUUGGAUGCAUGCCCUUUGUUCUUGGAGGAGAGGAAAGGGCGCGACAAGGUUGCAGGAGCCCUUGCUGGAGCGGACGGUGACGAAACAGCAGCUCCAAUCAAAGAGGGAAACGACGGAGAAACAACAGCUUCAGCAUGUGAGGGAGGCGGUGGAGGGACAACAUCUUCAUCGAGGAUUUCUGUAGGGCAGUCCCGAUGUGGAGAUGGCGCCGUCGACCCCACCAUGACUGAUCAAUAAACAAGGAACCUACACCCAGGCAAAACAUACAUGAGCACUGCAUCAUAUACAUCAACUUAAUGAGAAUACCAAAGAUGAUCCACAAAAGCCGCAGAGAUACUAUUGAAACUACAAUGAACCGUGAAGCAAAAAUUCAGAACAUCAGAGACAAAACUCUGUUUUCCUGAGAGAACAACUACGCAACAGAACCACUGGAAAUAGAGGGUAAGGAAAUUGUAUCACCCGACAUACAUAGACAGAAAUUUGUGAGAAAUAACAGCUUUGUAGGGUAGAGGAUUAUGCCUAACACCACAUGUAAGAAAUCUCUCCUCCAUCUCUAGAUGAACAGAGCAAAAAAACCAUCCAAGCACACAAAGAACAGAGCAAAAAACUACACGGAUCUCGAUCUCAAUCCAUGAAUUGCGUAACGCAUUGCAUGGAACAGAGUGCAUACACAUGAGCAGCGAUUAGGGGCAGUGGACAGACUAGCUAGCGCUUAUUUAGCUUCAUGCUCAUAAAACAGCAGUAAAAAUUUCAAUCAGAUAGCAAUAUAGCAUGUGAAGUCAUUCCUGCUCCCCUUGCUUCCACAGGACGAGCAGAACGUCAAAGCUGAGCUGGGUGAAGAAAAACCUCAGCCAAGCAUCAGCAGCAGCAGCAGCAUGCCCCAGGAGGCUGCUGCAGAGCCACCUGUUCCGGACAGGGGUCUCAACCGAAGGAUAGUUGUGCUCACCACUCUUGCUGCGGUGGGCCUUUGGAUCUCAGAGGCUCCAGCUUGGCGGGUUUUCUCUCAAAGAUCUUGCUGCCAAUGCUGUGCCAUACGAAGAGGUUAGCCUUUCUUUCCUUUGCAGCAAGGAGUUUUCUGCUCACCACUACACUGAACAAAGAGAUAACUGAUGCAUAAUGUUCAGCUAAAUGUCAGCAGCAAAAAGAAGUUUCGCUGCCAUUUUGUAUAUACUACAGAUAUGGGUCAUUUAGUUACUAGGUUUGAUACUUCCAGUUGCAGUAUGUGAACAACUAAGCAUGAUCCAUUGCAGUUCAGAUCAUGGUAGGGUUACAACCCAUUGCAAUGGAAAAAUUUGCAAUAGAUCCAAGAAAAUUCAUCAGAACUGCACACAAUUGCAGCCAUGCUUCGUUUCGUCAAACUUCAUCAGAAUUUUCUAUGGAGCAUCUCGUUCCCUCUGCAAAUUGCUCAAGGCCGAAGCAUCUCUCUCUCUCUCUCAAUCCCUCUCAUCAGAAGCAGCCGAUCUGUACGACGCGCCUCUCUCUGUCUCUCUCUCACACACGCACACGCACAUAGGCGAAGCCUCCUCGCCGCCCCGGCGACCCCGCGCAUCGACCUCCGGCCGCCUGCCCCGGCCGCUGACGAACAAGAAAAAGCGGGCACGAAUCAGGCAUAAGCAUCAGCAUCAGCGUGGACGUACCAAGAUUUGGAGGGGACCUGGCGGUUGCUCCGGAGGCGGGGGUGGCCGGGAGGCGGAGGAGAGCUCGCGGAGGGCGUCAGCGGCGAGGAGCAGGCCAUCGUCGAGGAGGUGGCGACGGAGAAGCGUUAGGUGGGCGAAGCAGCCGCCGCCGCCGCGGCCGCUGCCAUCGUGGGUAGGCACGAAGCUAGGUUAGGACUUAUGCGGGAUAUGCGGCAAGUCCGCUGGACUCAGCGGCGUGACCGCUUGGGUCCGUUACACACGACGCGGUCAGCCCAACGGCAUUUUGCGGGCUAUUUUUGCGGGGCGGCGUGGCGGCCGAGCGGGAUGUCCUGCGCCGCUUGCACUCUGAACUUCGAGGACGGCCGCCCUAACCAAGCCGAGGUUUGCCUAGAACUCGAGCCGCCGCCCAUCUUUCCGUGCCGCAUCACCCCGCCUGAGUACAGGAACCCGCCGGCUAUACGCGUUGCCUCUUACGCCAUGGUUGGCUCCCAUAUUUUGCUCUCCGUGCAACUGGACAAUGUGACCAGCCCUGACAAGGUUGCCAGGAAAUACAGGAAAUACAUGGGAACCUGCGGGUACGACGUGGAGAAGGUGUGGGAGAUGGUGCGAUGAAUCUUCCUUUCCUUGGCCAGGCGGUGCCCCUCCGCGACCAACUCUUUCUUGCCCGCUCCAAAGAGAGGGACGACGCUUAUGCAGUGUACUACAUGCAUGUCGGUCAGUCAACAUUUGGGACCAGCGAGCUGUCCAUUAUUGAGGUUCCGCUGGUGGUGCCAAAGGCCCGACCUGUUCUGGGGGAACUUCUCUUCCCUUUGGGAAGGGUCCGGUUCUCUUCUGUUCACUUUCGAUCUGUCGAUGCUGAGCCGGAGUCCAAGUUGGGCAAACCAAGUGUUGUACAUGGCACCUACUCUAUUGUGAAAGAAAAUUUCGAUGAUGCUAUAAUAAUGAAGCAGCAGCGGCAAGUUUACAAAGUAGCUGAUCGGUUGUGUCCAUUGGCUCAUCCUUUCCCUGUGGUUGCUGCUUUCGCAAUGUAAGUGCUACAAAUCUUUCAGUUUUCUGCUUGUUCAUCUAAUUUCAGCUCUAGUUACACAUACCUCCUGUUUUUAUCUAACGAUAACCCGCAUGUAUCCUCAUCCCGUCACUGUUGGAUUUUCAUAAUAAGAUAAACUAACUGACCCAUUAUAGUAACACACUGCUUAUUUUGCAUAAUCAUAUAUGUGUUCUUACUCUCUUUAAUUUGGUUAUUAAAGAUGCCUACAACUGUGUUCGGAGUACUAGUGGAGUUCAUUAUUGUGCCUUGAAUGUGCCAGUAAUCGUUUAGCUUGCCUUGUGAGGUAGGCUUUUCAGAAACUAGACCUGUUUUCUGUAGGCAGCUUGUGUAUGCAGUUUUUGUUUCUUUUGUUAGCCUGGGUAAAUCUGAAACAGUAUUGAAAAAUCCCUGCGUAUGUUGCCAGUUUCUUUAUGUUGCUAAUUGCUUGAUUUUGUUUGUUAAGAAUAUAUUUUCAAAAAGAAACAUAUGUCAUUAUGUGUAUGGUGUUAAUAAUAUACUAUGAUGCAUGCCACAUUUUUUCAUGGUGCAUCUCAGAUCACAAUACUUAAUCACAGAACUACCAAUCCCUUUGUGUUCACUAAUGUUGGGAGCUUGGGGUUAGUGUUUUUCUACAAUUAUGCAAUUGAAAACUCCUUUCAAAUACGAAUUCGAUGGUAUACUUUUGUAACAUACAAAAUGUAUAUUAUUUGGUGAAACAAGUGGUCAAAGUAAACCUCGAAAUAUGUUUUAGGCCUUAUAUAUUGUUAGAGUUAUAUUUAUGGUCAUCUUUGGCCUUUUGCAUUCUGGCCCGUGGCCUCCCCUGUACAUGUAUAUAUGAUGGCUUUUGCCUCCGGAUAAUACUAAGUUGCAUAUUCCUUGCAUGGUAUUAGAGCUUAGGUUAAUUUUUUUAGCAUGUGCAACUUGUGCUUGAUCCUCCCGUCGCGCCGCCGUGUCUCCUUGCCUGCUGUCGUAGCUCCCUCAUCUCGGCUGCUGUCGUUCCUUCAAUCUCAGAUCGCUGUUGUCUCCUCUCAAGAUCCGCCCGUACUCUCCACAGCCCAGCCUUGCCCCGUCCGGCUCCUUCCGCCAUCUGGUUCGCCUUGCCCAGGAGGCCUCCGCCUGCAGCCCAUCCGACGCUUCUCCUUGGGCGCACAGGCAUCCGCCGCCGCCAUCGCGGAUCCCUGGCGCUCUGCGUCGCCCACCGCCGUCUGCCUUCAGCCCCACUGCCUUCGUCGUUGAUCCAUGUCUUUUGUCGCUAGCCAUUGCUGAUCUUCUCGCUAGCCGCUGCUGAUCAGCUCCGCCAUUUUGCUGAGACAGGAUCUUGUUCCCGUGCGCUGCAUAACCACAAGGCUGUGGGUUCGUGCCCCGUCGCCUUGUUUCAUCUGGCCUUCCGUGAAACAGACCGCCUUGGGCCNNNNNNNNNNNNNNNNNNNNNNNNNNNNNNNNNNNNNNNNNNNNNNNNNNNNNNNNNNNNNNNNNNNNNNNNNNNNNNNNNNNNNNNNNNNNNNNNNNNNNNNNNNNNNNNNNNNNNNNNNNNNNNNNNNNNNNNNNNNNNNNNNNNNNNNNNNNNNNNNNNNNNNNNNNNNNNNNNNNNNNNNNNNNNNNNNNNNNNNNNNNNNNNNNNNNNNNNNNNNNNNNNNNNNNNNNNNNNNNNNNNNNNNNNNNNNNNNNNNNNNNNNNNNNNNNNNNNNNNNNNNNNNNNNNNNNNNNNNNNNNNNNNNNNNNNNNNNNNNNNNNNNNNNNNNNAAUGCACAAUGUCAUUAUCUUUGAGCAUUGUUUCAGUUCUUGGCUGUCCGGUGAUUUCUGAUGGUGGUUGUCCUACUGACAUCGUCUCACACACACACCUUCACACACACCUUCCGUCUUUGCUCGGUCCUCCUCCUCGGACCUUGUUGCAUGUUUUGCCGAUUUUCUCAGACGGUGGUGGCCGCUUCGUAUCGACUCCUCUUGCGGCUUCCGCACGCGGUUUUGGCCGCACUUCGUCGACUCCCUUUGCAGCUUCUACAUGUCAUGGUGGCUGCUAUCCGUCAACUGUCGCAGCUUCGGCACGCGGUGGUGGUCGCUCUACGUUGACUCUUCACAUGACUUCGGCACCUGGGGAUUACCGCUCUAUGUCGACUUCUAAUGUGGCUUUCGCGCGCGACGGUGACUGCUCUACGUCGACUCCUCCCGCAGCUUUCGCUCGUGGUGGUUACCGCUCUACGUCGACUCCUCCCGCGGCUUCCACACGCAGCGGUGACUGCUCCCGGCAACUCUACACGCGGCUUCCACGGGUGGUGGUGACUGCUCAUGGGCAGGUGUUUCUACCUUGACCACUCCCGUCGUGUCUCUGUCUGCGCGUGAGCUUGUGCGGUUGCGAUGCCUGCUUGAUGCUUGGGAUUCUUCACCAACUGGUUCUGAAGUUUUCGUGACUUAACUCUUCUGGCAUUGAGAAACCACCUUCUACUCAUUCAGGUACAUCCCCAUGGAUUCUUGAUGCUGGAGCGUCUUCUCAUAUGACUUGCGAUUCUUCCACUUUAACCUCCGUUCGACCUGUCGAGUCUCCUGUUCGUGUUCUUACGGUUGAUGGCACUCCCCUCCCCGUAGCUAGUCGAGGCACUCUUAGCACUUCUUCAUUUCAUGUUCCCUCUAUAGCUCAUGUUCCUCGAUACCAUGCAGCUCAUAUCUGGUGGUUAGAUUGUUGACUCAAGUCGUAGGGUCAUUCUCGACUUUGAUUCAUGUUCUGUUCAGGAUCGUCGCACGGGGGAUUUGCUUGGUGCUGGCGGUCGACGCUCUGAUGGUCUCUGGGAGCUAGACUUGCUUCGUCUUCCCUCUGCUGCCACCGUCGCCGGUCUUGCAGCCCCUGUUGCUGCAUCUACCAGCUAUUUUCAGCAAUGGCAUCAUCGUCUUGGCCAUUUAUGUGGUUCUCGUCUCUCAUCUUUGGUUCAUCGCGGUGUGUCGAGGUCUGUUUUUGGUAACUCAUUGUUGGAUUGUUUGGGUUGUAGGCUUGGUAAGCAAAUUCAGCUACCAUAUCCUCACAGUAAGUCAGUGUUCGAGUGUCCUUUUGAUCUCGUUCACUCUGAUGUUUGGGGUCCGUCUCCCUUCGCUUCCAAAGGGGUCAUCGCUUCUAUAUUAUCUUUAUAGAUGAUUUUUCUCGAUACACUUGGAUCUAUUUCAUGUCUUCUUCUCGUAGUGAGGCCUUAUCGAUAUACAAAAAAUUUGCUGCCAUGGUUCAUAUCCAAUUUUCCACUCCUAUUCGUGUUUUUCGUGCAGAUUCAGCUGUGAGUAUAUCUCGCAUGCAUUGCGAGGAUUCCUUGCUGACUAGGGUACAUUACUCAGUUCUCUUGCCCUGGUGCUCAUGCUUAGAAUGGUGUGGCUGAGCCUGAGCGUAAGCAUCGUCACCUUCUUGAGACGGCGCGUGCGAUGAUGAUCACGGCCUCUCUUCCGCCUCACUCCUGGGUUGACGCUGUUACCACUUCCACCUACCUCAUCAACACCCAGCCAUCUGUUGCUCUAUAGGGUGGUAUUCCUCUUGAGCGUCUUUCAGGUCGUUCUCCUGAUUAUUUGACGCUUCGGCGCUUCGUUUGUUUGGUUGCGUCUGCUAUGUUUUGCUUGCCCCUCGUGAACGCACCAAACUGACUGCUCAGUCUGUUGAGUGUGUCUUUCUUGGAUACAACGAUGAGCAUAAGGGCUAUUGGUGUUGGGAUCCUGUCGGUCGCCAAAUGCGUAUUUCUCGGGAUGUGAUCUUUGAUGAAUCUCGUCCUUUCUACCUGCGUCCAUCCUCGGCCUUUUUCACGGAGGACAUCUCUUUUCUUACGUUCCUGGAUACACCUUCGUUUGUGCCCUGACUUCCUACUCGUCCCGCUGUAGAUCCGGCGCCGUCCUCUCCUACAGUUUUUUCUCCUCCCUCGUCGCACGACUCUACCUUCAUCACCGAUAUCUUCCCCUUCUCCACCUUCAUCACCGAUACAUUCCCUGUCUCCACCUCCAGUGAUUCCACCUCUUCCCUCCUUUCCUUUCCAUUAUACUCGCCGUUCACGUGUUAUGGAUGAGACUAUUGAUGUGCCCUCUACUUUUGGUGUGUCAUCUUCCUCCUCUCAUCCGACUUAUGGUCUUCGUUCACGGCCUUGCCCACCCCCUGACCGAUAUUCUCCUUCUCGCUAUGGUCUUUCGUCCGUUCUUGAGCCAACUUCUUAUCGACAUGCUAUUGUUCAUCCUGAAUGGCAGUGUGCGAUGGCAGCGGAGAUUGCCGCCCUUUGAGCGCACCGACACGUGGGAUCUGGUUUCUCUUCCUCCCCGUGUUCAUCCCAUCACUUGAAAGUGGGUUUAUAAGAUUAAGACUAGUCGUUCACUUUCUGCUACUGUGUCUUCUUGGUGGUUCUCUCAUUUGCCUGGAAGACGUAGAAACAAAUUGCAAUUUCCCAUUUGAGUGCAGAGGCUGAGUUGCGAGCUAUGGCUCUUCUCACCGCAGAGAUGACUUGGUUACGCUGGUUACUUGAGGAUUUUGGUGUUACUGUUACUACACCUACUUCACUCUUGUCAUACAGUAUAGGUGCUAUCAGUAUUGCACGGGACCCCGUGAAGCAUGAGCUUACCAAGCAUAUUGGUGUUGAUGUGUGCCUUCUGAGUUACAGCUAGCGGAUUUCUUCUCGAAGGCACAGACUANNNNNNNNNNNNNNNNNNNNNNNNNNNNNNNNNNNNNNNNNNNNNNNNNNNNNNNNNNNNNNNNNNNNNNNNNNNNNNNNNNNNNNNNNNNNNNNNNNNNNNNNNNNNNNNNNNNNNNNNNNNNNNNNNNNNNNNNNNNNNNNNNNNNNNNNNNNNNNNNNNNNNNNNNNNNNNNNNNNNNNNNNNNNNNNNNNNNNNNNNNNNNNNNNNNNNNNNNNNNNNNNNNNNGCUUGUGGUCUCCCUUGUACAUUUAUAUAUGAUGGCUUUUGCCUCCUGAUAAUACUAAGUUGCAUAUUUCCUUACAUAUAUAUGGAUAGAGGCACGACUCUGUUACACUAGCCUCUUCCUCCUACCUGUAUAAGAAUAUACCUGUUACAUGAUCCUUUUCGUAUUCUGACCCAUGCCUCCUACCACUGCCGCCUGUGUUGGCGCCUUGUUUGUCGUAGCUGCAAGAGCCUGCUGUUUUAUUGCAUGCCUUCUGCUGUAUCCUUUACCCCAGUGCAUGUCCUCAACGUUACCCUCCCUGUGAAAUAGCUCGUCCUCUAGCUGGAAUUCUUGAAAACUGCUCCCUAAACUCGGAUUACAUCCUCACAAGUGGGUUCAUUUGUUGGGAGCACUUGCCAAGUCACGAGAAUUUGCCACUUGUCGUGGCAAAGCGUGUAGCUUCAAAGAUGCUGGUGUUGUAACUACUAGGCCAUGGUUGAUGGGAGCACCGAAGUUGUCACUGGUUGCUCACCAUCAUAACGCUUGAGAGGCCCACAUGGAAGACUAUGGAUUUGUGUCCCUUCGGGAAGCGGAAGCCUAUAAGCAAUAUAUCUGAUCCCUUCAGCGAUCUGAAGGGGCCAUAGAAUCGUGGUGUUAGUUUGAGUGGGUGUGCAUUGCCAAGGUAGCUGUCGUUGGUGUUGUAAAUGCAGCCAUUCCCACUUGCCUACCUUGAACUCAAAUGUUGUGAUGAUGUUCAUCGUACCAAUCCUUCAUAUGCUGUUGUGAUGAUGUUCAUCAUACCAAUCCUUCAUAUGCAGGGGCGAUGCAUAGGACCUUGUCUGCAUUGAUGCACCUACAGCCUGAUGUGGCAAUACCGGCAAUCACUUCAACAAUGUAGGUAACUGCUGCGUGGAAACCUAGACGAGUUGUCGGGAUAGCAGAGGCACUAGACAUCUUACUAAGGGGUGGGGAAUUUGGCAACAAGCCAUUGACGCAUGAUUGCUUCUCCGGGGUAUUUACACGCUCAUCAAUGGGCCCUCCUGCAGUUGCUUGGUUAUAUAGCUUCUUGCAGUUCUGACUUCGCUUCCUGGUUCUGAUACCAGAUGUUGUAGCCUGGAUUGACUUUGGAGAUUGUAGGGGUAGUUCAUCGGAGGUUGUGUCCUGUGGCGAUUGGUAGGCGCCGUGAUUGGCGCAAGUCUUGGCAGCAAAGUUGAGGAUUCAGGGAAUUAGAAGUCAGGAAAGCGCUGAGAUAGAGAGCUUUCUUAUUUCCUGCCUCUGAUUACAUAGGGACAUCUAUAUACAACAGUUUUGCUAAAGCAAGCGCGCGCGUGCGCGCACACACACACACACACACAUAUAAUACUACUAGAUUGCUAGCAAUCUGAACUCAACUACAACUCCAAUUCUGAUACUACUAGCCUUUCCCUCAUGUAUCUAUACAACUGUACAUGCUGCAGCUCCGUACAGCAAUUGAUUCUGCCCCGCUCGUCCUACUCUGACUCUGCCGCCCAUGUUGGCGCCAUAUUCUCCGACAACCUGCUAUCUUGCCGCAUGCCUUUUGCUGUAUCUUUUACCCUGGUGCUCCUUCAAAGCAAAUUGUUUGAGUGUAAGCUAUGGGUGUAAUAUUAAGAGUAAUACUUGUGUCUUUGGACUACUGACCUUGGCAGCACGAUUACUAUUUCUUAUCUCUUGAACACGCUGUACUCGGAUUAUGAUGGUUUCCUUUUUUCUCAUGGCACAGGGAAGCAGAAUGAGGCUUCACUCAAAGACGAGGACAAGGUGUGUAGCGUUGCAAUUAUCUGCUACAGUUGAUGCAAAAUUGACUGUCGUGUAACUGCAACCAACAUGUAGUAGCUUGGCGUCAAGUUUAUACUUUUUUCUCAGUUAGCUCCUGAUCAUGCUGUCCGGAUCCAUGCUAUCAGUAAUUAUGGUUUAUAUUUAGACAGUGUUUGGCUGUUGUCGAUUGUGUGGUUUGGUGAAGUUGCAGGCUUGCAGCUCUGGCAUCUGUUCAGUCUCUGAUAUUUAUGUUGUAUACUAUUACUCUGGAGUUCGGCAAAGUUGCAGCUUUAGUCAUUCAACAAUUGCAUGUUUGUUUCAUUCUGAAAUUUAUGGUGUCAUCCACUAGAUGAAUUGCAUCAUGGACAUAGCUUUCAAGAAUCGACUUCUUUUAGCCUGGAUGGUUGGUCAAGGAAAACUGAUUGGUUGGACUUUUGCAACCAACUGGCUUUUCAAAGCCAUAAGCUAACCAAAGGGAGAAAAUGAGAAGCAGAAGUUGCAAAAACUACAGCUUCCGCCUAGUGUAAAUUUCAAAGCAGACGAGCCCCCAACUUCAGCAAUGCAUUUUUAGCUGUCCCCUUGACGUUGCGCGACCCACCCAGCGAUGUUCCUCCACGAGAGGAGGCCUCGUCCUCGCAAAAAAAAAAAAAAAGAACGGCUCGAUCCCCUCGACUCUAGUGACAGCUAGGGUUCCUAUCCGGCACCGCUGUCGGCACUGUUCCUCCACUGACGCACGCCCAACCGCCGGUGCCGCCUACCGCGUCCGCCGCCCCGCUGCUAUCUCCUUUAGCCUCUAUUGCCCACCGGACCUCCUCUUUCCUCAAGUACAUGCAUGGACCAUCGGACCAGCAAGGGCCGCUGCCCCGGCGCGUGCCCCGCCGCCUCCAAUUCAUGUGAAUUGAUGUAAAAUGGACUGCAUAUUGCUUGUCAAAUUGUUGAACCGUGGAUGAUUUUUUUUCUUUGUUGGUAGUGACCCAAUUCAUGUGAAUUGAUGAACCGUGGAUGGUUUUUGAUAUAUUGGUACAUAUUGCUUGUCAAAUUGUUGUAUAUAGAUGUAAACUGGACUGCAUAUUGUCGUAUGUUGCUGUAUAAUGACUGGUUUAUUGAUGAAUACUUGUUGCAUUUUGAUGUACAUUGAAUGGUUGCUUGGGGCAGAUUGCCAUGUAACUGCUUGUUGGAUCAUAUAUAUUGAUAGGAUGAACAAUAUUCGUAGUAGGAUCACUGCAUUAUGGUCAAUUUGCAUAUAAGCAUAUUCACUCAGGCCUCUCAGCCAAAUCUACAGUUUCACGGUCGUUUUAACCAAACAGCCUCCAGCUUUUCCGCAACUGCUUUUUCACAACUGCUUCUCCACAACUGCUUUUUCACAACGGCUUUCAAGAAUCUACAGCUCAACCAAACACAACCUGAGUAUACAAGUAUUGUGUUCGCUCCCUUGGCAGAGUUGAGGUUAUUGAGGAGAAUACAACAGUUCAACUAUUGAAGGUGACCACAUGAUUUAUGUCUGCACAUAAUAUAUAACUGAUAAGUGAAGGAUGAUACACAAGUCGACACAGGACCUUUCUUUCCCACUCAGGUGAUAAACCAUUAGAUCAUGCCCGGAGGGACAGGAUGAAUGUGCAUGUGAUGCCCAGCUCUUCGACCAAGAAAUAUUCAAAAACACCCUUGAUAUAUUCUUAAGGACAACGCUAACGCUGUGACGCCCCCGAUUCAAUCGUACACUAAUCAUGCACGCAAACGUGUACGAUCAAGAUCAGGGACUCACGGGAAGAUAUCACAACACAACUCUAAAACAUAAAUAAGUCAUACAAGCAUCAUAAUACAAGCCAGGGGCCUCGAGGGCUCGAAUACAAGUGCUCGAUCAUAGACGAGUCAGCGGAAGCAACAAUAUCUGAGUACAGACAUAAGUUAAACAAGUUUUCCUUAAGAAGGCUAGCACAAACUGGGAUACAGAUCGAAAGAGGCACAUGCCUCCUGCCUGGGAUCCUCCUAAACUACUCCAGGUCGUCAUCAGUGGGCAGCACGUAGUAGUAGGCACCUCCAGUGUAGUAGGGGUCGUCGUCGACGGUGGCGUCUGGCUCCUGGACUCCAACAUCUGGUUGCGACAACCAGAAAGAAAGGAAAGGGGAAAAAGGGGGGAGAAAGCAACCGUGAGUACUCAUCCAAAGUACUCGCAAGCAAGGAACUACACUACAUAUGCAUGGGUAUAUGUGUAAGGAGGCCAUAUCAGUGGACUGAACUGCAGAAUGCCAGAAUAAGAGGGGGAUAACUAAUCAUGUCGAAGACUACGCUUCUCGCAGCCACCGUCUUGCAUCAAGUAGAAGAGAGUAGAUUGAAGUCCUCCAAGUAGCAUCUCCAAGUAACCUCUCCAAAUAGCACCUCAUAGCAUAAUCCUACCCGGCGAUCCCCUCCUCAUAUCCCUGAGGUAGAGCGACCACCGGUUGUAUCUCGCACUUGGAAGGGUGUGUUUUAUUAAGUAUCCGGUUCUAGUUGUCAUAAGGUCAAGGUACAACUCCAAGUCGUCCUGUUACCGAAGAUCACGGCUAUUCGAAUAGAUUAACUUCCCUGCAGGGGUGCACCAACUUACCCAGCACGCUUGAUCCCAUUUGGCCGGACACACUUUCCUGGGUCAUGCCCGGCCGCGGAAGAUCAACACGUCGCAGCCCCACCUAGGCACAAUAGAGAGGCCAGCACGCCGGUCUAAACCUAAGCGCACAGGGGUCUGGGCCCAUCGCCCAUAGCACACCUGCACGUUGCGAGGGCGACCGAAAGCAGACCUAGCCUAGUGGCGUUCCAGUCCAAUUCGGCGCGCGCCGCUCCGUCGCUGACGUCUGAAGUGCUUCGGCUGAUACCACGAUGUCGGGAUACCCAUAACUACUCCCGCGUAGAUGGUUAGUGCGUAUAAGCUCGUAGCCAGACUCAGAUCAAAUACCAAGAUCUUGUUAAGCGUGUUAUUAUGAAGCAACCGCGGACGCCGACCAGGGCCAGGCCCACCUCUCUCCUAGGCGGUCUCAACCUGCCCUGUCGCUCCGCCACAAAGAUCCACACAGAGGGCCGUCGGGACAAAGGUCCUUUCAGCCCCCAAUCCGUGAAUCACUCGCGGGUACUCUUCGAGCUGACCCGACUUUAGUCACCAUCUGUAUAGUAUGUAUGUAUGUAUAGUAUAUACCCGUGAUCACCUCCCGAGUGAUCACGGCCCAAUAGUAUAGCAAGGCAGACUGACAAGAAUGUAGGGCCAAUGAUGAUAAACUAGCAUCCUAUACUAAGUAUUUAGGAUUGCAAGUAAGGUAUCAACAGAUGUAGCAACAAUGUCAGGCUAUGCAUCAGAAUAGGAUCAACGGAAAGCAGUAACAUGCUACACUACUCUAAUGCAAGCAGUAUAGAGUAGAAUAGGCGAUAUCUGGUGAUCAAGGGGGGGGGGGCUUGCCUGAUUGCUCUGGCAAGAAGGAGGGGUCGUCAACUCCGUAGUCGAACUGGGCAGCAGCAGCGUCGGUCUCGUAGUCUACCGGAGAGAAGAGGGGGAAGAAACAAUGAAUACAAUGCAAACAAAUGCAUAUCGAUGCAUGACAUGACAAGUAAUGAUGCUAGGUGUGCCCAAUCGCGGUAGUAGGUGAUACCGACGAAGGGGGGAAACAUCCGGGAAAGUAUUCCCGGUGUUUCGCGUUUUCGGACAAAUGAACCAGAGGGGAAAAGUUGCGAGUUCGAUAGGUUAGGGGUGUGUGGCGGACGAACGGACUGCGUAUCCAGAAUCGUCUUGUCGUUCUGAGCAACUUUCAUGUUGAAAAUAUUUUAAUCCGAGUUACGGAUUAAAAGAUAUGAUUUUCUAAAGAUUUUAUUAAUUUCUGGAAAUUAAUUAAUUAAUUAAUUAAUUCAAAAAAUGGAUUUAUGACGUCAGCAUGAUGUCAUGCUGACGUCAGCAGUCAUCAGGGUUGACUUGGUCAACCUGACAUGUGGGUCCCGUUCGUCAUACUCUGUUAGUUAAUUAACAGUAGUUAAUUAGGUUAAUUAGCCAUUAGGUUAAUUAAUCAGGAUUAAUUAAAUUAAUUAUUUACUUAAUUAAUUAAUUAAUAUUUUAAUUAUAUUUUUUUUUAACGUUCUGGGGUGGGACCCUGUGGUCAGUGGCACUGAGUGCCCAGUCAGCAUUGUUGACCACGGUCAACGUGGUCAACCGAGUCCAGGGGGGCCACGGGCAGCGACCGAGAGGCGGGCCACGUCGGUGCCAGGUCAGCGCCGGCGCCGGAGCAACGCCGGCGAGGCCAUCCGCGGCGGCCGAACGCCGGAGAUGGCCGGAAUCGCGCUAUGGCGCGCCAUUCGAGCCCUGUUCGGGCACGUUCGAAAGGUGGGGCUGGGCCGCAUCCAACCGUGAUGGUGGCGCGGGCCGUAAUGGCCGGAAUCUUCGCCGGCGGCGAGUGGAGGCGGUGGUGGCGUUCGGGAGGUUGCGGGAACGGGGCUACGGGGCGAGAGGGAGGCGCGGGGUGCGGCAGUGCGCAACCCGGCGUGGCGGCGACGNNNNNNNNNNNNNNNNNNNNNNNNNNNNNNNNNNNNNNNNNNNNNNNNNNNNNNNNNNNNNNNNNNNNNNNNNNNNNNNNNNNNNNNNNNNNNNNNNNNNNNNNNNNNNNNNNNNNNNNNNNNNNNNNNNNNNNNNNNNNNNNNNNNNNNNNNNNNNNNNNNNNNNNNNNNNNNNNNNNNNNNNNNNNNNNNNNNNNNNNNNNNNNNNNNNNNNNNNNNNNNNNNNNNNNNNNNNNNNNNNNNNNNNNNNNNNNNNNNNNNNNNNNNNNNNNNNNNNNNNNNNNNNNNNNNNNNNNNNNNNNNNNNNNNNNNNNNNNNNNNNNNNNNNNNNNNNNNNNNNNNNNNNNNNNNNNNNNNNNNNNNNNNNNNNNNNNNNNNNNNNNNNNNNNNNNNNNNNNNNNNNNNNNNNNNNNNNNNNNNNNNNNNNNNNNNNNNNNNNNNNNNNNNNNNNNNNNNNNNNNNNNNNNNNNNNNNNNNNNNNNNNNNNNNNNNNNNNNNNNNNNNNNNNNNNNNNNNNNNNNNNNNNNNNNNNNNNNNNNNNNNNNNNNNNNNNNNNNNNNNNNNNNNNNNNNNNNNNNNNNNNNNNNNNNNNNNNNNNNNNNNNNNNNNNNNNNNNNNNNNNNNNNNNNNNNNNNNNNNNNNNNNNNNNNNNNNNNNNNNNNNNNNNNNNNNNNNNNNNNNNNNNNNNNNNNNNNNNNNNNNNNNNNNNNNNNNNNNNNNNNNNNNNNNNNNNNNNNNNNNNNNNNNNNNNNNNNNNNNNNNNNNNNNNNNNNNNNNNUUUGUUGUUGUUGUUUUUUUCUUGUUAUUCUUUUCUAUUUUAUUUUAGUUACUCUUUAUUCCUGGUUUAGUAAAAGAUGACAAUAGCUCCAAAAAUAGUGUGUCAAAAUAAUCCACUGUUCUAAGAAGUUUUACCUCAGAAUAAAAAUAGUUUAGUAUUUGGUAAAAUAUAUUAGGAGUAUAACUAAUUGCUUUGAUGUUGUUUUAAUCACUUUAGGGUAUUUAAUUAUUUUAUAAAGAUGUUGUUACUCCACUAAUAAUAUCCAUGAUUUAUUUGUCACAUUAAGAACAUUUUAGUUUUUACUUUUGAAAACUUUAAUGGUUUGACUUGAUUUUAAAUUUGAAAUUUGAACUGGUUUCGAACUAACGCAAGAUUAGUAAUAAUAAUCAAGGUGACGUGGCAUCAUUAGCAGAGGUUCACUGUAGCUUGAUUACCCGGACGUCACAAUUCUCCUCCACUACAAGAAAUCUGGUCCCGAGAUUUAAGAGGGGAGUAAGGGGGAAAGUUCUGGUUACGGUAUUCUAACGGAUCUUCUCGGUCUUGGUUGCUCUUCUCGAAGCGGUCGAUCCAUUAUGUUGAUGUCUUCAUUUCUCUGCAUCAGGCCAUCAUGAUGUAGUACACAUCCUUUCUUUGGGAUCUUCAUCGUACUUACGGAAAGGAUAAAGGGUGGGCAUUCCGGGAGUACGGACCUCUGCAAGGUCAACUAUCUGGUCGUUAACAUCGGGGAGGGUGGCGGAUAGCGACUCUCGAAUUGAAACUUAAGAAAAUAUCGUGAGCAAAGUAAGAAGGUGCAAAAUAGAAGUUUCAAGCGCAUAGGCAAUCGUUCGUUGCCUGAAACAAGGUGUGAAAGGGGCUAAGAGCAAUGGGAAUAAGUAUUGCGUCUGAUAGCAGAAUAGAUCAACAGGCAAGUGGCCCGUGAAUUACAUACAAAGUCAAGCGUGAGGUAUAUCUUUGGAAACGUGGUGUACAAGAGAGUCAGGUUUCGAUCCUGUGGAACUGGGGGUUAUGGGCCCACCAUGUGGGUUAAAAGUAGGAAAGGCUGUGACGUCUUGCACAAUCAUGUAAGCAAGGCAUGUCAGAGGAGAGUCUGUGGGUCAUGUCGGCAACAACAUAGGUACCAAGGGCGAGGGACGAAGAGAACCAUUUUUCUGCUCGUUGAAACGAGGCGGACCAAUAGGCAAGGUUCCCGUCCAUCGGUGGUUACCGGAAUGUCAUCAACAAUAGUAACAAGGUCUUACCGACAGAGUUAUGCAUCGAGGUGUUUGCACAAGCAGUGGAUUAUUAUUGCUUAUAUCAUAUAGAUCACAAGAAAGGUUAAACCAACAAUGGAAGGAAAAUAUGAUCAGCAGAUUAAACAGAACAAUGGAAAGGAAUAUGUGUUUAAACACAUAUUUCAGGGGUAUAUCCUUCCCAAUGACAAGCAGAGCAUGAUAUCCAUGACAGGAUAUAAAGUAGAAAACCAUUUAGGUAAGGGGGAAGGAAUCUCAUGAUAUUACCCAUACAACGGUGUUAGGAUAAGUGAUAAAUAAAAUUUAGCACCGUGCUUCAAAUGUUCCUGUUGAAAAUCGGAGUACCAUUGACAUGCUUCGAGAUAGCAUUGACAUGGUCAUCAGGUGAAGAUCAGACUUUGGAAACACGAAGGAUCCAUCAGGAAUAACUUGUAGAAUAAGUCUUACAAUUUCCUCAUGGAUGAAUGGAAAACCUUGCUGAAAAGGAAUCUAUAAUGAUAGGUCCUCCAGCCGGGGGGGGGGGUGCUAGGCAUGACAUCAUGUUACCGGGUCAUCAAAGGAUCAACAUCAUAACUCUUGGAAAGUUGUCCCAACCAUCAUAUCUGACCGAGAUCCAUAUCCAAUUGGUGUCAUGAUACCUCAGACUCAGGGGGUCCGAGAGGAAAAGGUGCAACACAAAUCGGCGAAGUGACAUUGCAAGAUUCUCGAGAAAUGAACUAUGGGAGCGGGUUUCUGAAGCAAUAGUUCAUCAUUAAACCAAGGGCGGGAUGAGAAGGUGGCUAAUGGGCUCAGCGACAAUUCAUCGAGAAUUCCAAACGGAGGGAUUUCCACGAUAAUGUGAACAAGAAGAUGACAUUUGUUAGAUCAAAUGAUAUAAGGAAAUAUGCUCGAGGAAAACAUACACAAUUAAACAUUGGUUGAAAGGUGCGCCCGAAAUAUGGGUUGGGUUGCACGACCAAUGUCAGAAUGGUGAUUCAAUAGUCAAUAGCCUAAGAAUGAACUUUCGACCAUUAACUUCAAAAAAAAAUUAGGGUUUCUAGAAGGAAAGAAUCCAAACAACACCGUUCACUUGUUGGAAUUAACACGGGGACCAAGAAAUGAACGAAGAUGGCAAGAAGCAUUUUGAUAUCAAGAAUUCUUAAGAGGUGGUGAAAUUCCCACCGCAUUCUUGACAAAAAGAGAUGGUAAUACUUCCGAGGUAAGGAAGAUCAAAUGCUGGGUAGCAAGGAACUCAAGGUAUAACACCAAGCAUGAACAAGCUUGUGUUGGUGGGAAGGCCAUAAAGUGGUCGAUGAUAAUACAAUUCAUCAAGGGCAAGGAUGGUAUUUCUCAUCAUGAAUUCAGUUGAUAUCAUGGAUGAGCUCAGAAUGUUGAUGAUCACGACACCUUUGUCGCGAGAGUUCAUGAAGAUGUAAUCGAUCGGCGACGACAUCAAGUCAAAGUAAUGACGAAGUGAAAGGUUAUUGGAACCAAGGGUACGACACAAACUCGAAACCAAGCUUGUUGUUCAAGGCGAAAUGAUAUGACGAUGAGGACCGACGUAAGGUUAGUUCAUCGUCGAAAAUUGUGCUCCGAGAAGAAGGACCGGGUAGCACAGUUAAAAUCAUCAUGACAAUGAUAUAGCCAAACAGGCUAGGAAUGGCGUGAUCGGGUACAAACUCGUAUUUAUAGAAGCUUACUAAAGAGUUGUUGAACCGUAGUGCGGACUCGGUUCAGUUAUCGGUGUCUUUGAGGGUAUAAUAACUCAGAGCCCGCGAAAAAUUGGAAUCAGUGGGAAGGUAGCACUUGAUGAAGAACUCAUAAAAAGUUAUGCAGUUCCAUGAUAAUCUCGAGAUACCAGGGGGGUAAUACUCGACGACAAAUCAAAAUAGAGGUUGGACUGGGGUAUUGCUCUGCAGAAGACAAGUGCUUAAACUUGCACGAGAAUUGGUAUUUAAAGGAGAACAUGGUCGGAACCACGAUUGAAAAAGGCCAGAUCCCAGAUGUAAGAUGAACUUAUACCAAGGGAUUAAUUAAUUUUAAAAGAAGCUUCGAUGAGAAGAUCUACAUCGUGUCUAUGGGCAUGAACACAAAGUUCAAGGUCGACUCCCACUCCUCCAAUGCAUAACCUUUCAUUCACUUCUCACGUUCGAUGAAGUUGCAGUGUUGAAAUUUUAUCUGGUGAAGCACCUGAAGAGUAUGACUCGUGAAAACUUUCGGGUUCACACGGUUUAGAGAAGGCAUAUGUUCAACCCAUAGGGGCUUCUUAGAAACAUAUACCAUAAGUUUCAAGAGUAAAUAACACAAGCCCGAAAGCAGAGCAUGGUUGGCCAAGCAGAGGAUACAACUUAACAAAGGCAUUAUGUAUCAGGGGAAGAACUCAUAAAGUGAUCAAAUGUGAAGGACACUGUCGGAUAACAAUCCAACAAAGGACUUGAUGGUCCACAAAGGAUCUGAUACGAGUAUCGGUACUCAACUAGAGGAAGAAGAAUGCAAGGAGAUCAGAUUAUAGAAACAACUGACUAACUCAAUUGUCAAAUGCAAAGGAAUUAUGAUUUCCAAAUCAAGGGAUCAGAAGCAAUGCUCUGAUUAGGGAUGGAUAAGUUGAAUAGCCUUAGGGUACAAUCAACGACAAUUGGAUUGGUCGAGAACCAAUUCCAGUUAAAAGAAUGGCAGCUCAGCCGGAAAGGUAAUUUAUAAGGAUUAAUGAUGAUUGCGUGUAUUCGCAAACAUAUUGAGUCAUUAGACCCAAAAUGAUAAUGACAAGGAAUGUCAAUAAGACUACGAGACUUAUGGGAUUAACCAUAAUGCGAGCAAGCAAGAAUUUCAAGAGCCAAAGGCUCCAGAGGAUUUUCGGAAGAUCGAAUAGUAUUUAGACUUUUGUGAAACACAUGAACAACUGGGGAUGAGCGGAUACUCGAUAAGUGCGAGAAUUAUCCAUAGGGGUAUUCAGGUGACAAAGAACAGCAAGGCGGUAAGCUCAAAGGAUUAUCAAAACAACAACGAGUGUUUCGAGGUAUCUAGUAAUAACAAGGCCAACUGGGGAUGAAUGUAAGAAUAACAACGGCAAGUAGUUAUCCAUAAGGGUUGACGGUGGAAGGGGAAUUGCAAAUGCAAUGAACAUAAGUUCUCGGGUUAACAGCGAAGAGUAUCUUCAGGGUCUUCACGUGCCGCAGACGAUCAUCAUUAAUAAGGGGCUCUCCAGGUGAAAGUGAUAACGAGAUCCUGAUGAUAGAUUUAGCAAAAAUCUUUUAACCCGAAUAGAAGAGAGAUCAGAGUCCUAGAGUAAAGGUCGAGGAGUAAAAGAUCCUAGUACCACCCAAUGGCAACGUGGGCCCAUGGGCCGCACAGCCAUGUUAGUAAAAGUUUUGUAAAGUCUAGACUCGACUUCGGCCAAGGAGUUGGAAGGGGGAUUCCUACAGGCAGUCGGCUCUGAUACCAACUUGUGACGCCCCCGAUUCAAUCGUACACUAAUCAUGCACGCAAACGUGUACGAUCAAGAUCAGGGACUCACGGGAAGAUAUCACAACACAACUCUAAAACAUAAAUAAGUCAUACAAGCAUCAUAAUACAAGCCAGGGGCCUUGAGGGCUCGAAUACAAGUGCUUGAUCAUAGACGAGUCAGCGGAAGCAACAAUAUCUGAGUACAGACAUAAGUUAAACAAGUUUGCCUUAAGAAGGCUAGCACAAACUGGGAUACAGAUCGAAAGAGGCACAGGCCUCCUGCCUGGGAUCCUCCUAAACUACUCCAGGUCAUCAUCAGCGGGUAGCACGUAGUAGUAGGCACCUCCAGUGUAGUAGGGGUCGUCGUCGACGGUGGCGUCUGGCUCCUGGACUCCAGCAUCUGGUUGCGACAACCAGAAAGAAAGGAAAGGGGAAAAAGGGGGGAGAAAGCAACCGUGAGUACUCAUCCAAAGUACUCGCAAGCAAGGAACUACACUACAUAUGCAUGGGUAUAUGUGUAAGGAGGCCAUAUCAAUGGACUGAACUGCAGAAUGCCAGAAUAAGAGGGGGAUAACUAAUCAUGUCGAAGACUACGCUUCUCGCAGCCACCGUCUUGCAUCAAGUAGAAGAGAGUAGAUUGAAGUCCUCCAAGUAGCAUCUCCAAGUAACCUCUCCAAAUAGCACCUCAUAGCAUAAUCCUACCCGGCGAUCCCCUCCUCAUAUCCCUGAGGUAGAGCGACCACCGGUUGUAUCUGGCACUUGGAAGGGUGUGUUUUAUUAAGUAUCCGGUUCUAGUUGUCAUAAGGUCAAGGUACAACUCCAAGUCGUCCUGUUACCGAAGAUCACGGCUAUUCGAAUAGAUUAACUUCCCUGCAGGGGUGCACCAACUUACCCAGCACGCUUGAUCCCAUUUGGCCGGACACACUUUCCUGGGUCAUGCCCGGCCGCGGAAGAUCAACACGUCGCAGCCCCACCUAGGCACAACAGAGAGGCCAGCACGCCGGUCUAAACCUAAGCGCACAGGGGUCUGGGCCCAUCGCCCAUAGCACACCUGCAUGUUGCGAGGGCGGCCGAAAGCAGACCUAGCCUAGUGGCGUUCCAGUCCAAUUCGGCGCGCGCCGCUCCGUCGCUGACGUCUGAAGUGCUUCGGCUGAUACCACGACGUCGGGAUACCCAUAACUACUCUCGCGUAGAUGGUUAGUGCGUAUAAGCUCGUAGCCAGACUCAGAUCAAAUACCAAGAUCUCGUUAAGCGUGUUAUUAUGAAGCAACCGCGGACGCCGACUAGGGCCAGGCCCACCUCUCUCCUAGGCGGUCUCAACCUGCCCUGUCGCUCCGCCACAAAGAUCCACACAGAGGGCCGUCGGGACAAAGGUCCUUUCAGCCCCCAAUCCGUGAAUCACUCGCGGGUACUCUUCGAGUUGACCCGACUUUAGUCACCAUCUGUAUAGUAUGUAUGUAUGUAUAGUAUAUACCCGUGAUCACCUCCCGAGUGAUCACGGCCCAAUAGUAUAGCAAGGCAGACUGACAAGAAUGUAGGGCCAAUGAUGAUAAACUAGCAUCCUAUACUAAGUAUUUAGGAUUGCAAGUAAGGUAUCAACAGAUGUAGCAACAAUGUCAGGCUAUGCAUCAGAAUAGGAUCAACGGAAAGCAGUAACAUGCUACACUACUCUAAUGCAAGCAGUAUAGAGUAGAUAGGCGAUAUCUGGUGAUCAAGGGGGGGGGCUUGCCUGAUUGCUCUGGCAAGAAGGAGGGGUCGUCAACUCCGUAGUCGAACUGGGCAGCAGCAGCGUCGGUCUCGUAGUCUACCGGAGAGAAGAGGGGGAAGAAACAAUGAAUACAAUGCAAACAAAUGCAUAUCGAUGCAUGACAUGACAAGUAACGAUGCUAGGUGUGCCCAAUCGCGGUAGUAGGUGAUGCCGACGAAGGGGGGAAACAUCCGGGAAAGUAUUCCCGGUGUUUCGCGUUUUCAGACAGAUGAACCGGAGGGGAAAAGUUGCGAGUUCGAUAGGUUAGGGGUGUGUGGCGGACGAACGGACUGCGUUUCCGGAAUCGUCUUGUCGUUCUGAGCAACUUUCAUGUUGAAAAUAUUUUAAUCCGAGUUACGGAUUAAAAGAUAUGAUUUUCUAAAGAUUUUAUUAAUUUCUGGAAUUUAACCAAUUAAUUAAUUAAUUCAAAAAAAUGGAUUUAUGACGUCAGCAUGAUGUCAUGCUGACGUCAGCAGUCAUCAGGGUUGACUUGGUCAACCUGACAUGUGGGUCCCGUUCGUCAUCUCUGUUAGUUAAUUAACAGUAGUUAAUUAGGUUAAUUAAUCAGGAUUAAUUAAAUUAAUUAUUUAAUUAAUUAAUUAAUUAAUAUUUUAAUUAUCUUUUUUUAAUGUUCUGGGGUGGGACCCUGUGGUCAGUGGCACUGAGUGCCCAGUCAGCAUUGUUGACCACGGUCAACGUGGUCAACCGAGUCCAGGGGGGCCACGGGCAGCGACCCAGAGGCGGGCCACGUCGGUGCCAGGUCAGCGCCGGCGCCGGAGCAACGCCGGCGAGGCCAUCCGCGGCGGCCGAACGCCGGAGAUGGCCAGAAUCGCGCUAUGGCGCGCCAUUCGAGCCCUGUUCUGGCGCGUUCGAAGGGUGGGGCUGGGCCGCCUCCAACCGUGAUGGUGGCGCGGGCCGUAAUGGCCGGAAUCUUCGCCGGCGGCGAGUGGAGGCGGUGGUGGCGUUCGGGAGGUUGCGGGAACGGGGCUACGGGGCGAGAGGGAGGCGCGGGGUGCGGCAGUGCGCAACCCGGCGUGGCGGCGACGGCGGNNNNNNNNNNNNNNNNNNNNNNNNNNNNNNNNNNNNNNNNNNNNNNNNNNNNNNNNNNNNNNNNNNNNNNNNNNNNNNNNNNNNNNNNNNNNNNNNNNNNNNNNNNNNNNNNNNNNNNNNNNNNNNNNNNNNNNNNNNNNNNNNNNNNNNNNNNNNNNNNNNNNNNNNNNNNNNNNNNNNNNNNNNNNNNNNNNNNNNNNNNNNNNNNNNNNNNNNNNNNNNNNNNNNNNNNNNNNNNNNNNNNNNNNNNNNNNNNNNNNNNNNNNNNNNNNNNNNNNNNNNNNNNNNNNNNNNNNNNNNNNNNNNNNNNNNNNNNNNNNNNNNNNNNNNNNNNNNNNNNNNNNNNNNNNNNNNNNNNNNNNNNNNNNNNNNNNNNNNNNNNNNNNNNNNNNNNNNNNNNNNNNNNNNNNNNNNNNNNNNNNNNNNNNNNNNNNNNNNNNNNNNNNNNNNNNNNNNNNNNNNNNNNNNNNNNNNNNNNNNNNNNNNNNNNNNNNNNNNNNNNNNNNNNNNNNNNNNNNNNNNNNNNNNNNNNNNNNNNNNNNNNNNNNNNNNNNNNNNNNNNNNNNNNNNNNNNNNNNNNNNNNNNNNNNNNNNNNNNNNNNNNNNNNNNNNNNNNNNNNNNNNNNNNNNNNNNNNNNNNNNNNNNNNNNNNNNNNNNNNNNNNNNNNNNNNNNNNNNNNNNNNNNNNNNNNNNNNNNNNNNNNNNNNNNNNNNNNNNNNNNNNNNNNNNNNNNNNNNNNNNNNNNNNNNNNNNNNNNNNNNNNNNNNNNNNNNNNNNNNNNNNNNNNNNNNNNNNNNNNNNNNNNNNNNNNNNNNNNNNNNNNNNNNNNNNNNNNNNNNNNNNNNNNNNNNNNNNNNNNNNNNNNNNNNNNNNNNNNNNNNNNNNNNNNNNNNNNNNNNNNNNNNNNNNNNNNNNNNNNNNNNNNNNNNNNNNNNNNNNNNNNNNNNNNNNNNNNNNNNNNNNNNNNNNNNNNNNNNNNNNNNNNNNNNNNNNNNNNNNNNNNNNNNNNNNNNNNNNNNNNNNNNNNNNNNNNNNNNNNNNNNNNNNNNNNNNNNNNNGGGGGGGGCUUUUAUUUUCUUUUGUUGUUGUUGUUUUUUUCUUGUUAUUCUUUUCUAUUUUAUUUUAGUUACUCUUUAUUCCUGGUUUAGUAAAAGAUGACAAUAGCUCCAAAAAUAGUGUGUCAAAAUAAUCCACUGUUCUAAGAAGUUUUACCUCAGAAUAAAAAUAGUUUAGUAUUUGGUAAAAUAUAUUAGGAGUAUAACUAAUUGCUUUGAUGUUGUUUUAAUCACUUUAGGGUAUUUAAUUAUUUUAUAAAGAUGUUGUUACUCCACCAAUAAUAUCCAUGAUUUAUUUGUCACAUUAAGAACAUUUUAGUUUUUACUUUUGAAAACUUUAAUGGUUUGACUUGAUUUUAAAUUUGAAAUUUGAACCGGUUUCGAACUAACGCAAGAUUAGUAAUAAUAAUCAAGGUGACGUGGCAUCAUUAGCAGAGGUUCACUGUAGCUUGAUUACCCGGACGUCACAAACGCCCACACGUGUGAUGGGAGCGAAACCCGCCACACGCCCUACAACACUCAGACUGCGCCAUGUCACCGUAUGCAUGCAUGCAUUGGAAUCUUUUUGGAUUUCCAGUUUUUAAAAUGGUUUAUCUCUUAAAUGAAAAAUCUGAUUGAAGAUCUAUUUUCACCAUUAAAUCCCCCGCGACGAGAUCUUCGAAACUUGAUCUUAUAUUUUUUGAAAAACAGCUUGAACUUUAUUAAUUAGAGAUAAUGGUUACAUCGUCUAUCAGAAGAGUUACAAGAGUUUCCAUGGGCUCCUCUAUCCAAUCCCUAGUCGUGGAACAUUUUGCUAAUCUAGCAAGCUCAUGAGCUACUUUGUUCGCUUCUCUAUUACAAUGUUCAAAACUGGUUUAUGGAAAAUCACAGGCCAUAAAAAAACAAUCCUCAAAAAUUGCCGCCGCUGCUCCCGCAGACUCUCCACCGUUCUUCAUUGUGUCAAUGACUUCCAUAUUAUCUGAAUUGAUAAUGAGACGAUUGCAGCCCGUUUUUUGUGCCAGCAGUAAACCAAACCUGAGGGCUAACGCCUCCAUUGUCAGAGCAUCCGCAUAGUACUGAAUCUUCCAAUUACCACCUACUAUGAAGUUUCCUUUGUCAUCUCUGAUAACAGCACCCGCUGUGCCUCGUAGUUGAUCAUGAUCAAAAGAAGCAUCCACAUUCAAUUUAACAAACCCCAUUGGAGGUCUGCACCAUCCUUCAUUCUUUCUCUUUGCUCUAGGUGAGUGAGCAUUUACAUAAUUCGCUGUUAUAGCUCUAAUCCCCAUAGAGGUUUGAGACGCCUCCUGAGACUUACCCUCAUGAACUAGUUUCCGUCUAUUCCACCAUAAAUACCAAGCAACUAUAGCGAUUAGUUCCCCUGCAUUCCGGGAGCCCAAGAUAGGUAAUUCAUGAUCAGGCAUAAGGAGUAAGAAUUCAAGGACUGUCUCUCCUGCACGGUCAAUGACGCAGGCUUUUUUUACCACUUCAUACAACCCCAAAUAUUCCCACACUUCUUUUGCCUUCUGGCACAAAAAUAAUACAUGUUUCGUGUCCUCUGGCCCAUCCAAACAUAUUGGAGAGUUUUUAUGUGUCUGUUGGCCAGUGUAAUGCGACACGGUAGAGUCCCGUGGAGCGUACGCCAAAUAAAAAAUUUAACCUUCGCCGGACAAGCCAAUUUCCCGAUCUUACCCCAAAUAGGAUUGACCUUACUUCUACCCAUGCCAUAUGAGUAUUCCAAUUUCCUCCCAUGCUGCUUUUUCCAUUCCUCCCCAUAUGCUGUUCGUACAGUGCAUAAACCAUUUUUUGUAUAGCUCCAAGCAAUUCUACGGGCAUCAAUUGGCCACAAAGUUUGUCUCACCAAAUCUUCAUCCCAACAAUUCGUGAUUGGGUCAAUAAGCUCUGAAACUUUCGUCAGGAGAUUCCCCCUUCUUGGUGUAAUAAUUUUCCUAUCUGCACAAUUUGGGAUCCAUGCAUCUCUCCAUAUGUCAAUAUUUUCUCUUGUUCCGACUCUCCAUAUAUAGCCAUUCCUGAGUGAAACCACUCCCGCCAUAAUGCUUUGCCACGUAAAAGAGGAGCCCUUUUUUAAUACCGUCCUCGUCAAAUCGCCCUCCGGGAAAUACUUUGCUCUUAGGAUUGUUGCACAUAAGGAUUCAGGAUUUUCCAAGAGGCGCCAAGCUUGUUUCGCUAGCAAAGCCAGGUUAAAACAGUGUAUUUCACAGAAACCCAUUCCACCUAGGUCUUUUGGAACACACAUCUUCCACCAUGCCAUCCAGUGCAUCCUUUUUUGAUUGUCCUCGUCACCCCAGCAGAAUUGCGACAUCGCUUCUAUAAUUCCUUUGCAUUUUUUUAGGAAUUUUAAAGACGGACAUUGCAUAUGUUGGGAUAGCUUGAACAACAGACUUAAGCAAAAUUUCCUUUCCACCAGCCGAUAACAACUUCUCUUUCCAUCCACUAAUCUUCAUAAUAAUACGAUCAAUCAAGAACCAGAAACAAUCGCUUUUGUCCAUGCCCACAUUGGCAGGUAGUCCCAAAUAUUUAUCGUUAAGUGCCUCAGUCAUAAUAUUUAAAAUUGUACAUAUUUGCACUUUGUCCUCCACUUUUGUAUUGGGACUAAAAAAUAUACAGGAUUUUUCUACACUCACCAUUUGCCCCGAGGCGGCACAGUAAGAGUCCAAAAAUGCUCUAAGGGCCUCCGCGUUCGCAGCAUUUGCUCGCAUGAGGAUCAAAGAAUCAUCAGCAAAUAAUAGAUUGGAAACUGAAGGGGCUUCCCUGCUAACCUUUAUGCUAGAAAUCUUUCCUCUCUCCUCUGCAUUUGCUAAUAGGGCAGUCAGGCCCUCUGUACAUAACAGGAAUAAGUAGGGGGAGAGGGGGUCCCCCUGCCUUAGCCCUCUAGUGGGUUUGAAGUUAUCGGUCUCAUCUGCAUUAAACUGAACCCUGUACUCCACAGAGGACACACAUUGCAUAAUCAAGUUCACCCAGUUUUCUUUGAAACCCAACUUCACCAGAAUUGCUUUUAAGAAAGACCAUUCCACUCGGUCGUAAGCUUUAUGCAUGUCCAACUUGAUAGCACACAACCCCUCCCUCCCUGUUCUUUUCUUUUUAAUUGUGUGGAAACACUCAUAUGCUACUAAACUAUUAUCUGUGAUCAGUCUCCCAGGAACAAAAGCACUCUGAGUUGGGCUGAUAAUAUCUGACAGAAUUAAUUUCAAACGCGAUGCAAUAAUUUUGAAAAUAACCUUAUAUCUAUAUGUUUCGACGACUUUUUUUUUGGGUUAAAAGUUGCCAUGUCUAUUGCACAUGAAUAGCCAUGGUGUUUACACUGAAGUUGCCAUGAUAUAUUUCAGCUAUUUUCUUCUACAUUUAAAAGUAAAUUUUGACAUAUUAUAAAACAGGGAAUUAAGAAACUAGACUUGCCAUGAACCAUAAACUAAAGUUGCCAUGAUACAUGCACUUCAAAUUGCCAUGGUUCAUACAAAAAAUAAUUUUCAUGGUCAAAGUACUGGAAUUGCCAUCAUCUAAAAUUGCCACAUGACAACUUUAGUUUAAGCAUUAUGGCAACUACAAUGUAAACAUCAUGGCAACUUUUGGGAAAAAAAUUCGUUGAACCAUAUCAACAUGGGUCUAGUUUUGAAGAUCUCGUCGAGACGGAUUUAGUGGUGAAAAUGGAUUUUUAAUUGGAUUUUUAAUUAGGAGAUAAAACAUGUUGUUGUGCCGCGCGCGUCGCCACGGUGCAAUUGCCUGCGACACGAUGGAGUUACGCGUUGCAAAAACUACCAUCCGAGCGUGCCGAUAUUCUAGGUCGUCCGGCCAUUGUCGUAUCCCCCCCCCCGCUCUCGCUGCCGCUCUAUCCUCUGGUGCGACGCGUUUGGAUCUCGCUGUCCCGCCGUGUAUCUCCCUUCGCCGCCGCAUGUCCUCGCCGGUGGCAAGGUACAACUCUCCUCCCCCUCCUCCAGUCCCAAGCUCUGACCCCUCCCUUUCGUCCCCAGCUUUUGGCGACCUGCACGCCGUCGCUCACCGCCGGCCGACUGAUCUGACUAUGAGAGCAAGCAUGGGACUCCGGCGGUGCGUACAUGUGUGCGCGCGCACCGGCCGGGUGCUCGUGGCCGCUCACACAAUCUAGUUGUGAGAGUUGUCGCCUGGUCGUCCAUGCAUGUGAGCAAGCAAGGGAUCUAUGCGUUGUGCCCUUACUCGCGAGGAGGGCCUGGUCGUUGUAGAUCAUCUGGACCAUGUGCUUGAGUAACUCGAUGCCAUGCUUGGUUUGGCCGCUGGCCUUGUACAGGCCUGAUCUGGCUAUGAGGGCUGCCUAUGGAUUAGAGAUGAUUCUGCAUAUUUGUUCUGUUAACUCCACCAAUAAUUUGUGCAUAUCUUUUUCUUUUGAUUUGAUCAGGAGGAAGAAGAACAAGAGAUUAUCUAGCCAGAGGAAGAAGAACAAGCGAGAGAGAAGCUAGUUUUGUUUUGUAUUCGUGCUGUUAGGAUCAAGAGAUCAGCUAGCUAGAAUAGAUGGACAGUAAAAGAAGUGUCUUCAGGGGGCUAUCUGUUCCGUGUAUGCAUGCUAAAUAUAGGAUCUCAUGAAUGCUGACAAUGGAAUACACAUAGAAGUACAUGGAUUUUCAUUUGUUCCCCUAUUUAGCUGCCUCUUUGAUUGAAAGGAUCUUCAUACGAAAUUUACAAAUUCAGAAUACUAUGAUUUCUUAUCUGUGUUUUAUCAUGUUCUUUUGAAGGAAAUAUGCCCUAGAGGCAAUAAUAAAGUUAUUAUUUAUCUCCUUAUUUCAUGAUAAAUGUUUUUAUUCAUGCUAGAAUUGUAUUAACCGAAAACUUGAUACAUGUGUGAAGACAUAGACAAACUUACUUUCACUAGUAUGCCUCUACUUGACUAGCUCGUUGAAUCAAAGAUGGUUAAGUUUCCUAGCCAUAGACAUGAGUUGUUAUUUGAUUAACGGGAUCACAUCAUUAGAGAAUGAUGUGAUUGACUUGACCCAUUCUGUUAGCUUAGCACUUGAUCGUUUAGUAUGUUGCUAUUGCUUUCUUCAUGACUUAUACAUGUUCCUAUGACUAUGAGAUUAUGCAACUCCCGAAUACCGGAGGAACACUUUGUGUGCUACCAAACAUCACAGCGUAACUGGGUGAUUAUAAAGGUGCUCUACAGGUGUCUCCGAAGGUACUUGUUGAGUUGGCAUAUUUCGAGAUUAGGAUUUGUCACUCCGAUUGUCGGGGAGGUAUCUCUGGCCCUCUCGGUAAUGCACAUCACUAUAAGACUUGCAAGCAAUGUGACUAAUGAGUUAGUUGCAAGAUGAUGCAUUGCAUAACGAGUAAAGAGACUUGCCGGUAACGAGAUUGAACUAGGUAUUGAGAUACCGAAGAUCGAAUCUCAGGCAAGUAACAUACCGAUGACAAAGGGAACAACGUAUGUUGUUAUGCGGUUUAACUGAUAAAGAUCUUCAUAGAAUAUGUAGGAGCCAAUAUGAGCAUCCAAGUUCCGCUCUUGGUUAUUGACCGGAGACGUGUCUCGGUCAUGUCUACAUAGUUCUCGAACCCGUAGGGCCCGCAUGCUUAAUGUUCGGUGACAAUUUGUAUUAUGAGUUUAUGUGUUUUGAUGUACCGAAGGUAGUUCGGAGUCCCGGAUGAGAUCGGGGACAUGACGAGGAGUCUCGAAAUGGUCGAGAUGUAAAGAUCGAUAUAUUGGAUGACUAUAUUCGGACAUCGGAAAGGUUUCGAGUAAUUCGGGUAUUUUUCGGAGUACCGGAGAGUUAGGGGAAUUCGUCGGGGAGUACAUGGGCCUUAUUGGGCUUUAGGGGAAAGAGAGAGGGGAGGCUGCACCCCCCCAAUGCUUAGUCCGAAUUGGACUAGGGGGAGGGAUGGCGCCCCCUCCUUCCUUCUAUUCUCUUUUCCCUUUCCUUCUCUCCUACUCCUACUACUUGGAAGGGCUCCUAGAACUACUAGGAAAGGGGGAAUCCUACUCUCGGUGGGAGUAGAACUCCCCUAGGGCGCACCAUUGAGAGGGCCGGCGCUCCCCCUCCUCCACUCCUUUAUAUACGGGGAGGGAGGCACCCCUUGGAGACACAACAAUUGGUCAUUGAUCUCUUAGCCGUGUGCGGUGCCCCCUCCACCAUAAUCCACCUCGAUCAUAUCGUAGCGGUGCUUAGGUAAAGCCCUGCAUCGGUAGCAUCAUCAUCACCGUCAUCACACCGUCGUGCUGACAGAACUCUCCCUCGAAGCUCUGCUGGAUCGGAGUUCGUGGGACGUCAUCGAGCUGAACGUGUGCUGAACUCGGAGGUGCCGUGCGUUCGGUACUUGGAUCGGUCGGAUCGUGAAGACGUACGACUACAUCAACCGCAUUGUGAUAACGCUUCCGCUUUCGGUCUACGAGGGUACGUGGACAACACUCUCCCCUCUCGUUGCUAUGCAUCACCAUGAUCUUGCGUGUGCGUAGGAUUUUUUUUUAAAUUACUGUGUUCCCCAACAGUGGUAUUAGAUCCAGGUUUAUGCGUAGAUGUUAUAUGCACGAGUAGAAUACAAGUGAGUUGUGGGUGAUACAAGUCAUAUUGCUUACCAGCAUGUCAUACUUUGGUUCGGCGGUAUUGUUGGAUGAAGCGGCCCGGACCGACAUUACGCGUAUGCUUACGUGAGACUGGUUUUACCGCCGUGCUUUGCACACAGGUGACUAGCGGGUGUCAGUUUCUCCAACUUUAGUUGAAUCGAGUGUGGCUACGCCCGGUCCUUGAGAAGGUUAAAACAUCACUAACUUGACGAACUAUCAUUGUGGUUUUGAUGCGUAGGUAAGAACGGUUCUUGCUCAGCCCGUAGCAGCCACGUAAAACUUGCAACAACAAAGUAGAGGAUGUCUAACUUGUUUUUGCAGGGCAUGUUGUGAUGUGAUAUGGUCAAGACAUGAUGCUAUAUUUUGUUGUAUGAGAUGAUCAUGUUUUGUAACCGAGUUAUCGGCAACUGGCAGGAGCCAUAUGGUUGUCGCUUUAUUGUAUGCAAUGCAAUCGCCCUGUAAUUGCUUUACUUUAUCACUAAGCGGUAGCGUAGUCAUAGAAGCAAUAGUUGGCGAGACGACAACGAUGCUACAAUGGAGAUCAAGGUGUCGCGCCGGUGAUGAUGGUGAUCAUGACGGUGAUUCGGAGAUGGAGAUCACAAGCACAAGAUGAUGAUGGCCAUAUCAUAUCACUUAUAUUGAUUGCAUGUGAUGUUUAUCUUUUGUGCAUCUUAUUUUGCUUUGAUUGACGGUAGCAUUAUAAGAUGAUCUCUCACUAAAUUUCAAGAUAAAAGCGUUCUCCCUGAGUAUGCACCGUUGCCAAAGUUUGUCGUGCCGAGACACCACGUGAUGAUCGGGUGUGAUAAGCUCUACGUCCAUCUACAACGGGUGCAAGCCAAUUUUGCACACGCAGAAUACUCAGGUUAAACUUGACGAGCCUAGCAUAUGCAGAUAUGGCCUGGAACACUGAGACCGAAAGGUCGAGCGUUAAUCAUAUACUAGAUAUGAUCAACAUAGUGAUGUUCACCAUUGAAAACUACUCCAUCUCACGUGAUGAUCGGACAUGGUUUAGUUGAUUUGGAUCACGUGAUCACUUAGAUGAUUAGAGGGAUGUCUAUCUAAGUGGGAGUUCUUAAGUAAUAUGAUUAAUUGAACUUUAAUUUAUCAUGAACUUAGUCCUGAUAGUAUUUUGCAAAUUGUGUUGUAGAUCAAUAGCUCGCAUUGUUGCUUCCCUAUGUUUAUUUUGAUAUUUUCCUAGAGAAAAACUAUGUUGAAAGAUGUUAGUAGCAAUGAUGUGGAUUGGAUCCGUGAUUUGAGGAUUAUCCUCAUUGCUGCAUAGAAGAAUUAUGUCCUUGAUGCACCGCUAGGUGACAGACCGAUUGCAGGAGCAGAUGCAUACGUUAUGAACAUUUUGACAAAAUCUCGGUAUGAUGACUACUUGAUAGUUUAGUGCACCAUGUUUUACGGCUUAGAACUGGGACUUCAAAAACAUUUUGAAAGCCAUGGAGCAUAUGAGAUGUUCCAAGAGUUGAAAUUGGUAUUUCAUACUCAUGCCCGUGUUGAGAGGUAUGAGACCUCUGACAGUACUUUGCCUACAAGAUGGAGGAGAAUAGCUCAACCAGUGAGCAUGUGCUCAGAUUGUCUGGGUACUACAAUUGCUUGAAUCAAGUGGGAGUUAAUCUUCCAGAUAAGAUAGUAAUUGACAAAAUUCUCUAAUCACUAUCACCAAGUUACCAGAACUUCGUGAUGAACUAUAAUAUGCAAGGGAUGACGAAAGUAAUUCCCGAGCUCUUCGCGAUGCUGAAAUCGACGAAGGUAGAAAUCAAGAAAGAGCAUCAAGUGUUGAUGGUUAACAAGACCACUAGUUUCAAGAAAAGGGCAAAUGGAUAGAAGGGAAACUUCAAGAAGAACGACAAGCAAGUUGCUGCUCAAGUGAAGAAGCCCAAGUCUGGACCUAAGCCUGAAACUGAGUGCUUCUACUGCAAAGGGACUGGUCACUAGAAGCGGAACUGCCCCAAGUAUUUGGCGGAUAAGAAGGAUGGCAAAGUGAAAAAAAGUAUAUUUGAUAUACAUGUUAUUGAUGUGUACUUUACUAGUGUUUAUAGCAACCCCUCGGUAUUUGAUACUGGUUCAGUUGCUAAGAUUAGUAACUCAAAACGGAAGUUGCAGAAUGAACAUAGACUAGUUAAGGGUGAAGUGACGAUGCGUGUUGGAAGUGGUUCCAAGAUUGAUAUGAUCAUCAUUGCACACUCCCUAUACUUCAGGAUUAGUGUUGAACCUAAAUAAGUGUUAUUUGGUGUUUGCGUUGAGCAUGAAUAUGAUUUGAUCAUGUUUAUUGCAAUACGGUUAUUCAUUUAAGUUAGAGAACAAUUGUUGUUCUGUUUACAUGAAUAAAACCUUCUAUGGUCAUACACCCAGUGAAAAUGGUUUGUUAGAUCUCGAUCAUAGUGAUACACAUAUUCAUAAUAUUGAAGCCAAAAGAUGCAAAGUUAAUAAUGAUAGUGCAACUUAUUUGUAGCACUGCCGUUUAGGUAAUAUUGGUGUAAAGCGCAUGAAGAAACUCCAUGCUGAUGGGCUUUUGGAAUCACUUGAUGCUUGCGAACCAUGCCUCAUGGGCAGGAUGACUAAGACUCCGUUCUCCGGAACAAUGGAGCGAGCAACUAACUUAUUGGAAAUAAUGCAUACUGAUGUAUGCGAUCCGAUAAGUAUUGAGGCUCGCGGCGGGUAUCAUUAUUUUCUGAACUUCACAGAUGAUUUGAGCAGAUAUGGGUAUAUGUACUUGAUGAAACAUGAGUCUGAAACAUUUGAAAAGUUCAAAAGAAUUUCAGAGUGAAGUGUUAAAUCAUCGUAACAAGAAAAUAAAGUUUCUACGAUCUGAUCGCGGAGACAAAUAUUUGAGUUAUGAGUUUGGUCUUCAUUUGAAACAAUGUGAAAUAGUUUCACAACUCACGCCACCUGGAACACCACAGCGUAAUGGUGUGUCCGAACAUCGUAAUCAUACUUUACUAGAUAUGGUGUGAUCUAUGAUGUCUCUUACCAAUUUACCACUAUUGUUUUAGGGUUAUGCAUUAGAGACAGCUGCAUUCACGUUAAAAGGGCACCAUAUAAAUCCGUUGAGACGACACCGUAUGAACUAUGGUUUAGCAAGAAACCUAAGCUGUCGUUUCUUAAAGUUUGGGGUUGCGAUGCUUAUGUGAAAAAGUUUCAUCCUGAUAAGCUCAAACCCAAAUCAGAGAAGUGUGUCUUCAUAGGAUACCCAAAAGUAACUAUUGGGUACACCUUCUAUCACAGAUACGAAGGCAAGAUAUUCGUUGCUAAGAAUGGAUCCUUUCUAGAGAAGGAGUUUCUCUCGAAAGAAGUGAGUGGAAGGAAAAGUAGAACUUGAUAAGGUAAUUGUACCUUCUCCCAAAUUGGAAAGUAGUUCAUCACAGAAAUCAGUUCCAGUGAUGCCUACACCAAUUAGUGAGGAAGUUAAUGAUGGUGAUCAUGAAACUUUAGAUAAAGUUACUACCGAACCUCGUAGGUCAGCGAGAGUAAGGUCCACACCAGAGUGGUACGGUAAUCCUAUUCUGGAGUUCAUGUUACUUGACCAUGACGAACCUACGAACUAUGAGGAAGCAAUGAUGAGCCCAGAUUCCGCGAAAUGGCUUGAGGCCAUGAAAUCUGAGAUGGGAUCCAUGUAUGAGAACAAAGUCUGGACUUUGGUUGACUUGCCAGAUGAUCGACAAGCCAUAGAAAACAAAUGGAUCUUCAAGAGAAAGACGGACGCUGAUAGUAGUGUUACUAUCUACAAAGAUAGACUUGUCGGAAAAAGGUUUUUGACAAAGUUCAAGAUGUUGACUACGAUGAGAUUUUCUCACUCGUAGCGAUGCUUAAGUCUGUCCGAAUCAUGUUAGCAAAUUGCCACAUUUUAUGAAAUCUGGCAAAUGGAUGUCAAAACUACAUUCCUUAAUGGAUUUCUUAAAGAAGAGUUAUAUAUGAUGCAACCAGAAUGUUUUGUCAAUCCUAAAGGUGCUAACAAAAUGUCCAAGCUCCAGCGAUCCAUCUAUGGACUGGUGCAAGCAUCUCAGAGUUGGAAUAUACGCUUUGAUAAGUUGAUCAAAGCAUAUAGUUUUAUACAGACUUGCGGUGAAGCCUGUAUUUACAAGAAAGUGAGUGGGAGCACUACAGCCUUUCUGAUAAGUAUAUGUGAAUGACUUAUUGUCGAUUGUCGAUCGGAAAUGAUGUAGAAUUUUCUAGAAAGCAUAAAGGAGGUUUUGAAAGGAGUUUUUCAAAGAAAGACCUCAACGAAGCUGCUUGCAUAUUGAGCAUCAAGAUCUAUAGAGAUAGAUCAAGACGCUUUGAUAAAAAAUUUCAAUGAGUACAUACCUUGACAAGAUUUCGAGGUAGUUCAAAAUGGAACAGUCAAAGAAAGAGUUCUUGCCUGUGUUGCAAAGGUGUGAAAUUGAGUAAGACUCAAAUCCCGACCACGGCAGAAAAUAGAAAGAGAAUGAAAGUCAUUCCCUAUGCCUCAGUCAUAGGUUCUAUAAAGUAUGCCAUGCUAUGGACCAGACCUAUUGUAUACCCCGCCCUGAGUUUGGCAAGGGAGUACAAUAGUGAUCUAGGAGUUGAUCACUGGACAUUGGUCAAAAUUAUCCUUAGUGGAAUAAGGAUGUGUUUCUCGAUUAUGGAGGUGACAAAAGGUUCGUCGUAAAGGGUUACCUUGAUGCAAGUUUUUGACACCGAUCUGGAUGACUCUGAGUCUCAAUCUGGAUACAUAUUGAAAGUGGGAGCAUUUAGCUAGAGUAGCUCCAUGCAGAGCAUUUUAGACAUAGAAUAUUUGCAAAAUACAUACGAAUCUGAAUAUGGCAGACCCGUUGACUAAACUUCUCUCACAAGCAAAACAUGAUCACACCUAAGUACUCUUUGGGUGUUAAUCACAUAGCGAUGUGAACUAGAUUAUUGACUCUAGUAAACCUUUUGAGUGUUGGUCACAUGACAAUGUGAACUAUGGGUGUUAAUUACUUGGUGAUGUAAACUAUUGAUGUUAAAUCACAUGGCGAUGUGAACUAGAUUAUUGACUCUAGUGCAAGUGGGAGACUGAAGGAAAUAUGCCCAAGAGUCAAUAAUAAAGUUAUUAUUUAUUUCCUUAUUUCAUGAUAAAUGUUUUUAUUCAUGCUAGAAUUGUAUUAACCGGAAACUUGAUACAUGUGUGAAUACAUAGACAAACUUAUUGUCACUAGUAUACCUCUACUUGACUAGCUCGUUGAAUCAAAGAUGGUUAAGUUUCCUAGCCAUAGACAUGAGUUGUUAUUUGAUUAACGGGAUCACAUCAUUAGAGAAUGAUGUGAUUGACUUGACCCAUUCUGUUAGCUUAGCACUUGAUCAUUUAGUAUGUUGCUAUUGCUUUCUUCAUGACUUACACAUGUUCCUAUGACUAUGAGAUUAUGCAACUCCCGAAUACCGAGGAACACUUUGUGUGCUACCAAACUUCACAGCGUAACUCGGUGAUUAUAAAGGUGUUCUACAGGUGUCUCCGAAGGUACUUCUUGAGUUGGCGUAUUUCGAGAUUAGGAUUUGUCACUCUGAUUGUCGGAGAGGUAUCUCUGGGCCCUCUCGGUAAUGCACAUCACUAUAAGCCUUGCAAGCAAUGUGACUAAUGAGUUAGUUGCAGGAUGAUGCUUUACGUAACGAGUAAAGAGACUUGCCGGUAACGAGAUUGAACUAGGUAUUGAGAUACCGACGAUCGAAUCUCGGGCAAGUAACAUACCAAUGACAAAGGGAACAACGUAUGUUGUUAUGCGGUUUGACCGAUAAAGAUCUUCGUAGAAUAUGUAGGAGCCAAUAUGAGCAUCCAGGUUCCGCUAUUGGUUAUUGACCAGAGACGUGUCUCAGUCAUGUCUACAUAGUUCUCGAACCCGUAGGGUCCGCACGCUUAACGUUCGAUGACUAUUUGUAUUAUGAGUUUAUGUGUUCUGAUGUACCGAAGGUAGUUCGGUGUCCUAGAUGAGAACGGGGACAUGACGAGGAGUCUCGAAAUGGUCGAGACGUAAAGAUCGAUAUAUUGGAUGACUAUAUUCGGACAUCGAAAAGGUUCCGAGUGAUUCGGGUAUUUUUCGGAGUACCGGAGAGUUAGGGGAAUUCGCCAUGGAGUAUAUGGGCCUUAUUGCGCUUUAGGGGAAAGAGAGAGGGGAGGCUGCGCGCCCCCCAAUGCUUAGUCCGAAUUGGACUAGGGGGAGGGGCGGCGUCCCCUCCUUCCUUCUCUUCUCUUUUCCCUUUCCUUCUCUCCUACUCCUACUACUUGGAAGGGCUCCUAGUUCUACUAGGAAAGGGGGAAUCCUACUCCCGGUGGGAGUAGGACUCCCCUAGGGCGCGCCAUAGAGUGGGCCGGCCCUCCCCCUCCUCCACUCCUUUAUAUACGGGGAGGGAGGCACCCCUUGGAGACACAACAAUUGAUCAUUGAUCUCUUAGCCAUGUGCGGUGCCCCCCUCCACCAUAAUCCACCUCGAUCAUAUCGUAGUGGUGCUUAGGCAAAGCCCUGCAUAGGUAACAUCAUCAUCACCGUCAUCACGCCGUCGUGCUGACGGAACUCUCCCUCGAAGCUCUACUGGAUCGGAGUUCGUGGGACGUCAUCGAGUUGAACGUGUGCUGAACUCGGAGGUGCCGUGCGUUCGGUACUUGGAUCGGUCGGAUCGUGAAGACGUACGACUAUAUCAACCGCGUUGUGCUAACGCUUCCGCUUUCGGUCUACGAGGGUACGUGGACAACACUCUCCCCUCUCGUUGCUAUGCAUCACCAUGAUCUUGCGUGUGCGUAGGAAUUUUUAUGAAAUUACUAUGUUCCCCAACAUCUUUUACUUCAAUCAGCAAAGAUAUCUGAACUGGAGUGCAUAUCGCGAAAACAAUCUUCUAAUUAUUUUACAUACAUGUACAAGCAUCUAGAAUAAAAUUCCACAUCUAUCAUAUUGUUUGAUCUCAUGCAGCCUACCAAACAACAUCUGGGGUAAGCAUGGCCCAUAUCAUGCAAGUACACGAAACACAUAUCUCAACUCCUACUUGCAUCAGCUCAACCAGGCCAGCCCCAACCAAGCUCCUUCAUGCAACGCAGGCUGGAUGCACCCAGGGAACUAAACACGCCCUUAGUCUCUUUAACCUUUCGAUCAUGCCCCACAACACAACAAGCACACCCACGACAACACAUACGGAGAGGAUAUCUAGCGGCUCCCCAAUGGAGUUCGACAUGCAUCAAGUGGAGACUCACAUGAGGGAGACGGAUCUCCCGGUGGUGUAAACCAUCGACCAGGCUAUGGUGGAGGACUACAUCAACACCGUGGAGCACUUGCUUGCUCGGGACAAGUACAAAGUGGUCGUCAUCGACCUCCAGUACACCGACGGUCAUCCCGGGAUAGAUCAAAAGUUUGUCGUCGCCCAAUUGUGCAUGCACCGUCAUGUCCUCAUCUACCAAUAUUGCAUGUCCACAAAGCCUUGCGACCGUUUCGCCAAGUUUGCCAACAACACCAACUACAAGUUCGCUACGGUGGAAACCACCAACAAUGUAAAAGCUCUCAAGGUUACGGGCUUGGCCUGCAAGAACCUUGUCGAAAUCCGUGGCCACUACAAGUUCUGGGGUAGCACAAAGAAGGACACCCUGGUUGAACUCGCCUCGGCCAUCAUCGACCCCUACUAUGAAAAGAUGAAAGAGGAUGCCAAGGGAAAAAUCCUGUAUCCUGGCACAGGGCCUGUACACCAAAACUGGAUGAAGCUCACCUCAAGUUUGCUGCCAAGAAUGUGUACGCAUGCUACGAGAUGCACAGGCGGAUCGUUGACAUGAGGGAGUGCCUCCUUCCCUUAACCGAUGAGGGGUCAAGCCACCAGCGGAGAAGUGGUGACAAGCGUCACAAGAAGAAGUAGAUGAUGAUGAGAUGAUCGUUUAUCCUAGUUAAUUAUGUAUGUACUAGUUUAUUUUGGUGUGUGCAAAUGUCAUGUGUGUACUAGCCACCUAUGUAAUUGGGUGUUUAAUUUGGUUGUGCAAUCAUGUCCUUAUAAGUACAUAUGUUGUUGUUCUGUAUGCAAUCACAUCGCACACAGACCAUACUAGGGAAACUGUCGAUGAUGAAUUCAUCAAUCGCUGACAAUUGUAUACCAGCAAGCGUUUGCCCAUAACACACACAACUUAUUAGUAGCAACCAUCUGUGUUAUUACCGGUCUUCGCACACAUUUCUGAUUAUAUCACACAUAUCUUGUUAAGUUGAGCCGUUUAUGUUCUCUUGGCUCAACACAAACAGUUCAUCAGAGUGAACUAUAUGCCCUCUAUUGCACACACCUUGAUCUGGCUGACCAUUUUAGUUGUGUUGCCUAAUCACUAAUAGUUCAUUCGAGUGAAUUGUAUGUCGUAUAUCGCACACACCUUCAUCUGGCUAAUGUUUCUGUUGUUAUGCUCAUCGUAAACAGUUCAUUGGAGUGAACUGUAUGCCACACAUAGCACACACAACUAUAAUCUGAAUCGUGUUUGAUGUCUCAGACAUCGCAAACGUUACAUAUCAUUUUUGACGGUUUUAUUACAUCACCGUUUGCGAUUCAUGCAUCGCACACAAUUUUGUCGAAGGGUCUCUGAUUGUAGUGUCACGUUAGCAGCAUCCUGCAGUAGUGUUGGGUGAAAUUUUCUUGUGCAAACUUAAAUCCUGUGGAAAAUCUACAUCACCCUUUGGCUGACGGGGAUAACAGGGAAAAGACAAACCAGGAAAAAAACCAAAUAGAAAGGCACUCAAUUCCACAGGACAUGGCGCAACUCCUUUAGGUGAGCAUCUUCUGGACGGUCGCUGCAUCAAUCGUCAUUGUAUUGUCAUCGCCGCUCAGCCGUUGUUUGUGGAGGAUCUGAAAAUAUGUUGAGCACCGAGGCAACAAUAGCACAUGCAUCUUGGAUGCGAAGCAUCAUCGCCGAACAUGACGAGAUCCGUGAGACUGUGCCGACAGCCGGGGGUAGACAGAUUCCAAGCUUUUCCAGACACAGAUCCUUUGGUGGCUGCCAUCUUUUAAAUUCAUGGUUGAUGUGGUGGGAGCAGUGAGAGGAGCUUCUAGGCGAAGGGGAGCUCGAGAGAAGGAGGCGGAAGUCCACUGGGCCAUUACGGUCGCCGUCACAGAAGGGGAGGGGACAGACAAUCGUCUCUUAGUUGCGAGAGCGAGACAGACGAGUGAUACGUCCAUUUUGCAUCAUGCUUUUAUAUCAAUAUUUAUUGCAUUAUGGGCUGUUAUUACACAUUAUAUCUCAAUACUUAUGGCUGUUCUCUCUUAUUUUAAAAGGUUUACCAUGAAGAGGGGGAAUGCCGGCAGCUGGAAUUCAGGCUCGAAAAGGAGCAAAUAUUGGAAACAUAUUCUGCACAGCUCCAAAAAUCUUAAAACUCCACGGAAGUUAUUUUUGGAAUUAAUAAGAAUUAUUGAGCGAUGAAACUACCAGAGGGGGCCCACACCCUGGCCAGGAGGGUGGGGGGCGCGCCCACCCUUCCUGGGCGCACCCCCUGUCUCCUCGGCCCCCUGGUGGCCCUCCGGUGCCUAUCUUCUGCUAUAUGAAGGAUUUUACCCUGGAAAAAAUCAUAAGCAAGCUUACGGGAGGAAACUCCGCCGCCACGAGGUGGAACCUUGGCGGAACCAAUCUAGGGCUCCGGCGGAGCUGUUCUGCCGGGGAAACUCCCUCCGGGAGGGGGAAAUCAUCACCAUCGUCAUCACCAACGAUCCUCUCAUUGGGAGGGGGUCAGUCUCCAUCAACAUCUUCACCAACACCAUCUCCUCUCAAAACCCUAGUUCAUCUCUUGCAUCCAAACUUGUAUCAAAACCACAAAUUGGUACCUGUGGGUUGCUAGUAGUGUUGAUUACUCCUUGUAGUUCAUGCUAAUUGGUUUACUUGGUGGAAGUCAUAUGUUCAGAUCCUUAAUGCAUAUUAAUACCCCUCUGAUUAUGAACAUGAAUAUGCUUUGUGAGUAGUUACGUUUGUUCCUGAGGACAUGGGUGAAGUCUUGCUAUUAGUAGUCAUGUGAAUUUGGUAUUCAUUCGAUAUUUUGAUGAGAUGUAUAUUGUCUUUCCUCUAGUGGUGUUAUGUGAACGUCGACUACAUGACACUUCACCAUUAUUUGGGCCUAGAGGAAGGCAUUGGGAAGUAAUAAGUAGAUGAUGGGUUGCUAGAGUGACAGAAGCUUAAACCCUAGUUUAUGUGUUGCUUUGUAAGGGGCUGAUUUGGAUCCAUAUGUCUAAUGUUGUGGUUAGGUCUACCUUAAUACUUCUUUUGUAGUUGCGGAUGCUUGCAAUAGGGGUUAUCAUAAGUGGGAUGCUUGUACAAGUAAGAGCAGUACCCAAGCACCGGUCCACCCACAUAUCAAAUUAUCAAAGUACCGAACGCGAAUCAUAUGAGUGUGAUGAAAACUAGCUUGACGAUAAUUCCCAUGUGUCCUCGGGAGCGCUUGUCUCAUUAUAAGAAAUUGUCCAGGCUUGUCCUUUGCUACAGAAAGGAUUGGGCCACCUUGCUGCACUUUGUUUACUUUCAUUGCUUGUUAUCGUUACAAAUUAUAUUAUCACAAAACUAUCUGUUACCUACAAUUUCAGUGCUUGCAGAGAAAACCUUACUGAAAACCGCUUGUCAUUUCCUUCUGCUCCUCGUUGGGUUCAACACUCUUACUUAUUGAAAGGACUACGAUAGAUCCCCUAUACUUGUGGGUCAUCAAGACUCUUUUCUCGCGUCGUUGCCGGGGAGUGUAGCGCCUUUGGUGAGUGGAACUUGGUAAGGAAACAUUUAUAUAGUGUGCUGAAAUUUUCUGUCACUUGUUACCAUGGAAACUAAUCCUUUGAGGGGCUUGUUCGGGGUAUCUUCACCAUGACCAGAAGAGCAAAGGGCUGCUCCUCAACCUACUGAACCUACUGAAAAUAUUUACUUUGAGAUUCCUUUGGGUAUGAUAGAGAAACUGCUAGCUAAUCCCUUUGCAAGAGAUGGAACAUUGCAUCCUGAUUUACACCUUAUCUUUGUCGAUGAAGUUUGUGGAUUAUUUAUGUUUGUAGGUAUUCCCAAUGAUGUUGUCAAAAGGAAGGUCUUUCCUUUAUCUUUGAAGGGAGAUGCAUUGACAUGGUAUAGGCUAUGUGAUGAUACGGGAUCUUGGAAUUAUAAACAGUUGAAGUUGGAAUUUCACCAGAAGUUCUAUCCUAUGCACCUUGUUCAUCAUGAUUGUAAUUACAUAUAUAAUUUCUGGCCUCACGACAGAGAAAGCAUCGCUCAAGCUUGGGGGAGGCUUAAUUAAAUGUUAAAUUCAUGCCCCAAUCAUGAGCUCUCAAGAGAAAUGAUUAUUCAAAACUUUUAUGCUCGGCUUUCUCUCAAUGAUCGCACCAUGCUCGAUACUUCCUGUGUUGGUUCUUAUAUGCUGAAGACUACUGAAUUCAAGUGGGAUUUAUUGGAAAGAAUUAAACACAACUCUGAAGACUGGGGUUCCGACAAUGGUAAGGAGUCAGGUAUAACACCUAAGUUUGAUUGUGUUAAAUCUUUUAUGGAUACCGAUGCUUUUCGUGGAUUUAGCGCUAAGUAUGGACUUGACUCUGAGAUAGUAGUUGCUUUAUGUGAAUCUUUUGCUACUCACGUUGAUCUCCCUAAGGAGAAGUGGUUUAAAUAUAAUCCUCCCAUUGAAGUAAAAGUAGUUGCGCCUAUUACAGUUGAAGAAAAGACUAUCACUUAUAAUGAUCCUAUUGUUCCUACUACUUAUGUUGAGAAACCACCUUUUCCUGUUAGGAUAAAGGAUCAUGCUAAAACUUCAACUGUUGUUCGUAAGAGUAAUACUAGAACUUAUACACCUCCUGAGCAAAUCAAAGUUGAACCUAGUAUUGCUAUGGUUAAAGAUCUCUUGGAUGAUAAUUUAGAUGGGCAUGUUAUUUACUUCUGUGAACAGGCUGCUAAUAUUGCUAGACCAGAUGCUAAGAUACAUAGACCUGUUGUAGGCAUGCAUGUUAUUUCUGUUAAAAUAGGAGAUCAUUGUUAUCAUGGCUUAUGUGAUAUGGGUGCUAGUGCUAGUGCAAUACCUCAUUCCUUAUAUGAAGAAAUUAUGCAUGAUAUCGCACCCGCUGAAUUGGAAGGUAUUGAUGUUACUAUCAAGCUUGCCAAUAGAGAUACUAUUUCACCAGUUGGGAUUGUUAGAGAUGUUGAAGUCUUGUGUGGGAAAGUUAAAUAUCCUACUGAUUUUCUUGUUCUUGGUUCCCCACAAGAUGACUUUUGUCCCAUUAUUUUUGGUAGACCCUUCUUGGAUACUGUUAAUGCUAGGAUUGAUUGUGAAAAGGUUUUUGUUACAAUUGGCUUAGGGGAUAUGUCUCAUGAGUUUAAUUUUGCUAAGUUUCAUAGGCAGCCCCGUGAUAAAGAAUCACCUAGUAAGGAUGAGAUUAUUGGUCUUGCUUCUAUUGCCGUGCCUCCUACUGAUCCGUUAGAACAAUAUUUGCUAGACCAUGAAAAAGAUAUGUUUAUGAAUGAAAGAAGGGAAAUAGAUGAAGUGUUCCUUCAACAGGGUCCUAUUCUAAAACACAACUUGCCUGUUGAAAUCCUAGGGGAUCCCCCUCCACCCAAGGGUGAUCCCGUGUUUGAGCUCAAACCAUUACUUGAUAAUCUUAAGUAUGCUUAUCUUGAUGAAAAGAAAAUAUAUCCUGUUAUUAUUAGUGCUAACCUUUUAGAGCAAGAAGAAGAAAGAUUAUUGAAAACUCUGAAGAAGCACCGAGCUGCUACUAGAUAUACUCUGGAUGAUCUUAAGGGCAUUAGUCCCACUCUAUGUCAGCACAAAAUAAAUGUGGAGAAAGAUGCCAAACCAGUUAGAGAUCCUCAACGACGGUUAAAUACUAAGAUGAAAGAAGUGGUAAGAAAGGAGAUACUAAAGCUCCUUGAGGCAGGUAUAAUUUAUCCCGUUGCUGAUAGUGAUUGGGUAAGCCCUGUCCAUUGUGUUCCUAAAAAGGGAGGUAUUACUGUUGUUCCUAAUGAUAAAGAUGAAUUGAUCCCGCAAAGAAUUAUCACAGGUUAUAGGAUGGUAAUUGAUUUAUGUAGAUUAAAUAUAGCUACUAAGAAAGAUCAUUACCCUUUACCUUUUAUUGAUCAAAUGCUAGAAAGACUAUCCAAACACACAUAUUUUUGCUUUCUAGAUGGUUAUUCUGGUUUCUCUCAAAUACCUGUGUCAGCGGAGGAUCAAUCAAAAACUAUUUUUACUUGCCCUUUCGGUACUUUUGCUUAUAGACGUAUGCCUUUUGGUUUAUGUAAUGCACCUGCUACCUUUCAAAGAUGUAUGAUGGCUAUAUUCUCUGACUUUUGUGAAAAGAUUUGUGAGGUAUUCAUGGAUGAUUUCUCCGUUUACGGAUCCUCUUUUGAUGAUUGCUUGAGCAACCUUGAUCGAGUUUUGCAGAGAUGCGAAGACACUAGUCUCAUCUUGAAUUGGGAAAAGUGCCACUUUAUGGUUAAUGAAGGCAUUGUCUUGGGGCAUAAGAUUUCCGAGAGAGGUAUUGAAGUUGAUAAAGCUAAAGUUGAUGCUAUUGAAAAGAUGCCAUGUUCCAAGGACAUAAAAGGUAUAAGAAGCUUCCUUGGUCAUGCCGGUUUUUAUAGGAGGUUCAUUAAGGACUUUUCUAAAAUCUCUAGGCCUCUGACUAAUUUAUUACAAAAAGAUAUUCCUUUUGUCUUUGAUGAUGAUUGUGUAGAAGCAUUUGAAAUACUUAAGAAAGCUUUGAUCACUGCACCUAUUGUUCAGCCACCUGAUUGGAAUUUACCUUUUGAAAUUAUGUGUGAUGCUAGUGAUUAUGCUGUAGGUGUUAUUCUAGGGCAAAGAGUUGAUAAGAAAUUAAAUGUUAUCCAGUAUGCUAGUAAAACUCUUGAUACUGCCCAGAGAAAUUGUGCUACUACUGAAAAAGAGUUCUUAGCAGUUGUAUUUGCAUGUGAUAUGUUCAGACCUUAUAUUGUUGAUUCUAAAGUUACUAUUCACACUGAUCAUGUUGCUAUUAAAUAUCUUAUGGAAAAGAAAGAUGCUAAGCCUAGACUUAUUAGAUGGGUUCUCUUGCUCCAAGAAUUUGAUUUGGAUAUUAUUGAUAGAAAGGGAGCUGAGAACCCCGUUGCAGACAACCUGUCUAGGUUAGAGAAUGUUCUUGAUGACCCACUACCUAUUGAUGAUAGCUUUCCUGAUGAACAAUUAGCAGUCAUUAAUGCUUCUCGUACUGCUCCUUGGUAUGCUGAUUAUGCUAAUUACAUUGUUGCUAAAUUUAUACCACCUAGUUUCACAUACCAGCAAAAGAAAAAGUUCUUUUAUGAUUUAAGACAUUACUUCUGGGAUGACCCACACCUUUAUAAAGAAGGAGUAGAUGGUGUUAUUAGACGUUGUGUACCCGAGCAUGAACAGGAAUAGAUCCUAAGCAAGUGUCACUCCGAAUCAUACGGAGGACACCACGCUGGAGAUAGAACUGCACAUAAGGUAUUGCAAUCUAGUUUUUAUUGUCCUACUCUCUUCAAAGAUGCUCGUAAGUUUGUCUUGUCUUGUGAUGAAUGCCGAAGAAUUGGUAAUAUUAGUAGACGUCAAGAAAUGCCUAUGAAUUGUUCUUUUGUUAUUGAACCAUUUGAUGUUUGGAGCUUUGAUUAUAUGGGACCUUUUCCUGCCUCUAAUGGUUACACGCAUAUUUUAGUUGCUAUUGAUUACGUUACUAAGUGGGUAGAAGCUAUUCCAACUAGUAGUGCUGAUCAUAACACCUCUAUUAAGAUGCUUAAAGAAGUUAUUUUUCCGAGGUAUGGAGUCCCUAGAUAUCUUAUGACUGAUGGUGGUUCACAUUUUAUUCAUGGUGCUUUCCGUAAGAUGCUUGCUAAGUAUGAUGUUAAUCAUAGAAUCGCAUCUCCUUAUCACCCACAGUCUAGUGGUCAAGUAGAGUCGAGCAAUAGAGAGCUCAAAUUAAUUUUGCAAAAGACUGUCAAUAGAUCUAGAAAGAAUUGGUCCAAGAAACUUGAUGAUGCAUUAUGGGCCUAUAGAACUGCAUAUAAAAAUCCUAUGGGUAUGUCUCCGUAUAAGAUGGUUUAUGGAAAAGCAUGUCACUUACCUCUUGAACUUGAACAUAAAGCAUAUUGGGCUAUUAAAGAGCUCAACUAUGACUUCAAACUUGCCGGUGAGAAGAGGUUAUUUGAUAUUAGCUCACUUGAUGAAUGGAGAACCCAAGCCUAUGAGAAUACCAAGCUGUUCAAAGAAAAAGUCAAACGCUGGCAUGACAAAAGGAUACAAAAGCAAGAAUUUAACGUAGGUGAUUAUGUGUUACUAUUCAACUCUCGUUUAAGAUUUUUUGUAGGAAAACUUCUCUCAAAAUGGGAAGGUCCUUACUUUAUCGAGGAGGUCUAUUGUUUCGGUGCCAUAAAAAUCAACAACUUCGAAGGCACAAGUCCGAGGGUGGUGAACGGUCAAAGAAUCAAACAUUAUAUCUCAGGUAAUCCUAUCAAUGUUGAAACUAAUAUUAUUGAAACCGUAACCCCGGAGGAAUACAUAAGGGACACUUUCCAGAACAUUUCAGACUCCGAAAAGGAAUAGGUAUGUGGUACGGUAAGUAAACCGACUCCAAAACAAUUCUAAUGGCAAUUUUUCUCCGUUUUGGAAUAUUUAAGAAUUUUGGAAAGCAAGAAGUAAUCCGGGAAGGACACGAGGCCUCCACGAGGGUGGAGGGCGCGCCCCCUAUCUCGUGGCCACCUCGUGUACCUCCCGGACUCUGUUUUCUUGCACAUUACAUAUUUUGGUAGGUAAAAAUUCAUUAUAUAAUCUCCCGAAGGUUUUGACCACCGUAUCACGCAAUUAUCCUCUGUUUUCGUCUCAAGCUGUUUUUUUCGCAGAUCUACAGCAAGAUGUCCUCUCAAGAGUUAGUCGGGGAGAGUCGGGUGUCACACCCGACGCCAGGUCCAGAAGCAAAUAGCGAUGCUUAUCACUUUGGACCAUCAACGGAGGAUGAGAUGGAGGCCGACUUGAAAAGGAUAGAUGCCAUGGAGGAAGAUCAAGAAGUUACCUCUCACUUCCAAGAAGGAUUCAUGAUGGGGGAACCGCAUAGCUCGGCUAUUCCAAAUUCGGUCAUCCCUUCCAACGUUAAAUUUCUUUCUUAUGAAAAUAUGAAAAAGAGCGUCACUUGUUCUCCAGAAGCUAUGCAACAUCCUUGGGUAAAGGGAGCUUUAGCCAUUACUGGCAAGCUUCGCAAGGAAAUUAUGGACCUCAAACAACAAGUCAAUAAGCUCGAGGAGGAGAAUCGUAUCCUGAGGGGCAUCAUCGCCAAGAAGAUCACAAUGAAGGAAAUAUGCCCUAGAGGCAAUAAUAAAGUUAUUAUUUAUUUCCUUAUAUCAUGAUAAAUGUUUAUUAUUCAUGCUAGAAUUGUAUCAACCGGAAACAUAAUACAUGUGUGAAUAUAUAGACAAAUAGAGUGUCACUAGUAUGCCUCUACUUGACUAGCUUGUUAAUCAAAGAUGGUUAUGUUUCCUAACCAUAGACAAAAGAGUUGUUAUUUGAUUAACGGGAUCACAUCAUUAGUUGAAUGAUCUGAUUGACAUGACCCAUUCCGUUAGCUUAGCACCCGAUCGUUUAGUAUGUUGCUAUUGCUUUCUUCAUGACUUAUACAUGUUCCUACGACUAUGAGAUUAUGCAACUCCCGUUUACCGGAGGAACACUUUGUGUGCUACCAAACGUCACAACGUAACUGUGUGAUUAUAAAGGUGCUCUACAGGUGUCUCCAAAGGUACUUGUUGGGUUGGCAUAUUUCGAGAUUAGGAUUUGUCACUCCGAAUGUCGGAGAGGUAUCUCUGGGCCCUCUCGGUAAUGCACAUCACUUAAGCCUUGCAAGCAUUGCAACUAAUGAGUUAGUUGCGAGAUGAUGUAUUACGGAACGAGUAAAGAGACUUGCCAGUAAUGAGAUUGAACUAGGUAUUGGAUACCGACGAUCGAAUCUCGGGCAAGUAACAUACCGAUGACAAAGGGAACAACGUAUGUUGUUAUGCGGUUUGACCGAUAAAGAUCUUCGUAGAAUAUGUAGGAGCCAAUAUGAGCAUCCAGGUUCCGCUAUUGGUUAUUGACCAAGAAUAGUUCUAGGUCAUGUCUACAUAGUUCUCGAACCCGUAGGGUCCGCACGCUUAAGGUUUCGAUGACAGUUUUAUUAUGAGUUUAUGAGUUUUGAUGUACCGAAGGAGUUCGGAGUCCUGGAUGAGAUCAGGGAUAUGACGAGGAGUCUUGAAAUGGUCGAGACGUAAAGAUCGAUAUAUUGGACGACUAUAUUCGGAGUUCGGAAAGGUUCCGAGUGAUUCGGGUAUUUUUCGGAGUACCGGGGAGUUACGGGAAUACGGGGAAGAGUAUUGGGCCUUAAUGGGCCUUAGUAGGAAGGAGCCAGGAGGUGGCGCGCGCCCCUCCCAAGCCCAGUCCAAAUUGGACAAAGGGUUUGGGGCGCAGCCCCCCUCUCCCUUGCUUCUCCACUUUCCCCCUUUCCCCCCUUCUCCUAGUUGGACUAGGAAAGGAGUCCUACUCCCGGUGGGAGCAGGACUCCCCUUGGCGCGCCCUCCUCCUAGGGCCGGCCUCCUCCUCCCUUGCUCCUUUAUAUACGGGGGCAGGGGGGCAUCCCAUGACACACAAGUUGAUCUACGGAUCGUUCCUUAGCCGUGUGCGGUGCCCCCUUCCAUCAUAUUCCACCUCGGUCAUAUCGUCGCGGAGUUUAGGCGAAGCCCUGCGCCGGUAGAGCAUCAUCAUCGUCACCACGCCAUCGUGCUGACGGAACUCAUCCCCGACACUUUGCUGGAUCGGAGUCCGGGGAUCGUCAUCGAGCUGAACGUGUGCUGAACUCGGAGGUGCCAUACGUUCGGUACUUGGAUCGGUCGGAUCGUGAAGACGUACGACUACAUCAACCGCGUUGUCAUAACGCUUCCGCUAACGGUCUACGAGGGUACGUGGACAUACACUCUCCCCUCUCGUUGCUAUAUCAUCACCAUGAUCUUGCGUGUGCGUAGGAAUUUUUUUGAAAUUACUACGUUACCCAACAGUGGCAUCUGAGCCUAGGUUUUAUGCGUUGAUGUUAUAUGCACGAGUAGAACACAAGUGAGUUGUGGGCGAUAUAAGUCAUACUGCUUACCAGCAUGUCAUACUUUGGUUUGGCGGUAUUGUUGGAUGAAGCGGCCCGGACCGACAUUACGCGUACGCUUAUGCGAGACUGGUUUUACCGCCGUGCUUUGCACACAGGUGACUAGCGGGUGUCUGUUUCUCCAACUUUAGUUGAACCGAGUGUGGCUACGCCCGGUCCUUGCGAAGGUUAAAACAGCACCAACUUGACAAACUAUCGUUGUGGUUUUGAUGCGUAGGUAAGAACCGUUCUUGCUCAGCCCGUAGCAGCCACGUAAAAUUUUCAACAACAAAGUAGAGGACGUCUAACUUGUUUUUGCAGGGCAUGUUGUGAUGUGAUAUGGUCAAGACGUGAUGAGAUAUAAGUUGUUGUAUGAGAUGAUCAUGUUUUGUUGAAGUUAUCGGCAACUGGCAGAAGCCCUAUGGUUGUCUCUUUGUUGCAUAAGAUGCAAGUACCAAAUAAUUGCUUUACUUUAUCGCUAUGCGAUAGCAAUAGUUGCAAGAGCAAUAGUUGGCGAGACGACCAUGUGAUGACACAUUGAUAUAGAUCAAGAUGAUGAAGAUCAUGGUGUCGUGCCGGUAACGAUAGAGAUCAUGACAGUACUUUGGAGAUGGAGAUCAAAGGCGCAAGAUGAUCAUGGCCAUAUCAUGUCACAUAUUUUGAUUGCAUAUGAUGUUUAUCUGUUAUACAUCUUAUUCUGUUUUGUUUGACGGUAGCAUUUUAAGAUGAUCUCUCACUAAUUAUCAAGAAGUGUUCUCCCUGAGUAUGCAUCGUUGCGAAAGUUCUUCGUGCUGAGACACCACGUGAUGAUCGGGUGUGAUAGGCUCUACGUUCAAAUACAACGGGUGCAAAACAGUUGCACACGCGGAAUACUCAGGUUAAACUUGACGAGCCUAGCAUAUACAGAUAUGGCCACGGAACACGGAGACCGAAAGGUCGAGCGUGAAUCAUAUAGUAGAUAUGAUCAACAUAUUGAUGUUCACCGUUGAAACUACUCCAUCUCACGUGAUGAUCGGACAUGGUUUAGUUGAUAUGGAUCACGUGAUCACUUAGAGGAUUAGAGGGAUGUCUAUCUAAGUGGGAGUUCUUAAGUAAUAUGAUUAACUGAACUUUAAUUUAUCAUGAACUUAGUCCUGGUAGUAUUUUGCAAAUUAUGUUGUAGAUCAAUAGCUCGCGUUAUUGCUUUCAUAUGUUUAUUUUGAUAUGUUCCUACAGAAAAUUGUAUUGAAAGAUGUUAGUAGCAAUGAUGCGGAUUGGAUCCGUGAUCUGAGGUUUAUCCUCAUUGCUGCACAGAAGAAUUAUGUCCUUAAUGCACCGCUAGGUGACAGACCUAUUGCAGGAGCAGAUGCAGACGUUAUGAACGUUUGGAUAGCUCAAUAUGAUGACUACUUGAUAGUUUUGUGCACCAUGCUUUAUGGCUUAGAAUCAGGAAUUCAAAGACGUUUUGAACGUCAUGGACCAUAUGAGAUGUUCCAGAAGUUGAAGUUAAUAUUUCAAGCAAAUACCCGAGUUGAGAGAUAUGAAGUCUCCAACAAGUUCUAUAGCUAAAAGAUGGAGGAGAAUCGCUCAACUAGUGAGCAUGUGCUCAGAUUGUCUGGGUACUACAAUCGCUUGAAUCAAGUGGGAGUUAAUCUUCCAGAUAAGAUAGUGAUUGACAGAAUUCUCUAGUCACCACCACCAAGUUAGUAGAACUUCGUGAUGAACUAUAGUAUGCAAGGGAUGACAAGAACGAUUCCCGAGCUCUUCGUGAUGUUGAAAUCGACGAAGGUAGAAAUCAAGAAAAACAUCAAGUGUUGAUGGUAGACAAGACCACUAGUUUCAAGAAAAGGGCAAAGGGAAGAAGGGGAACUUCAAGAAGAACGGCAAGCGAGUUGCUGCUCAAAUGAAGAAGCCCAAGUCUGGUCCUAAGCCUAAGACUAAGUGCUUCUACUGCAAAGGGAUUGGUCACUGGAAGCGGAACUAUCCCAAGUGAUUGGCGGAUAAGAAGGAUGGCAAAGUGAACAUAAGAAUAUUUGAUAUACAUGUUAUUGAUGUGUACUUUACUAGUGUUUAUAGCAACCCCUCAGUAUUUGGUACUAGUUCAGUUGCUAAGAUUAGUAACUCGAAACGGGAGUUGCAGAAUAAACAAAGACUAGUUGAAGGGGAAGUGACGAUGAGUGUUGGAAGUAGUUCCAAGAUUGAUAUGAUCAUCAUCGCACACUCCCUAUACUUUCGGGAUUAGUGUUGAAACUAAAUAAGUGGUAUUUGGUGUUUGCGUUGAGCAUGAAUAUGAUUUGAUCAUGUUUAUUGCAAUACGGUUAUUCAUUUAAGUAAGAGAAUAAAUUGUUGUUCUGUUUACAUGAAUAAAACCUUAUAUGGUUACACACCCAAUGAAAAUGGUUCAUUGGAUCUCGAUCGUAGUGAUACACAUAUUCAUAAUAUUGAAACCAAAAAGAUGCAAAGUUAAUAAUGAUAGUGCAACUUAUUUGUGGCACUGCCGUUUGGGUCAUAUCGGUGUAAAGCGCAUGAAGAUACUCCAUAAAGAUGGAUUUUCGGAAUCACUUGGUUAUGAAUCAUUUGAUGCUUGCGAACUGUUCCUUUUGGGCAAGAUGACUAAAACUCCGUUCUCCGGAACAAUGGAACGUGCUACUGACUUAUUGGAAAUAAUACAUACCGAUGUAUGCGAUCCAAUGAGUGUUGAUGCUCGUGGCAAGUAUCGUUAUUUUCUGACCUUCACAAGAUGAUUUAAGAAGAUAUGGGUAUAUCUACUUGAUGAAACAUAAGUCUGAAAUAGUUGAAAGGUUCAAAUAAUUUCAGAGUGAAGUGGAGAAUCAUCAUAACAAGAAAAUAAAGUUUUUGUGAUUUGAUCAUGGAGACAAAUAUUUGAGUUACGAGUUUGGUCUUCAAUUAAAACAAUGUGGAAUAGUUUCACAGCUCACGCCACCUGGAACACCACAACGUUAUGGUGUGUCCGAACAUCGUAACCGCACUUUAUUGGAUAUGGUGCGAUCUAUGAUGUCUCUUAUCGGUUUUACCAUUAUCGUUUUGGGGUUGUGCAUUAGAGACAGCUGCAUUCACGUUUAAAAAGGGCACCAUCUAAAUCCGUUGAGACGACACCGUAUGAACUAUGGUUUAGCAGUAAACCUAAGCUGUCGUUUCUUAAAGUUUGGAGUUGCGAUGCUUAUAUGAAAAAGGUUUUCAACCUGAUAAGCUCGAACCCAAAUCGGAGAAGUGCGUCUUCAUAGAAUACCCAAAGGAAACUGUUGGGUACACCUUCUAUCACAGAUCCAAAGGCAAGACAUUCGUUGCUGAGAAUGGAUACUUUCUAGAGAAGAAGUUUCUCUCGAAAGAAGUGAGUGGGAGGAAAGUUGAAACUUGAUAAGGUAAUUGUACCUUCUCCCUUAUUGGAAAGUCAGAAAUCUGUUCCUGUGACUACUACACCAAUUAGUGAGGAAGCUAAUGAUGAUGAUCAUGUAACUUCAGAUCAAGUUACUACCGAAUCUCGUAGGUAAACCAGAGUGAGAUCCGCACCAGAGUGGUACGGUAAUCCUGUUCUGGAAGUCAUGUUACUAGACCAUGAUGAACUUGCGAACUAUGAGGAAGCGAUGAUGAGCCCAGAUUCCGCGAAAUGGAUUGAGGCCAUGAAAUCUGAGAUAUGAUCCAUGUAUGAAAACAAAGUAUGGACUUUGAUGGAUUUGCCCGAUGAUCGGCAAGCCAUAGAAAAUAAAUGGAUCUUCAAGAGGAAGACGGACGCUGAUAGUAGUAUUACUAUCUACAAAGCUGGAAUUGUCGCAAAAGGUUUUCGACAAGUUCAAGGUGUUGACUACGAUGAGAGUUUCUCAAUCGUAUCUAUGCUUAAGUCUGUCCGAAUCAUGUUAGCAAUUGCCGCAUUUUACGAAAUCUGGCAAAUGGAUAACAAAACUGCAAUCCUUAAUGGAUUUCUUAAACAAGAGUUGUAUAUGAUGCAACCAGAAGGUUUUGUCAAUCCUAAAGGUGUUAACAAAAUGUGCAAGCUCCAGCGAUCCAUCUAUGAACUGGUGCAAGCAUCUCGGAGUUGGAAUAUACGCUUUGAUAAGUUGAUCAAAGCAUAUAGUUUUAUACAGACUUGCAGUGAAGCCUGUAUUUACAAGAAAGUGAGUGGGAGCACUACAACAUUUCUGAUAAGUAUAUGUGAAUGACAUAUUGUUGAUCGGAAAUAAUGUAGAAUUAUUCUGCAAAGCAUAAAGGAGUGUUUGAAAGGAGUUUUUUCAAAGAAAGACCUCGGUGAAGCUGCUUACAUAUUGAGCAUCAAGAUCUAUAGAGAUAGAUCAAGACGCUUGAUAAGUUUUCAAUGAGUACAUACCUUGACAAGAUUUUGAAGUAGUUCAAAAUAGAACAGUCAAAGAAAGAGUUCUUGCCUGUGUUACAAGGUGAGAAAUUGAGUAAGACUCAAAGCCCGACCACGCAGAAGAUAGAAAGAUAAUGAAAGUCAUUCCCCAUGCCUUGGCCAUAGGUUCUAUAAAAGUAUGCCAUGCUGUGUACCAGAUCUAUUGUAUACCCUACACUGAUUUUGGCAAGGGAGUACAAUAGUGAUCUAGGAGUAGAUCACUGAACAGCGGUCAAAAUUAUCCUUAGUGGAAUAAGGAUAUGCUUCUCGAUUACGGAGGUGACAAAAGAUUCAUCGUAGAGGUUACGUCGAUACAAGUUUUGGCACUAAUCCGGAUGAGUCUAAGUCUUCAUCUGGAUACAUAUUGAAAGUGGGAGCAAUUAGCUAAAGUAGCUCCGUGCAGAGCAUUGUAGACAUAGAAAUUUGCAAAAUACUUACGGAUCUGAAUGUGACAGACCCGUUGACUAAAAUUAUCUCACAAGCAAAACAUGAUCACACCUUAGUACUCUUUGGGUGUUAAUCACAUAGCGAUGUGAACUAGAUUACUGACUCUAGUAAACCCUUUGGGUGUUGAUCACAUAUCGAUGUGAACUAUGGGUGUUAAUCACAUGGUGAUGUGAACUAUUGCUAUUAAAUCACAUGGCGAUGUGAACUAGAUUAUUGACUCUAGUGCAAGUGGGAGACUGAAGGAAAUAUGCCCUAGAGGCAAUAAUAAAGUUAUUAUUUAUUUCCUUAUAUCAUGAUAAAUGUUUAUUAUUCAUGCUAGAAUUGUAUCAACCGGAAACAUAAUACAUGUGUGAAUAUAUAGACAAACAGAGUGUCACUAGUAUGCCUCUACUUGACUAGCUUGUUAAUCAAAGAUGGUUAUGUUUCCUAACCAUAGACAAAAGAGUUGUUAUUUGAUUAACGGGAUCACAUCAUUAGUUGAAUGAUCUGAUUGACAUGACCCAUUCCGUUAGCUUAGCACCCGAUCGUUUAGUAUGUUGCUAUUGCUUUCUUCAUGACUUAUACAUGUUCCUAUGACUAUGAGAUUAUGCAACUCCCGUUUACCGGAGGAACACUUUGUGUGCUAUCAAACGUCACAACGUAACUGGGUGAUUAUAAAGAUGCUCUACAGGUGUCUCCAAAGGUACUUGUUGGGUUGGCAUAUUUCGAGAUUAGGAUUUGUCACUCCGAAUGUCGGAGAGGUAUCUCUGGGCCCUAUCGGUAAUGCACAUCACUUAAGCCUUGCAAGCAUUGCAACUAAUGAGUUAGUUGCGAGAUGAUGUAUUACGGAACGAGUAAAGAGACUUGCCAGUAACGAGAUUGAACUAGGUAUUGGAUACCGACGAUUGAAUCUCGGGCAAGUAACAUACCUAUGACAAUGGGAACAACGUAUGUUGUUAUGCGGUUUGACCAAUAAAGAUCUUCGUAGAAUAUGUAGGAGCCAAUAUGAGCAUCCAGGUUCCGCUAUUGUUUAUUGACCAAGAAUAGUUCUAGGUCAUGUCUACAUAGUUCUCGAACCCGUAGGGUCCGCACGCUUAAGGUUUCGAUGACAGUUUUAUUAUGAGUUUAUGAGUUUUGAUGUACCGAAGGAGUUCGGAGUCUCGGAUGAGAUCAGGGAUAUGACGAGGAGUCUCAAAAUGGUCGAGACGUAAAGAUCGAUAUAUUGGACGACUAUAUUCGGAGUUCGGAAAGGUUCCGAGUGAUUCGGGUAUUUUUCGGAGUACCGGGGAGUUACGGGAAUACGGGGAAGAGUAUUGGGCCUUAAUGGGCCUUAGUGGGAAGGAGCCAGGAGGUGGCGCGCGCCCCUCCCAAGCCCAGUCCGAAUUGGACAAAGGGUUUGGGGCGCGGCCCCCCUCUCCCUUCCUUCUCCACUUUCCCCCUUUCCCCCUUCUCCUAGUUGGACUAGGAAAGGAGUCCUACUCCCGGUGGGAGUAGGACUCCCCUUGGCGCGCCCUCCUCCUAGGGCCGGCCUCCUCCUCCCUUGCUCCUUUAUAUACGGGGGCAGGGGGGCACCCCAUGACACACAAGUUGAUCUACUGAUCGUUCCUUAGCCGUGUGCGGUGCCCCCUUCCACCAUAUUCCACCUCGGUCAUAUCGUCGCGGAGUUUAGGCGAAGCCCUGCGCCGGUAGAGCAUCAUCAUCGUCACCACGCCGUCGUGCUGACGGAACUCAUCCCCGACACUUUGCUGGAUCAGAGUCCGGGGAUCGUCAUCGAGCUGAACGUGUGCUGAACUCGGAGGUGCCGUACGUUCGGUACUUGGAUCGGUCGGAUCGUGAAGACGUACGACUACAUCAACCGCGUUGUCAUAACGCUUCCGCUAACGGUCUACGAGGGUACGUGGACAUACACUCUUCCCUCUCGUUGCUAUAUCAUCACCAUGAUCUUGCGUGUGCGUAGGAAAUUUUUUGAAAUUACUACGUUACCCAACACACAACACCAACUAUGAAGAAGGAGACAUAAUUACAUGGGUAUGGGCACUCCCCUUGGCAACUGCCAAGCUUGGGGGAGGUGCCCCGGUAUCGUAUCACCAUCACACUCCUAUCUUUACCAUUUUACUUAGUUCGAUCCUUUUAGUAAUAUCUUGAUCUAGUAGAUUGAAGCUUUGGUAUGAAGUAGUUUUGAGUUUUGCUUUGUGAUCCCUUUUUCUAAUCGAGUUCGUGAGCUAUCUAUAAUAAAGAUUAGUGUUGAGUCAAGGGCUUUGCUAUCUUGUUAUGAUCUUGAGAAAGUAGAAAGAACAAAAAUAAUAAAAGAGUUCAUAUUGAUCUUGUGGAUAGUAAUAACUUCACACAUAAAAAGUAUGAGGCAUAAAAGUUGUUGAGAGUUGACAAACAUAGUUUUGGUCAUCGUUGCAAUUAAUAGGAAGUAAUAAGGAAAGAGAGGUUUUCACAUACAAAUAUACUAUCUUGGACAUCUUUUAUGAUUGUGUGCACUCAUUAAGUAUGACAUGCUAAAAGAGUUGAUGUUGGACAAGGAAGACAACGUAGUGGUUUAUGUUUUCUCACAUCCCAGUUAAAGUAUAUUGUCAUUGAUCUUCCCAACAUGUUGAGCUUGCCUUUCCCCCUCAUUCUAGCCAAAAUUCCUUGCACCAAGUAGAGAUACUACUUGUGCUUCCAAAUAUCCUUAAACCCAGUUUUGCCAUGAGAGUCCACCAUACCUCCUAUGGAUUGAGUAAGAUCCUUCAAGUAAGUUGUCAUGUUGCAAGCAAUAAAAAAUUCUCUCUAAAUAUGUAUGAUCUAUUAGUGUGAAGAAAAUAAGCUUUAUACGAUCUUGUUAUGGAAGCAAUAAAAGCGACGGACUGCAUAAUAAAGGUCCAUAUACAAGUGGCAAUAUAAAGUGAUGUUCUUUUGCAUUAAGAUUUUGUGCAUCCAACCCUAAAAGCACAUGACAACCUCUGCUUCCCUCUACGAAGGUCCUAUCUUUUACUUUAUGUUUUUACUUUAUGCUUGAGUCAAGGUGAUCUUCACCUUUCCCCUUUUUCAUUUUAUCAUUUGGCAAGCUCCUUGUGUUUGAAAGAUCUUGAUAUAUAUAUAUCCAAUUGGAUGUAAGUUAGCGUGAAUUAUUAUUGUUAACGUCACCCAAAGGUGAAUACGUUGGGAGGCAACAUUAUAAGCCCCUAUCUUUCUCAGUGUCCGAUUAAAACUCCAUAACCACAAGUAUUGUGUGAGUGUUAGAAAUUGUAGAAGACUAUAUGAUGGUUGAGUAUGUGGACUUGCUGAAAAGCUCUAUUCUUGACUCUUUCUGAUGUUAUGAUAAAUUGCAAUUGCUUCAAUGACUGAGAUUAUAGUUUGUUAGUUCUCAAUGAAGUUUCUGAACCAUACUUGACAUUGUGAAUUGAUUGUUACUUGAGCAUAAGAAACCAUAUGACAAAAUCUAUAUAUGUUGCUGUUAUAAGAAUGAUCAUGAUGCCCUCAUGUCCUUAUUUUAUUUUUAUCGACACCUCUAUCUCUAAACAUGUGGACAUAUUUUUCGAUUUUGGCUUCCGCUUGAGGACAAGCGAGGUCUAAGCUUGGGGGAUGUGACGCCCUCGAUUCAAUCAUACACUAAUCAUACACGCAAAUGUGUACGAUCAAGAUCAAGGACUCACGGGAAGAUAUCACAACAUAACUCUAGACACAAAAUAAAAUAAUACAAGCUUUAUAUUACAAGCCAGGGGCCUCGGGGGCUCGAAUACAUAAGCUCGAAAACACAAGAGUCAGCGGAAGCAACAAUAUCUGAGUACAGACAUGAGUUAGACAAGUUUGCCUUAAGAAGGCUAGCACAAAACAACAACGAUCGAAAAGGCAAGGCCUCCUGCCUGGGAGCCUCCUAACUACUCUUGGUCGUCGGCGUCCGUCACGUGGUAGUAGGCACCCUAGGGGUAGCAGCAGUCGUCAAAGGUGGCAUCUGGCUCCUGGACUCCACCAUCUGGUUGCAACAACCAGAAAGAAAGAAGGGGAAAAAAGGGGGAGCAAAGCAACCGUGAGUACUCAUCCAAAGUACUCGCAAGCAAGGAUCUACACUACAUAUGCAACAUUAUCAAAGGAAGGCUGUAUAUGUGGACUGGGCUGCAGAAAUGUCAGAAUAGAGAGAAGGCCUAGUCCUAUCGAAGACUAGCAUCUUCUGGAAACCACCAUCUUGCAGCAAACAGGAGGGAGUACAGUAGCAUAAAGUAAAGUAGUAGUAGUGUUAUCAACCUCGGCCAAAGAUCCUUUCUCGACUCCCUGCGAGAAAGCAAUCCCAGAGCCAUACUAUCCAAUUAUCACCUCAUCACAAUCCAAUUCUCGUCACAAGUAUCCAGUUCUAGUUGUAUCGAUCGGGAUACAACUCCAAGUGUCCGUUACCGUAGGACAGGCUAUGCAUAGAUUAGUUCUUCCCUGCAGGGGUGCACCAACUUACCCACCACGCUCGAUUGACUCCGGCCGGACACACUUUCCUGGGUCAUACCCAGCCUCGACCAAACAAUACGCCGCAACCCGACCUAGGCUUAAUAGAGAGGUCAAGCACGCCGGACUAAACCUAUGCCCCCAGGGGUCAUGGGCCAUCGCCCCGGGAACUCCUGCAUGUUGCGUGGGCGGCCGGUGAGCAGACCUAGCUACCUCCCUAAAAAGGCAGGAGCUUACCAGUCCAACCCGGCGCGCGCCGCUCCGUCGCUGACGUCUAUUAAGCUUCGGCUGAUGUACACGACGCAGAACGCCCAUACUAUGCCCACGUGAUGGUUAGUGCUAUCAGGCCAGAGGCCCCUCGGAUCAAAUAUCCAAAUUGUAGUGGAUUAGGAACGCGCGGUAACAAGCAGAGACUCACGAAAGAUGUGACCCCGUUGCCCCGUCUCGAGGACUUGCGGCAAGGGCUAGGAAUGCCCGGCCACACCUCGUAAUUAUCUCGCGGGCACCCUCCAGUUCAAACCGACUCCACAUCACUCGCAAUUAAGCUCGCGCGGGUACCCCUCAGGGUCGACCCGUCUUUCCAAGUAACAGUGGUAAAGUCCAAGUAUCCGUGUGUCCAAACAUUAAGGGGAAAACCCGAGGAAUCACCCCCGGUGAAUUCCACUCGAUGUAAUCAUCAAGGUGAACAUAAGAGGAUCCACCCUCGAGGUUCACACUUGAGGGGUUGCACGACAGAGCCGUAUCGGAAGUGGUUAAGGAGGAAAUCACCCUCGAUGACCACGACCGAAUAGCUACACUACAGGUUAACAUCAGAAGUGCUGUAGAGGUCUCACCCUCGGCACUCAAUAGUAACACUGCAGAGUCGAGCAACGAAGGGGCGUGAUGUGACGUGAGGUGUCGGGUCCUGGUCUUCGAUCCCGUUGAUCGGGUCUUCUGAUAAUCCAGCGGGGCAGUCGAGUCAAGUGGGGGGGUCACUGAUGGGUCUCUAACCAACCUAUACUAAGCAGUUUAGGAUAAGCAGGUAAGGUACAACAGUAGGUACAAAAGCAGGCUAUGCAUCAGAAUAGGUGCAAACAAUAACAGUAGCAAAAUCUAAUGCAAGCAUGAGAGAAUGGAAUGGGCGAUAUCGGGAUGAUCAAAGGGGGGGCUUGCCUAGUUGCUCUGGCAAGGAGGGGUCAUCGUCGUUGUAGUCGAUCACAGGGGCAUCAGCAUCGUCAACGGGGUCUACCGAAAAGAAGAGGGGGAAGAAACAGUAAAUACAUAGCAAGCAAGUGCAUAACAGGACAACAGGCACAGCUAGACGUGUUCUAACACGGUGCUACACGAUACCGGUGAAGGGGGAAGUCAACCGGAAAUGUUUUCCCGGUUCCGGACCUGUGUCAAACAGAUGACCGGAGAGGAAAAGUUUCAUGUUCAGAUAGUUACAGGCAUCUGACAGGUAAACAGACCGCGCGUUCAGAUUCGUCUCAUCGUUCUGAACAACUUUCAUGUACAAAGUUUCUCCAUCCGAGUUACGGAUUAUUUGAUAUUAAUUUUCAAAGAUUUAAACAAUUUCUGGAAUUACUUUUAAUUCAAAAAACAGGUUAAAAGCUAGGUGCACCCAGAUCUGUGCACACAAAAGUAUACCAGAGGAUGACUUGUGGGUCCAGGGGGUCCCAGUUGACUAGUCAAUGCUUGACUAGUCAACAGGGGGUGGGGCCCCCUGUCAUUGUCUACCUAUUGGACUAACAGGAUUAGUUUAUACUAAUUAAGUAGUUAAUAGGUUAAUUAACAUGAUUAAUUAGGUUAAUCAAUUAAUUAUUUAAUUAUUAUUAUUUAUUUAUUUUUACAAAUACAUUUUUCGGUUCGUUUAACUUUCUCAAAGUUUUGGGGGCAGGCCCCACGUCCAGUAGCACGACGAGGGCGCUGGAUCAGGGCGUAGCCAGCAGGCGGGGCCGCGGCGAGGCCGGCCGGCCGGAGCUGUGCCCGUCAAUGGCAGUGGGUGGCGCGUGCGAGGUGAGGGACGGCCGAAGCCGCAAACGCGCGUGGGCAGAGAAGGGCGCGUCGGGUGGGAGCGAGGGCGCGGUCAGGGGCGCACGACGCGCGCGUGAGAGCACCUGGGUGGAGUGACAGGGGCACGGUGAGCGCGCCGGGGAGGGAGGCGAUGCGCGGGCGCGCGCGUCAGGCGUGGCCGGCGCGACACGAGCGCAGCCAGGCCAUGGCCAUGGUGGGGGGAGCCGCGGGAUGCGGUGGCUGCUUCAGGGAGAGAGGAGGACGACCGGGGGUUUCUCACCCACGUUGAAGGGAAGGCCCGAUGCAGGGGGAACCAACGGCGGGGCGAGGUGGCAGCGACGGCGAACGGCGUUGCUGUCGGGGCGUCGUUGGGGAGGAGGAUGGGGACGGUUGCAUUCCGGCGGUGAGGCGGCGUCAGCGCGGUCGACGAGUGACGGGCACAGCGUCAGUAGGUGUCGGCCUACGAGGAGGACGCGGCGGGGGCUUGACGGAUGAUCUGCGAGGCGUCCGACAAGGGGAGGGGGUCUCCGGGCGGCGAAUGGCGGGUCGGGCGCGGCGUUGGGGCUCCCAGAUCGGGAGGGGGAGGAAGCGAGGAGAACGGCGUCAGGGUGGGCGCCGACGACGGGGCGCCUGGUGGAGGGGAUCGAACAGGGGGCGCCCCUCCUCUGGGUGAGUGCGCGACGACGCAGGGAGGGAACGAGGGAGAGUAGGGAUCGUGGGGGAUGUGGGGCGACCGAGUUAGGGUUAGCGAGGGAGUGGGGGGGCUAAGGAGGCCCGGCUGGGCCUGGUGGGUUGGCCAGUGCGGCGGCCAGCUGGGCCGUUCGGCCCAGCGUGGGGGGGGGGUUGUUAUUUUUUUUUACAUUUAAAUUUUUAACUUUUCGGUUUACCAUUUUUAGUCUCAGUUUUGCAUUUUCUUUUAGUACCAUAUGAGUUUUGUUUUGAACAAAACUUGGCACAUAAAUCUAACACAAUACCUUGAGAUGGAUUAAAAAGUUUGGGGUCAAGAGGAGUUGUCUAAUUAUUUUUAGAAACUUCAAAAGGCCAAAUUUUAAAUGUUGCUGGACCACUAAAUAAUUUCCAGGAGCACUUUCGGAAUCCAAAGGAGGUUGGUUCCAACAUGACAAAUACCUAGGGAUUAUUUGCCACACUUUAAACAUUUUAUUUUUCAGGUUUGGCAAAUAUGAAUUUUUUAUUUUAGAUUGAAUUUGAAUUUGAACUGUGAUUUGGAUCAAGUGAAGAUUAGCAACAGUAACAUGAUGACAUGACACCAGUAACAGGGGAUUACUGUAGCAUGACACUGGGGGUGUCACAAAUCUCCUCCACUACAAGAAAUCUCGUCCCGAGAUUUAAGUGGGGAAGUAAAGAGUAACUUCGGGAGAACUGACCCUUAUAGGGUUAAUUAUCUGGUGAACAAUUCAGGGAAUGAGGCAGAAGUAUCUCUCGAGUUGAAACUUAAUAAAACAUCGAGAGCAAGUAUGAAGGUACAAUAGGAAGUUUCAAGCGAAUCGACAAACGAUUGAUACCUGAACAAAGUGUGAGAAAGGGGUUCAGAGCAUCGGGAAUAAAUCAUCUCUCAAAAGGUGGCUCGUGACACGAUGCGAAGCCAAAUGCAAGAAUAUUUCGGAAUCAAAGAUAUACAGGAGAGUCAGGUUUCGAUCCUGUGGAUCUGUGGGUUAUAGGCCCACCAUGUGGGUUAAAGGUAGAAAGGGGGAUGACAUCUUGCAUGGUCAUGAUAGUAAGGCAUGUCAGAGGAUAGCCUGCCAAUUAUGUUGGCAACAGCGUUGGUACCAAGGGCGAGAACGAAGAGAACCAUUUUCCUGCUCGUAAUACGAGGCAGACCAAUAGGCAAAGUUCUCGUCCAUCGGUGGUUACCGGAAUGUCAUCAGCAAUAGUAACAGGGUCACACUGACAGAGUUGUAAACCGAGGUGUUUCCAUAAGCAGGGAAUUAUUUCUGCUUAUAACAUAUAUAGAUCACAAGAAAGGUUGAGUAAACCAAUGGAAAGGAAAAUGUGUUUAUUAUGAUAACCAGACCAAUGGAAAGGAAAGAUGUUUAUACCCAAGUGUUAGAGUAUAACUUUCCCAAGGAAAGGCAGAGCAUGAUAGGGCUCCAAGUAUUAAGCCGUUUAGACAGGGGACAAGGAAUUUAUGAGGUUUACCCAUACAACGGUGUUUGGAUAAUUGAUCAAGAACAGUUAGCAUUGCGCUCCCAAUGUUCUUGUUGAUGAUCAGAGUACCACACACUUGCUUCGGGAUAGUGUUGACAUGGCCAUCGGGGAAAUGUCAGACUUCAGAUACACAAAGGAUCCAUCGGAACAACUUAUAAAAUAAGUCAUACAAUUUCAGCAAGGAAAAGAUGAGGAUGGGGCACACAGGCUCAGAAACAAUUCAUCGAGGGGGGUAAGGAUGUUAUUUCUCAUCAUGAAUUCGGUUGAUAACCUUGAAAAGUUUGGAAUGAUGAUGAUGAUCAUGACACAUUUGUCGAGAGGUUUCAUGAAGAUGUAAUCGAUCAACGACGACAUUAAGCAAAAGAAAUGAUGAAGUGUAAGGUUAAUUGAAUCGCGAGUACGACACAAACUCGAAAGCAAGCUUGCUGUUCAUGGCAAAAUGGUAUGACGAGGAAGAUCGACAUAAGCUUAGCUCGUCGUCGAAAAUUGUGCUCCGGAAAGGACCUGGUAGCACAGUUAAAAUUUAGCAUGAUAAUGAUAUAACCGAUCAAGCUAAGAAUGAUGUGACGGAGUAUCACUCCAAUUAAGAAUUUACAAGAGGUAGUGCGAAGACACAAUAUCCUCGAGAUAACAGGGGGCAAUACUCGAGGUUGAUCAGAAUAGAGGUUGGACAGAUGAAAUGAUCUGUAGAAGUCAAGUAUUUUAACUUGUCCGGGAAAUGGAAUCAAGGAGAAAAUAUGAUCGGAACCACGAUUGCAAAGAAUCAAUUUACAAAUGCAAGAUGAGCUUAUACCAAGGGAACAUUAGAUUAAAAGAGAAGCUUACAUGCUAAGGUCUACAUCGUGUCUAUGGGCAUGAACACAAAGUUCAAGGUCGACUCGCACUUCUUCAAUGCAUAACCUUUCAUUUACUCCUCGUUUUCGAUGAAGUUGUAGUGUUGAAAUGUUAUCUGGCAAAACACCAGAAGAGUAUGACUCGUGAAAACUCUCGGGUUCAAACGGAUUAGGGAAGGCAUAGGUUCAACCCAUAUGGGCAUCUUAGGAACCUAUUCCACAAACUUCAAAAGUAAACAACACAAGCUCGAAGCAGAGCAUGGUUGACAAAAGGAGAGGAUACAAUUUACCAAAGGCUUUAUGUAUCCGAGAAAAGGCUCACAAGGUUAUUGCAUAUGAAGGAUGUUGUCGGAUAACAACCCGGCAAUGGGCCUGCCGGUCCACAAUGGAGCUGAUGUGAGUAUCGGUACUCAAUCAGAGGAAGAAAGAAUGCAAAGGCAUCGGAUUAUAGAACAUCUGAAUAAUUCGAUGCUUAGAUAACAAAGGAAUUAUGAUUUCCUAAACGAAGGAUCAGAAGUAGACGCUCUGAUCAAGGAGGGAUAGGUAGAAUAGACCUAGGGGCACAAUUGAUGACAAAUAGAUUGGUCGAGAACCAGCUCAUGUUCAAAAUGACGUCUAAGCCAAAAAGAUAUAGAAGGAUCACUGAUGAUUGUGUGCCUUCACACACAUGUUGAAUCAAUAGGAUCAAAAUGAAGGUGUCGAAGGAUACUAAUGAAUAUUUCUACACAUAUGGAAAGCAUCCAUAAUGCAAGCAGACAAAGUAAUUACAGAGCAAUAGUUUGAAGAGGAUACUCGAAAGAUCGGGUAGUAUUUCCAAGUAUUUUGAAAAGCAUAUGAACAACUGGGGAUGAGCGGACCCCGGUUAAGUGAAUUAUCCUUAGUGCAAAAAGAAGCUGCAAAGCAGAAGGUGUUGGAAAUAUGCCCUAGAGGCAAUAAUAAAUUGAUUAUUAUUAUAUUUCCUUGUUCAUGAUAAUCGUUUAUUAUCCAUGCUAGAAUUGUAUUGAUAGGAAACUCAGAUACAUGUGUGGAUACAUAGACAACACCACGUCCCUAGUAAGCCUCUAGUUGACUAGCUCGUUAAUCAAUAGAUGGUUACGGUUUCCUGACCAUGGACAUUGGAUGUCGUUGAUAACGGGAUCACAUCAUUAGGAGAAUGAUGUGAUGGACAAGACCCAAUCCUAAGCCUAGCACAAGAUCAUGUAGUUCGUAUGCUAAAGCUUUUCUAAUGUCAAGUAUCAUUUCCUUAGACCAUGAGAUUGUGCAACUCCCGGAUACCGUAGGAGUGCUUUGGGUGUGCCAAACGUCACAACGUAACUGGGUGGCUAUAAAGGUACACUACGGGUAUCUCUGAAAGUGUCUGUUGGGUUGGCACGAAUCGAGAUUGGGAUUUGUCACUCCGUGUAAACGGAGAGGUAUCUCUGGGCCCACUCGGUAGGACAUCAUCAUAAUGUGCACAAUGUGACCAAGGGGUUGAUCACGGGAUGAUGUGUUACGGAACGAGUAAAGAGACUUGCCGGUAACGAGAUUGAACAAGGUAUCAGUAUACCGACGAUCGAAUCUCGGGCAAGUACCAUACCGCUAGACAAAGGGAAUUGUAUACGGGAUCGAUUGAGUCCUUGACAUUGUGGUUCAUCCGAUGAGAUCAUCGUGGAACAUGUGGGAGCCAACAUGGGUAUCCAGAUCCCGCUGUUGGUUAUUGACCGGAGAACAUCUCGGUCAUGUCUGCAUGUCUCCCGAACCCGUAGGGUCUACACACUUAAGGUUCGAUGACGCUAGGGUUAUAAAGGAAGCUUGUAUGUGGUUACCGAAUGUUGUUCGGAGUCCCGGAUGAGACCCCGGAUGUCACGAGGAGUUCCGGAAUGGUCCGGAGGUAAAGAUUUAUAUAUAGGAAGUCCUGUUUCGGCCAUCGGGACAAGUUUCGGGGUCAUCGGUAUUGUACCGGGACCACCGGAAGGGUCCCGGGGACCCACCGGGUGGGGCCACCUGCCCCGGGGGGCCACAUGGGCUGUAGGGGGUGCGCCUUGGCCUACAUGGGCCAAGGUCACCAGCCCCAAGAGGCCCAUGCGCCUAGGGAACCCUAGAGGGAAGAGUCCUCAAGGGGGAAGGCACCUCCGAGGUGCCUUGGGGAGGAUGGACUCCUCCCCCCCUCUUAGCCGCACCCCUUCCUUGGAGGAAGGGGCAAGGCUGCGCCUCCCCCCUCUCCCCUGCCCCUAUAUAUAGUGGAGGGGAGGGAGGGCAUCUAUACCUGAGCCCUUGGCGCCUCCCUCCCUCCCGUGACACCUCCUCCUCUCCCGUAGGUGCUUGGCGAAGCCCUGCAGGAUUGCCACGCUCCUCCAUCACCACCACGCUGUUGUGCUGCUGCUGGAUGGAGUCUUCCUCAACCUCUCCCUCUCUCCUUGCUGGAUCAAGGCGUGGGAGACAUCGUCGAGCUGUACGUGUGUUGAACGCGGAGGUGCCGUCCGUUCGGCACUAGGAUCAUCGGUGAUCUGAAUCACGACGAGUACGACUCCAUCAACCCCGUUCACUUGAAUGCUUCCACUUAGCGAUCUACAAGGGUAUGUAGAUGCACUCCCCUUUCUACUCGUUGCUGGUCUCUCCAUAGAUAGAUCUUGGUGUUACGUAGGAAUUUUUUUGAAUUUCUGCUACGUUCCCCAGCAGAAGGCACAAGGAUUCUCGGAACAACGGAGAGUGCUAGGGGUAUCUUGUAACAACAUGAGCAACUGGGGAUGAAGGUACAAAUGGCAAGGAGGUUAUUCACGAGGAUUAUCGGUGGUUAGGAACUGUAAGGCAGUGUGCACAGAGUCUCGAGAAACAUCGAGGAGUAAUCGCAGAAUCUUCUGGCGAAGCAAGUGAUCAUCGGUAAGGUCGGGGCUCUCCGGGAGGAAGUGGGUACGAGAACCUAAUGUCAGAGUUAGUAAAUUCGUUUAACCCGAGUAGAAGAGAGAUCAGAGUCCCAGAGUAUAGAUGAGGAGUAAAAGAUGCUAAUACCACCCAAUGGCGACGUGGGCCCGUAAGACACACAGUCAGUGUUAGUAAAAGUUUUUCAGUGACUAGACUCAACUUCGGCCAAGUAGUUGGAAAGGGGGCUACCUACAGGCAGUCGGCUCUGAUACCAACUUGUGACGCCCUCGAUUCAAUCGUACACUAAUCAUACACGCAAAUGUGUACGAUCAAGAUCAAGGACUCACGGGAAGAUAUCACAACACAACUCUAGACACAAAAUAAAAUAAUACAAGCUUUAUAUUACAAGCCAGGGGCCUCGGGGGCUCAAAUACAUAAGCUCGAAAACACAAGAGUCAGCGAAAGCAACAAUAUCUGAGUACAGACAUGAGUUAGACAAGUUUGCCUUAAGAAGGCUAGCACAAAACAACAACGAUCGAAAAGGCAAGGCCUCCUGCCUGGGAGCCUCCUAACUACUCUUGGUCGUCGGCGUCCGUCACGUGGUAGUAGGCACCCUCGGGUAGCAGCAGUCGUCAAAGGUGGCAUCUGGCUCCUGGACUCCACCAUCUGGUUGCAACAACCAGAAAGAAAGAAGGGAAAAAAAGGGGGAGCAAAGCAACCGUGAGUACUCAUCCAAAGUACUCGCAAGCAAGGAUCUACACUACAUAUGCAACAUUAUCAAAGGAAGGCUGUAUAUGUGGACUGGGCUGCAGAAAUGUCAGAAUAGAGAGAAGGCCUAGUCCUAUCGAAGACUAGCAUCUUCUGGAAACCACCAUCUUGCAGCAAACAGGAGGGAGUACAGUAGCAUAAAGUAAAGUAGUAGUAGUGUUAUCAACCUCGGCCAAAGAUCCUUUCUCGACUCCCUGCGAGAAAGCAAUCCCAGAGCCAUACUAUCCAAUUAUCACCUCAUCACAAUCCAAUUCUCAUCACAAGUAUCCAGUUCUAGUUGUAUCGAUCGGGAUACAACUCCAAGUGUCCGUUACCGUAGGACAGGCUAUGCAUAGAUUAGUUCUUCCCUGUAGGGGUGCACCAACUUACCCACCAUGCUCGAUUGACUCCGGCCGGACACACUUUCCUGGGUCAUGCCCGGCCUCGGCCAAACAAUACGCCGCAACCCGACCUAGGCUUAAUAGAGAGGUCAAGCACGCCGGACUAAACCUAUGCCCCAGGGGUCAUGGGACAUCGCCCCGGGAACUCCUGCACGUUGCGUGGGCGGCCGGUGAGCAGACCUAGCUACCUCCCUAAAAAGGCAGGAGCUUACCAGUCCAACCCGGCGCGCGCCGCUCCGUCGCUGACGUCUAUUAAGCUUCGGUUGAUGUACACGACGCAGAACGCCCAUACUAUGCCCACGUGAUGGUUAGUGCUAUCAGGCCAGAGGCCCCUCGGAUCAAAUAUCCAAAUCGUAGUGGAUUAGGAAUGCGUGGUAACAAGCAGAGACUCACGAAAGAUGUGACCCCGUUGCCCCGUCUCGAGGACUUGCGGCAAGGGCUAGGAAUGCCCAGCCACACCUCGUAAUUAUCUCACGGGCACCCUCCAGUUCAACCCGACUCCACAUCACUCGCAAUUAAGCUCGCGCGGGUACCCCUCAGGGUCGACCCGUCUUUCCAAGUAACAGUGGUAAAGUCCAAGUAUCCGUGUGUCCAAACAUUAAGGGGAAAACCCGAGGAAUCACCCCCGGUGAAUUCCACUCGAUGUAAUCAUCAAGGUGAACGUAAGAGGAUCCACCCUCGAGGUUCACACUUGAGGGGUUGCACGACAGAGCCGUAUCGGAAGUGGUUAAGGAGGAAAUCACCCUCGGUGACCACGACCGAAUAGCUACACUACAGGUUAACAUCAGAAGUGCUGUAGAGGUCUCACCCUCGGCACUCAAUAGUAACACUGCAGAGUCGAGCAACGAAGGGGCGUGAUGUGACGUGAGGUGUCGGGUCCUGGUCUUCGAUCCCGUUGAUCGGGUCUUCUGAUAAUCCAGCGGGGCAGUCGAGUCAAGUGGGGGGGUCACUGAUGGGUCUCUAACCAACCUAUACUAAGCAGUUUAGGAUAAGCAGGUAAGGUACAACAGUAGGUACAAAAGCAGGCUAUGCAUCAGAAUAGGUGCAAACAAUAACAGUAGCAAAAUCUAAUGCAAGCAUGAGAGAAUGGAAUGGGCGAUAUCGGGAUGAUCAAAGGGGGGGCUUGCCUGGUUGCUCUGGCAAGGAGGGGUCGUCGUCGACGUAGUCGAUCACAGGGGCAUCAACAUCGUCAACGGGGUCUAUCGAAAAGAAGAGGGGGAAGAAACAGUAAAUACAUAGCAAGCAAGUGCAUAACAGGACAACAGGCACAGCUAGACGUGUUCUAACACGGUGCUACACGAUACCGGUGAAGGGGGAAGUCAACCGGAAAUGUUUUCCCGGUUCCGGACCUGUGUCAAACAGAUGACCGGAGAGGAAAAGUUUCAUGUUCAGAUAGUUACAUGCAUCUGACAGGUAAACGGACCGCGCAUUCGGAUUCGUCUUGUCGUUCUGAACAACUUUCAUGUACAAAGUUUUUCCAUUCGAGUUACGGAUUAUUUGAUAUUAAUUUUCAAAGAUUUAAACAAUUUCUGGAAUUACUUUUAAUUCAAAAAAACAGGUUAAAAGCUAGGUGCACCCAGAUCUGUGCACACAAAAGUAUACCAGAGGAUGACUUGUGGGUCCAGGGGGUCCCAGUUGACUAGUCAAUGCUUGACUAGUCAACAGGGGGUGGGGCCCCCUGUCAUUGUCUGCCUAUUGGACUAACAGGAUUAGUUUAUACUAAUUAAGUAGUUAAUAGGUUAAUUAACAUGAUUAAUUAGGUUAAUCAAUUAAUUAUUUAAUUAUUAUUAUUUAUUUAUUUUUACAAAUACAUUUUUCGGUUCGUUUAACUUUCUCAAAGUUUUGGGGGCAGGCCCCACGUCCAGUAGCACGACGAGGGCGCUGGAUCAGGGCGUAGCCAGCAGGCGGGGCCGCGGCGAGGCCGGCCGGCCGGAGCUGUGCCCGUCAACGGCAGUGGGUGGCGCGUGCGAGGUGAGGGACGGCCGGAGCCGCAAACGCGCGUGGGCAGAGAAGGGCGCGUCGGGUGGGAGCGAGGGCGCGGUCAGGGGCGCACGACGCGCGCGUGAGAGCGCCUGGGUGGAGUGACAGGGGCACGGUGAGCACCCGGGGAGGGAGGCGAUGCGCGGGCGCGCGCGUCGGCCGUGGCCAGCGCGACACGAGCGCAGCCAGGCCAUGGCCAUGGUGGGGGGAGCCGCGGGAUGCGGUGGCUGCUUCAGGGAGAGAGGAGGACGACCGGGGGUUUCUCACCCACGUUGAAGGGAAGGCCCGAUGCAGGGGGAACCGACGGCGGGGCGAGGUGGCAGCGACGGCGAACGGCGUUGCCAUCGGGGCAUCGUUGGGGAGGAGGAUGGGGACGGUUGCAUUCCGACGGUGAGGCGGCGUCAGCGCGGUCGACGAGCGACGGGCACAGCGUCAGCAGGCGUCGGCCUACGAGGAGGACGCGGCGGGGGCUUGACGGAUGAGCUGCGAGGCGUCCGGCAAGGGGAGGGGGUCUCCGGGCGGCAAAUGGCGGGUCGGGCGCGGCGUUGGGGCUCCCAGAUCGGGAGGGGGAGGAGCCGAGGAGAACGGCGUCAGGGUGGGCGCCGACGCCGGGGCGCCGGGUGGAGGGGAUCGGACAGGGGGCGCCCCUCCUCUGGGUGAGUGGGCGACGACGCAGGGAGGGAACGAGGGAGAGUAGGGAUCGUGGGGGAUGUGGGGCGACCGAGUUAGGGUUAGCGAGGGAGUGGGGGGGCUAAGGAGGCCCGGCUGGGCCUGGUGGGUCGGCCAGUGUGGCGGCCAGCUGGGCCGUUCGGCCCAGCGUGGGGGGGUUGUUAUUUUUUUUUUACAUUUAAAUUUUUAACUUUUCGGUUUACCAUUUUUAGUCUCAGUUUUGCAUUUUCUUUUAGUACCAUAUGAGUUUUGUUUUGAACAAAACUUGGCACAUAAAUCUAACACAAUACCUUGAGAUGGAAUAAAAAGUUUGGGGUCAAGAGGAGUUGUCUAAUUAUUUUUAGAAACUUCAAAAGGCCAAAUUUUAAAUGCUGCUGGACCACUAAAUAAUUUCCAGGAGCACUUUCGGAAUUCAAAGGAGGUUGGUUCCAACAUGACAAAUACCUAGGGAUUAUUUGCCACACUUUGAACAUUUUAUUUUUCAGGUUUGGCAAAUAUGAAUUUUUUAUUUUAGAUUGAAUUUGAAUUUGAACUGUGAUUUGGAUCAAGUGAAGAUUAGCAACAGUAACAUGAUGACAUGACACCAAUAACAGGGGAUUACUGUAGCAUGACACUGGGGGUGUCACAGGGGAGUUGAUACGUCCAUUUUGCAUCAUGCUUUUAUAUCAAUAUUUAUUGCAGUAUGUGCUGCUAUUACACAUUAUAUCUCAGUACUUAUGGCUAUUCUCUCUUAUUUUACAAGGUUUACCAUGAAGAAGGGAAUGCCGGCAGCUGGAAUUCUGGCUGGAAAAGGAGCAACUUUUGGAAACCUAUUCUGCACAGCUCCAAAAAUCCUGAAACUCCAUGGAAUUUAUUUUUGGAAUUAAUAAGAAUUAUCGAGCGAAGAAACUACCAGAGGGGUCCCACACCCUGGCCAGGAGGGUGGGGGCGCGCCCACCCUUCCUGGGCGCGCCCCCUGUCUCCUCGGCCCCCUGGUGGCCCUCCGGUGCCUAUCUUCUGCUAUAUGAAGGCUUUUACCCUGGAAAAAUCAUAAGCAAGCUUACGGGGCGAAACUCCGCCGCCACGAGGCGGAACCUUGGCGGAACCAAUCUAGGGCUCCCGCGGAGCUGUUCUGCCGGGAAAACUUCCCUCCGGAAGGGGGAAAUCAUCACCAUCGUCAUCACCAACGAUCCUCUCAUCGAGAGGGGGUCAAUCUCCAUCAACAUCUUCACCAGCACCAUCUCCUCUCAAAACCCUAGUUCAUCUCUUGUAUCCAAACUUGUAUCAAAACCACAAAAUGGUACCUGUGGGUUGCUAGUAGUGUUGAUUACUCCUUGUAGUUGAUGCUAAUUGGUUUACUUGGUGGAAGAUCAUAUGUUCAGAUACUUAAUGCAUAUUAAUACCCCUCUAAUUAUGAAUAUGAAUAUGGUUUGUGAGUAGUUAUGUUUGUUCCUGAGGACAUGGGUGAAGUCUUGCUAUUAGUAGUCAUGUGAAUUUGGUAUUCGUUCGAUAUUUUGAUGAGAUGUAUGUUGUCUUUCCUCUAGUGGUGUUAUGUGAACGUCGACUACAUGACACUUCACCAUCAUUUGAGCCUAGAGGAAGGCAUUGGGAAGUAAUAAGUAGAUGAUGGGUUGCUAGAGUGACAGAAGCUUAAACCCUAGUUUAUGUGUUGCUUUGUAAGGGGCUGAUUUGGAUCCAUAGGUCUAAUGUUGUGGUUAGGUUUACCUUAAUACUUCUUUUAUAGUUGCGGAUGCUUGCAAUAGGGGUUAAUCAUAAGUGGGAUGCUUGUCCAAGUAAGGGCAGCACCCAAGCACCGGUCCACCCACAUAUCAAAUUAUCAAAGUACCGAACGCGAAUCAUAUGAGCGUGAUGAAAACUAGCUUGACGAUAAUUCCCAUGUGUUCUCGGGAGCGUUUUUCUCAUUAUAAGAAAUUGUCCAGGCUUGUCCUUUGCUACAAAACGGAUUGGGCCACCUUGCUGCACUUUAUUUACUUUCAUUGCUUGUUACCCGUUACAAAUUAUCUUAUCACAAAACUAUCUGUUACCUACAAUUUCAGUGCUUGCAGAGAAAACCUUACCGAAAACCGCUUGUCAUUUCCUUCUGCUCCUCAUUGGGUUCGACACUCUUACUUAUCGAAAGGACUAUGAUAGAUCCCCUAUGCUUGUGGGUCAUCAACGAGGCUCCUCCCCCGACCAGUGGAGGCGUGGAAAUCUCAGUUGGGAAAAGCCACGAAAGGGUCGGGAUCCCCCCCCCUUUGUUGGAAACCAAAUGCAGCGGUAGGCUCUCGUGGCUCGAUUUGACUCGGGGUUAUCCCACCAUGAGAAAGGAGGGGGAUCAUGGGAGGAACUAUGGUUACCAAAUGAGCCCUCAAAUGGGGGACCUCCUAACUGACGCAUUCUGCGCGAGACAGACAGAGCUCAUAGGUUAGUCUCCACUGGGCCGGCCCAUGCAGGAGCAUCAAACUAUGUAAAAAGCACCACAAAAAUGAGGCGCAUUACCUCGGAUUCAAACUCACGAUCCACCUCUAAUGGACUCACGUUCCUAACCACUCGAGCUGGUCAGUGCUAGUGAUGGGUAUGCUGCGAGAAGUACUUUAGCACAAACUACAUCGGCAGAUUCGAAUAUUUCCCCUUUUUAAAAACAUUUCAUGAAAAAUAUGAAUGCUUUUUAAAAAAGAUUCAAAACAAUUUAUUAAAGAACACAAACAAGUUUUCAAAACAGGAAGAACGUAUGAAUUCGUGCACAAAAUUUUUAAAACAGAAACAUUUUUCAAUUCCAUUUUUUUCACAAACACGAACAAGUUUUGAAAAAAAUGCGACCAAUAUUUGAAUUUUCGAACAAAUUUAAAAUCAGGAUUUAUUCUGAAUUUCUCAUUUUUUUUGAAAAUGGAACUUUUUUGAAAACAUGAACAUUUUGGACAAAAGGGAACGUUUUUUGCAUCUGUGAAAAAAAUUGAAACUCUGAACAACUUAUAAUAAAAGCAAACAUUAUUUGAAAUUUGCGAACAUCUUUUGAAUUUGUGAACUAACUUUUAAAACAGGAAUAUUUUCUGAACUUAUGUAUAUUUAUCAAAAAGGAGAACAUUCUUUUCAAAUAUGUGAACAUUUUAGAAAAAUCGUGAACAUUUUUUGAAUUUGUGACAAAAUUUGAAAACAAGACUGUUUUUGAACUUACGAACCUGUUUUGUAAGAGAAUCAUUUUCUAAAUAUUACAAACAUUUUUUGAAUUGCAAUAAAAAAUUAAAAAAAGGAACAUUUUUUGCAAUUUCAAACAAUUUUUAAAUUGUGAAAAACAAAAAUAGAUGCAAAAAACGAGAAGAAAAAGGAAUUAAAAAGAUAACAAGAAAGCAAUCAGAUAACUAAAAACAAGAAAGAUAAAAAACGAAAAAUGAAUAAAUAAUGAGAAACUGAACAAAACCGUAAAAGAAACAACAGAAAAAAAACUAACAAUAAAAAUCCGACCUGGACAAACUGGGAAUCUUCUAGAAGUUUCCCAAAACCGGGAUGAGUGAAACACGCAAGCAGGCCGGCCAUGUAAUGGCUCGCCUCGCCAUGUCUGUGCGUUUGGAUGACAAAGUUAGCGCUCGUGGCGCUCACAGGGACUUGUAGCUGGCCGGCCCAAUAAUUCGCUGUUCGAACGGCAAACAGAACGAAAAAAAUUUAUCUUCUAGAUAAAUUCUUAGAGAAAUGCGACUCGAACUAAGCACACACAUGAUGACUACCGUAGCCAAUAACCACUAGGCUGUAUUCACUUAGUCUCUACUCCUAAUGUCUCAGUUGGUAGGUCGCGUUCCGGGUUUUAUUUUCGUCCCACCUGAUUCGGUCUUUUUUGGUAUUUCUUUGGUACUUGCUCCCACCUCCCGCUCAGCCGAGACGGUUUAUUUUCGUACUCCCUCCCACCUCCCAGGUAGUUCCCUCCACGCAAAAAAAAAAUCGAACCAACCAAUCUCUACUCCUAAUGGAGCAGUUGGUAGUCUUCGCCGGUCAAUUUUCGUCCCACCACUUUCGUCCAGUUUUUUUCGUAGGUUAACUAUCAUAGAUUUUUUCGUCGCCUCCCCCACUUCAUCGGUUUAUUUUCACUUCACCCUCUCACACAACGAAAAAAACUGAACGAAUCAGAACUUUCCAUACUGACGCAAAUUAUUUAGUAAUGUCUUUAUGUAAAAGAAUCAAUCACAAUCAAUCUCUAAAAAUCAAAUCUAAAUUAAUUAAUCUUCAUAACGUUUGUUUCCUUUCGAAUCACGUCCAUAACUUUUCUUCCUUGUUUGGGCAGAAACUGUUUGGUAGCAGAGAUUAGGAAGCUUCCUACGAGUGUAUUAAUAGGAAGUAUUCUUUUUCUUAAUGAUUCGUUUCCAUGCAUGAUGAUAGUAAAUUAUGCCAACAUUCACCACUAUUUAUCAAUGUCAUCAAUCGUAUCCAUUUCUACCAGUUUUAAGGGAAUCUGCUCGCUAUGUCUUUUUUAAGGGGAUCCGCUCGCUAAGUCGUCGUCGCUGUUAUUUUCACAAACAAUCUCUACUCCUAGUAAAGCAGUUGGUAGCCUCAUACGGUUUAUUUUUGUCCUCCUCCCACCUCCCCUGGUUUUUUUUCAUUCUCUCUCCCACCUCCCAAUUUCGUCCGGUUUUUAUUCGUCCCACCUCCCACCACCCCCUCGUACUGGUUCUUUUUCUCUCCACUCUUUCCUUGCAAACCAAUAAUUUUCUAACAUACAAAAGAUCACGAAUCUAUCUUUCCUUACCCGAACCAAUCGCGCCCUACAUCAGUGCAUUUCUUUAUUAAGAAAACUAACACGUAAAUCUUAACGCAUUGCAAACAAAUCCCGUUAUGAACCUAAUUAAUUUAUUAUGGAAUCUAUACGUGGUCGCAUUGGUUCUUUUUCUCUCCACUCUUUCCUUGCAAACCACUAAUUUCCUAACAUACAAAAGAUCACGAAUCUAUCUUUCCUUAUCCGAAUCAAUCGAUCUCUACACCAAUGCAUUUCUUUAUUAAGAAAACUAACACGUAAAUCUUAACGCAUUGUAAAGAAAUCCCGUUAUGGACCUAAUUAAUUUAUUAUGGAAUAUGUACGUGGUCGCAUCUCUCCCCUCAUAAAAAAAUCGCAUCCAUCUCCCGUUAAAAAGGAAAAGAGAACAUGAACGAUCAAUCCCACACCCUGCAUCUCAGUAGCAAAAAAUCGCCCCCGCCUCUGCUACUGCGCCUCGCCGUGUGCCCGGCUCGACCCAUGCCUCGCCUGCAUGGCUGGCCGCCGCCGUCUCCACCGCCACGUACAAGAAAACGGUGGGCAGAACCAUCCAUUCAAAUCGCACACCCCCACCCUCCUCCGCAAUCCCUAGCCCCGCAUCACCCUAUCGCUUUCUCGCCUCUCUUUCCCCUCGAUGUAGAUGGUGCCGAGCGGCGGCCUCGAGCACCGGCAGUGCCGCCCUCUCUAUUCUUCGCUGCGUCGAGAGAUGGGCUGAGGCUAUCGUCGGUUUGCCGCCCAUGAUUGGGCCUCCUCCGGUUGUCGCGCACCACCGGCUCCACCUAACAUGCCUGACCCUCUCCGCUUUCGACCUUCCGGUGACCACAUCCCUCCGCGCCUCCAUUCAUCAUCCACAAGGCCACUCCCUGCACCCACCCUCCUAAAUUCUCCAUACCGGCGAACAAUCACCGAAGAUCCAAGUUGGCCCGAUAUCAAUUUUCUUACAUGCUUUCUUUAUCAGUUGGUGAUGGGAAUGGGUUCCAAUUUCUCUCUCUGACUGUGGAUUCGCAGGCAAGAAGCGCUUCUACAUGCAUCCUCCUGUCGGUCCCUAAAUACCAAGGUAAAUGGUUGAUGUUGCGUUUGUCUAGGAUGAUAUAUGUUGGCUCUGUUCCGGUUCAUCCGAGCAGUUUCGUGACUAAUUUACUGAUAAUUUAAUUAUAUUAAUUAAAUGAGUCGGGUGUAUCGUCGUGCAUUUAUCUUGCCAGUAAUGUUCUGUGAUGCUCUGAUGCACUUUAGGAAUUGGUUAUCUUGUCUUCAGUGCAGAACAUUUGUUUAUUAAUGCAUGAGAAGAAUCCUUGUUACUACCUUGAACCUGUUUUAUAAUCCAUAUUGUUAUGCACUAGCGCAUGUGCGUGUGAAAUAGAUGGAUUAUGGUCCCGUACCCAAUAAGAUGGAUAUGUGUGUGUGUUAGAGAGAGAGAGAGAGAGGGAGAGGGGGNNNNNNNNNNNNNNNNNNNNNNNNNNNNNNNNNNNNNNNNNNNNNNNNNNNNNNNNNNNNNNNNNNNNNNNNNNNNNNNNNNNNNNNNNNNNNNNNNNNNNNNNNNNNNNNNNNNNNNNNNNGGGGGGAGAGAGUGUGUGUGAGAAUUUGAUGGUAAAAAGGUCGUCAAUGUCACUUGAUAUGUAUGAGAAUAUUAAAUGUAAUAUUGACAUAAUUGAUAUUGAACUCUUAAAGUUAAUGUGGCCCCGUUGCAACGCACGGAUGUUCUUCUAGUUUUCUUUAAGUAGGAAACAAUAUUAUUUGACAUUGUUAUAGUACAACAUAAAUACACAUUAUAUGUCCAAUAAAUAUACUUUUUGAAAAUGAAAGCAUCGAUUUGAGAAAGAAUUCUUAAAAAUAUUGAGAACAACCAAGAAUUUGAAAAUAAAUUCACUAAAUCUAAAAAAAGUUCAUGAAUUAGAGAAAAGUUCAGUAGAUUUAAAAAAAAUCACAAAUUCCAAAAAUGUUCAUCGACUUGAUAAAAAAGUUCAUCAAAUUUUGAAUUUUUUUCAAUGAUUUUGAAACAAGUUCAUAAAAAAUGAAAAAAAAAUCAUUGAAAUUCAAAAAAGUUCAUCGAUUUUGAAAAAAAGUUCAUCGAAUUGGAAAAUUUUGCCAAUUUAAAAAAAGUUCAUCAAUUUUGAAUUUUUUAAUCCAUUUGGAAAAAGUUCACGAAUUAUAUAAAAGAAAAAUAUAGAAAAAAGAAAAAGUUCACAAAUUUGAAGAAGGUUCAUGAGAUUCAAAAGAGGUAUGUGAAUUUGAAGUGUAUACGAAUUUAAGAAAAAUCACAAAUUUUAGAAGAAGGAGAAAAUGAAAAGAGAAAGAGAGUAGGCACAAACAGGGCGCGGUUUGUUUGAUUUAAUGAUGUAUAGCUUUUCCCUUGCUGGAAUGGUUUUCUUUUUUUUCGUUUUUGUCCAUUGCCUCGACAGCCAUUGGAUGCCCGAGCUGAUAGCCGUCCGAUCCGGUGUCUGCGCCCCGCAUGCCCACUCGUUAUUUCCCGCAACAAACGCUCUGUUGCAGAAACAAGACAGUCUUGACCCGACCCCGACUAAGCUGCGCCCCGCGCGGCGCCGCCGCCAACCCACCGCAAAAUCAGCCCGCUGCCAGCGUGUAGGAGCUACUCUAGUUGCGGAACCUCCUCUUCUCUAAUUUCCUGCAACAAGAGCUUUGUUGCGAAACUUUCUCAUCUCUAAUUUCCUGCAACAAGAGCUUUGUUGCGAAAACUCCUUUUCUCUAAUUUUAUACAACAAGUCCCCCGUUGCAAAAACUCUUAUUCUCUAAUUUUUUGCAACAAGACCCUUGUUGCAAAAAUUGAAAAGACAUCUCAUGCCGCGCCUAAUUUCCUGUAACAAGACCCUUGCUACAAAAUUUGCAGCAACAUCUACAACCGCGUCGUGUAGUCUUCGUUGCCGCCGUUCUGCAACAACGUUGUUGUUGUAGAAACUUGGAGUGUGCGUGGACGUAAAGCAUUGUGAUGUGGCUGUGUCUAGUGUUGGUGCUGCCAGGACGGUGGUCGCCCAUAAAUGCGGGGGAAUUGGGGGGGGGGGGUCUUCGAUCCAUACCUGCUGGAGUCGACGUCGGCCACCGCCGAACCCGUCGCCGCCGCCCCCGCGCUAGAUAUGCCCGGUCGCCGAACGCCGCCGCCCCCGCCGCCCUCCCAAAUCCAGAAGCGUCACCCUCACAGAGACACGAGUCAACGGAGGCCAGUUGCACGAGUGCUUAUCCUGAAACAAUAGUUCUGUUUCAGAAAACGAGUGCGUGAUGCGAAAAGCGGGGCCGUAUGAUCAACAUGCGAUCCAGCGGACAUGGAGCCGACAGAUGCGCGCGCGAGAUCGGUCGGCUAAAGGUAAGCUUUUCCCUAUAAGAAAUCUAACUUGUCACAAGCAUAUAACUAGUCCAGUUGGUCAUUUCCUUUGGUCUGCGGUUCGAAUCCCUUCACCCACGGUUUUGGUUUUGCGAUUUAAUAGUCAAGAAGAAAAUUAUUUGUGGGCCGACAUAAUAGCCGACGCAAAAAAACAGCGUUUUCCCUAUAAGAAAUCUAACUUGUCACAAGCAUAUAACUAGUCCAGUUGGUUAUUUCCUUUGGUCUGCGGUUCGAAUCCCUUCACCCACGAUUUUGGUUUUGCGAUUUAAUAGUCAAGAAGAAAUUAUUUGUGGGCUGGCAGAAUAGCCGACGCAAAAAAACCCAGCGUCCCUACGGUUACUCGAACCCACGAUCUCCUUGCUCAGAGUUCGUUGUCACAACCAACCAGCCAGCCUACUUGAUGUGUUUUUUUAGAACGAAGGCUCAAGGGGAGCCCGACUUUGAAUUAACAAAGCCAUCAACCGGCCAGGGAUUACACAAGGCCAUCGUUACAACCACUAAACAACUGCGAAAAGCCGCUAACAAGAACAAAAAAAAGCAGCAGAUACAUAGUGUUACCGAAGCAGCUUACAAGCACCAAAGACUAAGCCCUAUAGGGAUAAGCAAAUUAAGCACUAGCUAGAAGUCGAUGGCGUCCACCAAGUGAAGUAGAUCAAGCAGAGAAAAACGGAGGGGUUCUUCAUACGGAGACAAAGUCCAGCGAUGGUCACGUCCUCAUCUACACCGAAAGGUGACACCUUGUUCGAUCCACUCCUCUCCAAAUCCAGAGGGGACCCCUGCCCCUCGCCUUGGCUCGAAAGGCGCCGGACCGCUGGAAUAUGGAGAAGCUCACCCUAGAGCCAGGAUUGGACACGAUUCCGGGCACCACGGGAGAUUCUCAACCCGACACAGCGCUGCACGAGGAUAACCAGACGAAUUGCCACACCGCAGGUCACCGCUACAACCACCAAGGGGAAAAACUGCACAAAUGCACUAACACUAAACAAACGAACAACGAGUAAGAUGAAGCAACCUUACAUGAAGCAGAUCAAGCCCGAAUGGAUAGGCACCAUGCCCAAGCCACUGCAUCAAGUUGCUGCUAGCAGAAGAGAGGAGUCCUAUCCCCUCCCUGCCCAAGAAUGGCGCCAACCGGCGAGCAAGCAAGCAAGGAUCCGGCGAGCAAGCCAAAGCAGAGCAUCACUGCUACAUAAACAGAGCACCAAGCUUCAUCUCCCUCGCUGCUGACGCAACCAACCUGACACCCACCUCACAGCACUCUGCACACUCCUACCAUGCCCAAGACGACACCUUCAAGAAGGUGGCGACGCACGUUGCGCCGUUGUCAUCCAGUCUUGAAAAGACAAGGGUUUUCACCCGGGUCAUGGAGCAGGAGGGAGAGGAAACGAACCUCGACGAAGCCUCCGAGGAGGAAAACGACACCUGCCUGUGUCGCCGACGCCGUGGCCGGAGAACCAGCCAAGGAUUUCUCCCGGUCUAGUUCCGCAGCACCAAGCAACCCCACCAGCCACGGAUCCGGCGUCCAGAGGCCGCUGGUGACCAGAUCCGGCGAGGAGGAGCGCGCUGAGGGGAAGUGGAAGCUGCCUUCAGAUCCAGACGCGAACAGGGGGGCCGCGCCCCCGCUGCGAACGGCGCCAGCGCCCGCCGUCACUCGCCGCCCUCGCGACCAAGAAGACGGGGGACAACACCCGCUCGCCGCUCGCCGCAGAAACGGCGCCGCCGCACCACCCGAGGCCGCUGCCUCGGCGCCCUAAGCCCUCCGCAAGGAGCGAAGCAGCCAGAUCCUCGCCGCCGCUGUCCUGGGCGACCACGUGGGCUUCGCCGGAGGCCUCCUCGGGCGGCGGCGAGGGGGGAGGAGGAGGGGAAAGGGGGCCGACGGCUAGGGUUUUCGUCGCCACCCGAGUCGCCUCGAGCGGAGCGACGCGGGGGCCAGAGGAGUCGGUCCCCCCUAAGUCGCCCCGACUUGAUGUGUUUACUACUGGCCUUUUGCUUCUUAUAAUCUUUCUUUUUAUUUGCUGGAAUGGUUUUCUUUUUUUUUUUCAUUUUCGGAACAGUUUUUUCUUUUUUCCUUUUUAUUGGAACGGUUUUGUUCAUUUUUCCUUUUCUGCUAAAUGCGUGAACAUUUUCUGCAAAAUCAAUGAACUUUUCUCACCAAAUUCCAUGAACCUUUUCCAAAAUCGAUAAACUUUUUUUCAAAUUCAAUGAACUUUUUUUGAAAACCAGUGAACUUUUUUAAAUUCGAUGAACUAUUUCCGAAUUGGAUGAACUAUUUUCAAUAUGCAAAAUAUGUUCAGAUUUUUCGAAAUUCGUUUGACUUUUCAGAAAAUGUUUUUCGAAAUUCCAAAUUUUGGUCAUGUUUUCUAAUUUUGUUCAUGUUUCAGAAAUAGUUCUAAAUUCCAAAUUUUUGUUAACCGUAUUGAAGAAAAAUGUUCACCAUACAUUGGAAAAAUGUUCAGUGUGUAUAAAAAAUGUUCAUCAUGUAUAGAAAUUUGUUCAGCAUGCAUUCGAAAGGAGUUCAUCGUAUUUAAAAAAAAGUUCUAUGUGUAUUUGAAUAUUGUUCACCAUACAUUAAAAAAAUGUUCAGUGUGUAUAAAAAAUGUUCAUCGUGUAGAGAAAUUUUGUUCAGCAUGUAUUCAAAAAAAAGUUUAGCGAAUUUUAAAAACAUGUUUAGUGUUCUUUGAAUAAUGUUCACCCUAUACUAAGAAAAUGUUCAAUGUGUAUUCAGAACUAUUUUUGAAUACGCGGACCUUUUUUUGCAUGCCCAAGAACUCCAUCCGUAAUAUUUGAACAUAUGUUCAAUAAUUGAAAUGUACAAAUGCCACAGUGUAUUGUGCAAUAAAUAGUGCGUCUAUUUUCUGUUUAUUUAAACUUUCGCGGUGGGAAUAUCCGCUAGCAGUUAGCUGGUACAGUGGCUAGCCUCACUUUGUGGAAGCGGGAGGGCGCGAGGUCGAAUCCCGUUUGGGAGGUAUUUUUGGCGUCAUUUUUCUCGUUGCUUUGUUGCGUGAUCGUGGGCCGGCCCAUCCAACCGAUGCUGCUGCGGGUGCCAGAUCCGUUGCGCGGCGCUGAAGGAGGUCCCGGUUUUCUGGCUGUAUCCUAUUCGACGCGCGCCGAAUAUAGGUCGUUUCGUACGGGGCGCACCCCCCUCCCCCCGUUCGGGAGGUAUUUUUGGCUGUCAUUUUUCUCGUUGCUUUUGUUGCGUGAUCGUGGGCCGACCCAUCCAACCGCUGCUGCUGCAGGCGCCAGACCCCUUGCGCGGAGCUGAAGGAGGUCCCGGUUUUCCGGCUGUAUCCUAUUAAGCGCCGAAUAUAGGUCAUUUCGUACGGGACGCACCCUCCCUCCUCCCGNNNNNNNNNNNNNNNNNNNNNNNNNNNNNNNNNNNNNNNNNNNNNNNNNNNNNNNNNNNNNNNNNNNNNNNNNNNNNNNNNNNNNNNNNNNNNNNNNNNNNNNNNNNNNNNNNNNNNNNNNNNNNNNNNNNNNNNNNNNNNNNNNNNNNNNNNNNNNNNNNNNNNNNNNNNNNNNNNNNNNNNNNNNNNNNNNNNNNNNNNNNNNNNNNNNNNNNNNNNNNNGUCAUUUUUCUCGUUGCUUUUGUUGCGUGAUCGUGGGCCGACCCAUCCAACCGCUGCUGCUGCGGGCGCCAGACCCCUUGCGCGGAGCUGAAGGAGGUCCCGGUUUUCCGGCUGUAUCCUAUUAAGCGCCGAAUAUAGGUCAUUUCGUACGGGACGCACCCUCCCUCCUCCCGUUCGGGAGGUAUUUUUGGCUGUCAUUUUUCUCGUUGCUUUUGUUGCGUGAUCGUGGGCCGACCCAUCCAACCGCUGCUGCUGCGGGCGCCAGACCCCUUGCGCCUCCCCCCCCUCCGAUCUCUUAUUUUCUGUAUGGGCCGGACCUUUUAGCUUAUUCUAGUUUUCAAAAAUGAAAGCCAAAGAAAAGGGUGCGCACUGGGAUUCGAACAACUGACCUCCUGCUUCGUUGUACAUUGAACUAACCAACCCGCCACCCCCAACUGACGUGCAAACUUCCAGUUAUUUAUCUCUUUUCUUCUUUCUUCCUUCUUUUUUCUUCUAUGUUCGUUUUUCUGUUUUCCUUUUUCUUCUAGCAGUUAGCUGGUACAGUGGCUAGCCUCACUUUGUGGAAGCGGGAGGGCGCGAGGUCGAAUCCCGUUUGGGAGGUAUUUUUGGCGUCAUUUUUCUCGUUGCUUUGUUGCGUGAUCGUGGGCCGGCCCAUCCAACCGAUGCUGCUGCGGGUGCCAGAUCCGUUGCGCGGUGCUGAAGGAGGUCCCGGUUUUCUGGCUGUAUCCUAUUCGACGCGCGCCGAAUAUAGGUCGUUUCGUACGGGGCGCACCCCCCUCCCCCCGUUCGGGAGGUAUUUUUGGCUGUCAUUUUUCUCGUUGCUUUUGUUGCGUGAUCGUGGGCCGACCCAUCCAACCGCUGCUGCUGCGGGCGCCAGACCCCUUGCGCCUCCCCCCCCUCCGAUCUCUUAUUUUCUGCAUGGGCCGGACCUUUUAGCUUAUUCUAGUUUUCAAAAAUGAAAGCCAAAGAAAAGGGUGCGCACUGGGAUUCGAACAACUGACCUCCUGCUUCGUUGUACAUUGAACUAACCAACCCGCCACCCCCAACUGACGUGCAAACUUCCUGUUAUUUAUCUCUUUUCUUCUUUCUUCCUUCUUUUUUCUUCUAUGUUCGUUUUUCUGUUUUCCUUUUUCUUCUUCCUACGUUCAACGAACUUUUACCAAAUUUGUGAAAUUCUUCUUCAAAAUCGAUGAACUGUUUUCAAAUUCAGUGAACUUUUUUAAAAAUUUGAUGAACUUUUUUUAAUUUCGACGAACUUUUCUUCAAAUCCGAUGAACUUUUUUCAAAAUCGAUGAACUUUUUUUGAAUUUGAUGAACUUUUUUUAAAAUCAAUAAAAUUUAUCAAAUUCAAUGAACUUUUUUUUUCACUCUUUUGGAAUAUUUUUUGAAGUCAAUGAACUGUUUUCAAAAAUCAUGAUCUUUUCUUGAAGUUGAUGAAUUUUUUUUCAAAUUCGUGAACUAUUUUCAAAGUUGAUGAAUUAUUUUCAAAAUCGCUAAACUUUUUAAAAAAUUGAUGAACCUUUUUCAAAUAUGUGAAGUUUUCUCUCAAGAUUUGUGAACUAUUUUUCAAACGGAUGAACUUUUUUCAAAAUCGAUAGACAUUUUUCUCGAAAUAGGAAAGUGCGCUGCAGUAAUGUUUACAUGUGUAAUAAAUUGCACGGCUAGAAAACGUACUUAAAUAACUCGCUAUGGAACUUCUCUGUAGCACGUCGUUGGUAAGAUGGUAUGUAGUUUUGUUCACUGUUGUCACGACGGGAGUUCGAUUCGUGAGGCGAACAAAUUUUUGUUAUUUUUUGCUUUUUGACGCUACCCCCUGCCUGUAUCGUUGUAAUUUUGCUGGGCCGGCGCAAUCGCAUCGCCCUUCGGGCGCCCGUACGAGGAACGGGCGCUGAGAGCGCCGGUUAGGAGCUCUCGGUUUCCCGGGAGGUCAUAUCGGCAAUUCCUAUUUAGCGCUGCAGGCGCCGGUUCCUACUGUUUUUGCUAACCGGCGCCUACAGCAGUUACUCGCGGGCCGGCCCAUCUCGCCCCCGUUUUCUGUUUUUUUUUCUAAAACGCAAAAACUGUACGCGCGAAGAGAAUCGAACCUUGGACCUCACGGGUCGAACUAAGCUGCAAUAACCACUGCACUAACAUGCCCGAUUUGAUUUUCAGUUUUUCCGACGUUUCUUAUUUCUUCUCUCCUCUCUCCUCUCUCCUCUUUCCUUUUUCGUUUUUUCGUUUUUUUGAGUUUCUGUUUUUUCCUUUUUUUCUUCUUCCUGGUUUGAUAAUUCUUUUCAAAUUCGGGAAUUUUCUUACAAUGGAUGAACUUUUCUUCUCAAAAUUGAUUGUUUUUUAUUCAAUUCAAUGAACUUUUUUUAAAAUUCAGUUAAUUUUUUUCAAUUUUGUUAAGUUUUGUUUUUGAAAAUUCAUGAACUCAUUUCAAUUGUGAUGAACUUUUUUUUAAUUUCAGUGAACUUUUUUUCAAUUUUGAUGAACUUUUUUCAAAUCGAUUAACUUUUGUUUCGAAUUUUCAGUGAACUUUUUUCAAAUUCAAUGAACUUUUUCUCAAAGUUGAUGAACUUAUUUUUAAAAUCGAUGAACUAUUUUCUAAAUUUGUGAACUUUUUGUUGAGAUGAUGAACUUUUUUCAAAUUCGAUGAACUUGUUUUUAAAUCGAUGAACUCUUUUUCAUUUACAUGAACUCUUUUGAAUUUCUAUGAACUUUUUUUUGCAAUUUCGUACAUUAUUUCAGUAUUUUUAUAGAAUUCUACUUCGAGUUUAUACUUUCGUUUUAAAAUAAUUUACACUAGAUAUAUAUUAUAUAUGUUAAUUAGAGGAAGGGUCAAAUAGAAGUUUUUCCUUUUUGUGGUCAACUGAAUGGUUUGACCUGGUGGUUACGAGCGUCUGCUCUCAACCCUGGUGCUCGGGGUUCGAACUCUGGUAUUGACGAAUCGCUACAGGAAUAAGCUUUGUUUUUUUUUCACGAAUCGCUACAGAAAUGUUUUAAUUGGGGCGCGGCCCACUGCUGGUCGCUAUAGGCGCCACUUGUCCAACGGGCGCCUACAUCGCCAACUAGGAGCUCCCGGUCAUAUCUGCCGCUCUUUGCGGCGGAAUGACGACUGGACGAGGGUCUCCCGACUGGGCCGGCCCAUAUCGCUAGCGACCAGAACUGAACGAAAAAAAUGCAGUGCUCAAUAAAAAGAAUGAGCUAAGCAGGGUCCGAACUUGAGACCAGGCGCAUGAUAGAAGUGCAACUAACCAGUUGAGCUAUAGAGCUACCUGGUUUCUAACGCAGCAGAACCUAUUAAGAACAAAACCGAGCGCACAUGCGAACAUUUCUAAUAUUUGUACGCGAAACGUUAUGUUUGAGAAAAAAAGUUAAGGUCGUAUGAAACGGCGAACACUUUUAGAAAUUGUGAAUAAAAAUUGAAAAAUCUCAACAAUUCGAAAAAUACAAACAAUUUGUGGAAACAGGAACAUUUUUGUAAAAUCUCCCAGAAAUAUAAGACCUGAAAGUUUUUUUGAAAACCCGAACAAUUUUCAAAUUUGAAAACAGUUUUUGGAUACUCAAACAUUUUUUAAACUCCCGAACAAAAUUUGAACACACGAACAAUUUAAAAAACAUGCAUACAUUUUUUGAAACUCCCGAACAAAAAUAGAAACAUGAACAUUUGUUAGAAUCUGUGAACAAUUAUUUAAAUGGAAACAUCACAACAAAAUUUAAAAACUUGAACAUUUUUUAAAACAUGCAUACAUAUUUUCAAACUCCCAAACAAAAAUUGAAACAUGAACAUUUUUUAGAAUUCACGAACAAUUCUUUAAAUGGAAACAUUUACGGAAACUCGCAAUAAAAUUUGAAAACAUGAACAUUUUUGUGAAUUUGGUGAACAAAUUUUGAAAUGGGAACAUUUUUUGAAACUCCCAUACAUAAUUUGAAAAUGUGAACAUUUUGUGAACCUGUAGACUUUUUUUGAAAAAUGAACAUUUUUACUAACAUGGGAACAUUUUUUCGAAAAUAAAGAACAUUUUUAAAAUUUGUGAACAAAAAAUAAUAACAAGAACAAUUUUUGAACUUCUGAACAUUUUUAGAAUUUUAGAGAAGAAUUUGAAAUUCUUAAGAACAAAAAGAAUAUAAUAAGAGUAAAAAAGGAAUUAGAAAAUGAAAUAAAGAAACAAAAAAAUAUAAAAAACUGGAAAAACCAAAAAAGGAAAGGCAAAUAUAAAAAAUCAGUGAAAACUCAGUUCAAGAACCUUCUAGGAGGUUCCCAAAACCGUUCAGGGUCCCUCCAGAAAGUUCCCAAAACGGACGCUGUAGAUCUCGUAAUUGGGCCGGCCCAUUUUGGUCGGUCGCUGCCCUUUGUGCGAAGCCUCGACAACUUGACGCAACGAGCGUCCGUUAGGAAAUUCCGUCAGAUGGUGUGUCAAAACCGGUCUGCCAAACGAGGCCGAGCAAGCGAUUUCGUCUACAAAUCCCAAUUGCCAAGGCCUAAGGGCCCAGGCCCACCUUGUGCUGAGCAUAAAACCACCGAAAAGACGGCACGCACUCUGUUCUAGGGUUUCCACCGCCGCCGCUACCGCCACCAUCCUGAGAUGCCGACCGAGCUGAAGCGCGCUGCGGAGGAUGGUGAUGAUUCCACUCCCACCCGUCUUCGCCGGAAAAUCGUAGUUCCAGAAAAGCCGGUCUAUCUGGUGGUGGAGCACAAGGCGGAGCCAGCGUACUCCAUCCUCAGUGUUGGCACAAUGGCGCCUAAGAUCCCGCUGCACCUCAGCCAACGCGGCAUGUCGUUCACUGCCAUGGAGUCGCCGCAGGGGUCCUGGAUCGUUGGCGUGGGCGGGGACAAGCAGAUUCACACCACCAUCUUCGAUGUCACCGCCUCCAAGGAGUGGCAGGGUCCGUGGCUCCAUACCAAUAAGAUGGAGCCCAUCCUGAUUCCACACCGCGGCCAGCUCUACGUGCUCUCCAGCCGCCCCUCCGUGAAGAGGGGGGCGAUGGGGCUCGACUACCUUCCCUGGUUCGAGCAGAUUAACUUCGAGGACGGCCGCCCUAACCAAGCCGAGGUUUGCCUAGAACUCGAGCCGCCGCCCAUCUUUCCGUGCCGCAUCACCCCGCCUGAGUACAGGAACCCGCCGGCUAUACGCGUUGCCUCUUACGCCAUGGUUGGCUCCCAUAUUUUGCUCUCCGUGCAACUGGACAAUGUGACCAGCCCCGACAAGGUUGCCAGGAAAUACAGGAAAUACAUGGGAACCUGCGGGUACGACGUGGAGAAGAAGGUGUGGGAGAUGGUGCAUGAGAUGAAUCUUCCUUUCCUUGGCCAGGCGGUGCCCCUCGGCGACCAACUCUUUCUUGCCCGCUCCAAAGAGAGGGACGGCGCUUAUGCAGUGUACUGCAUGCAUGUCGGUCAGUCAACAUCUGGGACCAGCGAGCUGUCCAUUAUUGAGGUUCCGCUGGUGGUGCCAAAGUCCCGACCUAUUCUGGGGGAACUUCUCUUCCCUUUGGGAAGGGGACGGUUCUCUUCUGUUCACUUUCGAUCUGUCGAUACUGAACCGGAGUCCAAGUUGGGCAAACCAAGUGUUGUACAUGGCACCUACUCUAUUGUGAAAGAAAAUUUCGAUGAUGCUAUAAUAAUGAAGCAGCAGCGGCAAGUUUACAAAGUAGCUGAUCGGUCGUGUCCAUUGGCUCAUCCUUUCCCUGUGGUUGCUGCUUUCACAAUGUAAGUGCUACAGAUCUUUUAGUUUUAUGCUUGUUCAUCUAAUUUCAGCUCUAGUUACACAUACCUCCCGUUUUUAUCUAACGAUAACCCGCAUGUAUCCUCAUCCCGUCAUGGUUGGAUUUUCAUAAUAAGAUAAACUAACUGACCCAUUAUAGUAACACACUGCUUAUUUUGCAUAAUCAUAUAUGUGUCCUUACUCUCUU